rnacentral:lncRNA from 1 species
UCUUUCUUCGCCACUCUCACAAAUUUUCAUACAUACAAUCCAACAAAUUCCAAAACCUCUCAACAUAUUCCAUCCAGCUAGCUGCACAAACUGAUCCUUUUGUCCCUGGUUUUCUCUUCAAAUGUGAAAGACCUUGCCUAGAAAAAUGAUGAAUAUGUUCUUCCCUCGAUUUCUUCCUCAUUCUCUUUUCUUUGUAGCUUGCUUUGUAACUUUUGCCUUUGGAGCUACUCGAUUGCCAAAUGAUGAAGGUACGAGUAAUUCACCUCAAUAUCUUUGUGUAAUAUCUUCCUUAGUUUCCUUUGUUUCAUUCUAUAAAUGAUGGUUUUAAGUUUGUUUGAUAAUCUUUUAGUUUUUUAAAAAUUUGGUUUGGGUUGAUUUUGGUUUUCAGUUUACAUUUUUUCCGAGAAGUGAAAACAGUUACCAAUGAACUAAUAAUUAAAAAAUUAAAAAUUAAAAUAGUUAUCAAUCAUAUGAUGCUGCGGUGCACUCUGUAGUUCUUGUCUAUGCAUCAAUUUUUUUUUUUACUAUUUUGUUGAGCACGAUGUUAAUUUGUUGCCUUUUAUUUUGCGUAUAUAUAGUGCACACUUUGAAAGACAUAGCAAAGACACUGGGGAAGACGGGCUGGAAUUUCAGUGGAGACGCAGAUCCAUGCAGCGGCCAACUUCCAUGGACUGAUCCAAAAGCAACCAAAGAAUCUGCGAAUGCCAUCAACUGUACUUGCUCCUCCACUGUCUGCCAUAUUACCGGAAUGUAAACCUCUCUCUCUCUCUCUCUCUCUCUCUCAAAAACAAACAUUUCGGAUUCAGAACAUGAGUUGGUAUACCACGUGUCAUUAUAUAAAUGAUGAGUUAUUUGUGUUAAAAAAUUAAUACAAUUUGAAAAAUAAAACUUUCCUCCACUCAUAUAAUGACACGCGGUCUACGAUCCGAACACAAUUUUUCCACAUCUCACAAGCUGAUACCAAAUAAUCUUAUCGGCUUUUUGUGAUGUAAAUUGAUGUGCAUUUAUUGGUGCCACCCUCAACAAAGGUUUUUCCGGAACAUUAUUAGAUCGUUGGGGAUAUUUACUUCGAUUAAAAUUAAGAAAUUAAAAUACUACUUGUUUUUUAAUUAACGGGGAGACAAAUUUGAAUUUUUUUUUUGGCAAAAAACAAAUUUGAAUUUGGUACAUCUUUUAAAUCUAAUAAGAGAAGUACCAUUAGACUGUCAACUAGUUAGUAAAAUGCUACUGCUUCUAAAUUUUUUUGUUGGGACGUUUUGAUGUAGUUGCCUUAUUUUUUAAUGGGAACUUUAACGAAAAGCACCCGGUACUGUUUACUUUAACGAAAAACCACAUUUUUACACUAAAAAGUCAAUCCUGGUACUAUUCACUUUACCCUUUAUUUUGUCCUUAUCAUUAAAACUCAAAGUUUUCAAGCCCUUUUCAUUAGUUUUUCUUUUUUUAAUUUCGUUGAGUAAACAUUGGUUCCUUUUAAGAAUUUGAUUAAACAUUUUUUAGAGGUACCUUUGAUAUUGGUGCAUUUGAUUUUAUGGUACAUUUAGAAUCUAAAUGUCCCAAAAGUUAGUACCUUUUUUUUAAAUAUACCAUAACUUUUAAAUACAUUUUUUAAUAAAAUUAAUGAAGUUUUUUAUUUUUUAUAUUUUAUUAUUUUUUUUAUAAAUAAAAGUAUUAAUGACUUUGUUUUUUUUUAUGAAAGAAGAGACUAAUUAAAUAUAAUAACAGAUAUAAAAAGUUAUUUUUCAAUGAUAUUGAUGAAUUACUUAAAUUAAUGUUUUUAAUAAAGCCAUGAAUUUGAAUCACAUUAUUGCUACUUCAUUAUGAGACUUAGCGCACUCCUCCGUCCCUAUCAGUUGUUAAAAAUAAAAAAAGUUAAAAAAUAAUGCCGUGAAUUUAAAAUUCCUAGAUUGUAGGAAAUUAGUUGUUAGCUAAUUUAAGUGAAUAUAUAUAUAUAUAUAUAUAUAUAUAUAUAUAUAUUAAAUGAAUAAAUAAAAUGCUAAGUUGGUAAUUGAUGAAAGCAUCUUCAUCAAAUUUUGUAAAAGAACAUAUGUUUAAUCUAAAAAAGUUGGAAAAAAUGCAAGAGAUUCUAAUUACUCCUUUUUCUGUUUCACCAUAGAGAACAUAUCGUUAAUAUAUAUAUAUAUAUAUAUAUAUAUAUAUAUAAUUAGUAUAUAUAUAUGGAAGUGUUAUUAGCACUUCAAAAAUUUCAUUCUACACUCAUUCUACUAAUUAAUAAAACACUCAUUGUCAACCAAAACUCUAUGAAAUUACUAGUUUAACCCUCUAAUUAAAAUAGAACAUGAAUAAGAAAUAUGGGGUAGAAAUGUAAUUUCACAACUGUCAACCAAAACCAUAUGAAAUUACCAGUUUAACUCUCUAAUUAAAACAAAACAUGAAUAAGAAAUAUGGGGCAGAAAUGUAAUUUCACACAACCAAAUUUUGUUUUUUUUUUCAAAGCCUCACCUACAUGUAAUUCUAACAUAUCUCUAAUUUAAAAAAAAAAAAAAAAAACUUCUGACAUUCUCUAUCACUCCCUUCCUCUCUCCUUCUAUUAAAAAAAAAAAAAAUUUCUCACACACUUUGUGUGUGCCCAUAUGCUAGUGUGUGUGUAUAUAUAUAGAUAUGAAUAGUUUUAUGUUUGUAUAGUUCUUUUGUUUGAGACACGUUGUGAAUAUAGAAUGUUACUUUACAGCGAAAAGAGUUGGAAAUAAGUUGUUAAUAAUAGAUUACCGAGAGAAAUAAGUGAUUCUUUGUCAUAAUAUGCAUAUGAGAUUAUUGCGUUAAUAAACACCAAUUUAAGUACUUAAUGUGUCACUUAGUUUUUUUUUUACUUGUAAGUGAGAGGUUUUAGGUUCGAUUCUGGCCAAAGGCGUAUUUGAACCAUAUAAUUACUAACUCAUUAUGAGGUUUAGACAACUCUCUCAUGCCUUAGUGUAGAUAAUCGUUUAUUAAAAAAAAAAAAACUUAAUGUGAUAAAGAGAACAUAAGUUGGAAAAUAAACGUUGGGUUAUAUAGAAUUGUCAUUGAUUAACUUAUUUCUUAAGCCAUUAAAAAUUGCUCAUUAAAUUUUUCUUUCCUGGAUAAAUAGUUUGCUCGUUGUGUUUUGAACGAGCUCCAUCUCAUGAUAUAUAGAACUAUUAAGAGAAAAAGAAAGAAAAAGUUGAGAAAAUAAAGAAAAAGCAACGUACAGAUUAGGCGCCUUUUGUUGUGAAAAAGGUUGAGAAGGAUAAGAUCAAAGUUUUUCAGUCUUUGUCAUAAGAAUAAACACUAAAAGAAAAAACAAGAAAGGUCUAUGUCCACGUACCAUCCAGUGACAUUGUAUAAUAUCCACAUGAAGACUUUUUAGGUCAAUGAAUCUUAAUGAGCAGAAAAUUUUGUAAUUGUUCAUUAUUCAAGCAAAUAAUUUAAGUGUUAUAAAAUAGGUGAGGGAAUACGAAAAAAAAAUAUCAUUUUCUCCAUGUGUAAUAUGAUAUUUGGUGUACCACUUGAAAAAAUCUCUUCUCAAUCAGCGUUGUCUCCUACAAAGAAAAUUAACUAUGCAUGUAAGAGAGGAAAAUAACUUAUAUUGAACAAUUUUUUUUAUUUAUUAAACAAAGCUUCAUAUAAACAGAGCUUUAUAAAAUUUACGUUGAAUCAUAUAUUAAUACGUGUAAAUUUUUCUUAGCGUGAUAUAUAUUAUUAUAUUAAAAAUAUUGAAAAAAAAAAUUCGUUCCAUCUAAACUGCUCACAAAUGUGCGAGGAGAAAUGUUGAUUAGAAGGUUGGAAUUCGGUUUUGUGGACCCCACGUCUAUUUGCUAUAAGUAUCAAUCAAUUUUUCACUAAAUGUCCCCAAACCUAACCCUAUGCCCAUGAAACCUCCAAAAUAAAGUAGGAAUUAUAAGGCCUAGUGUGGGCACCAUCGAGUUGUCUAUUGGCAACUUGGCACGUUGUAUUCACUCAUUCAACCUUACGUCGGGCAAGGUAGCUAGGCCAAUUAAUUCCAAUUGGAUUUGAGGGAUGUUAGUUUAAUAGCACAGUCGAGCUCGUUUCUUUCUUAGGGAUUUUCUCACACCCCGACCCUAGCUUCAAAGGGAUUUUUUUAGUGCGUUGAGAAUAUGGUUCGGUACAUCAAGUAUCAUAAUACAAAUAUUUAGAUACAUGGGAAAAAAUUUCUACCACUUGCAUUAUGACACUUAAUGUACCGAACCUUUUUCCUAACACAAUGAAAAUUUUGCCUGGGUUCGUGGCGUAAAAAUUUGAAGUUCUUAUUCGUGGCAUAAAAAUAAAUUGAAUCAAAUUUCUUAGAACUAUAAACUAUUCUUGACGUGCAAGUCAGGAUUGAAAAUUUCGAUUUCCACCAAUUCAGUUUUUGUUGGAACAAAAUUAUGAUGAAAAUUGGAAUAUAUCUUAAAAUUCUCAAAUGGGCUUCGGCUGCCUAACACUAGAACGGGCUUAGUCGUCUGUACUGUUCGGGUCAGGAAUUUUCGUCGAGGAUGUUUCCUGGCCAACAAGCACACAGCUCCCCGGGAGGUUGGCGCCGGUUGAGGGCUACUGUCGAGCUUCUGCUUCACUGUCGAGCUUUGUCGGGCAAGCUUCGUCGGGCAAGUCUUAUCGGGCAAGACUUGUCGGGCAAGGCUCGUAGGCCUUGAGGCUCACAAUCAAGAUUAACUUUUAGGUGCUCAGGCGUGCCACUGCCAUCUUCAGCAUGGCAGAUGUAAAAUGGAUGUCGAGUUUUAGUUAUAUAUAUGUAUAUACCCGAGAAACCGUGUUAGUUAUAACAGGUGCCUUUGUGGGGCCUUAGGUAUAAGCCUUGAGUCUUCCUAUCAAACCAAACCAGUGCUCGAACAUAUCAUAUUUGUUUUUGUGAGUGCAGGAGUCUUAUAACUAUUAUACUUCUGAUUAACCGAGUCCGAGAGGUAGAAUGAACCCAAAUAGGUGCCUUCGUAGGGCCUUAGGUGUAGGCCUUGAGGCUUCCCAUUAGAAUUCGUUCUUAUACUCAAACGUUCUAGAUCGCAGAACGGAAUGAAUCCAAAUAGGUGCCUUCGUAGGGCCUUAGGUGUAGGCCUUGAGGCUUCCCAUCAUAAUCCAUUCCAUGCUUAAGCGUUCUAUGAUAAUCAUAAUAUAAUAGAAAUAAAACUAAGAGGUAGGUCGAUUACUUGCGCCCCAAGUAACUUCAGACUUCUCGUUUAUCAAGGACUGUCGUGGAUGGGUUAAGUCCACAUAAGGUUCUUUUUUAUGCCUUGAGGCCAAUGACUUUUAACUGAUCAGAUUUGCAUGCCCGAGGGCUUAGGACUUGGAUCUGGUUUGAACACUAAAGAUAUAUUCAAAUCGGAUCCAAGUACUGAGAAAGCCUUUUAAUAGUCAUCUUGCUAGAAAUAACUUGCAUAUAACUGGAAGUAUACAACAUAUUGCUAGGCUAAUGAAUGAAAAGACAAAAACAAAGAAGGUCGGGCAAGGUUUAACCUUAUCAGGUAAGGCUGAUCGUCUUGCAGGUUCCUAUCUUUGUAGUUUUGUCAAGGGUCUGAAAGCUUAGAGAGAGAGAGAGAGAGAGAGAGAGAUAGAGAGAUUACAAAAGAUGAAUCGAUACUACAGCAAGGUUGAACAGGGUAGCAGAGCUAUUACAAAGGUUUGAAAGAAGGUUUAGCCCGCGAUGGAUGAAGGCUUGUCCCGAGAGGGAUGAAGGCUUGGGCUGACUACAACUUCAUUUUGAAGGCAAAUCUGGCUUUGAGCAGAGUUUGUGCUUGCAUUUGUUUGUUUGAUUGAGUGUCCUUAUUCCUGGUUUCUCUUUCUUCUUAUAUAGACAACUUGGCUUGGCCUCAUGUAGCAGCAGCCUUGCCCGAAUGCGGUUUGAGGGUGAUGACUCAUCAGCUAUUUUACAUGUAAUGCCACCAUAAAGUACUUUAUGGGCUGUGUAGCUGGUCAGUCUAUACCACUUGGCCUUUGGGUAGGUGAGCAAGUGGUCUUCAUGAGCUGCACCAAGUCAGAAAAGGCAUUUUCUGCUUUUCUGGGUUUUGGCCGGGCCUUGGUCAACUAUUCCUUCAGGCCUCCUUUUGGGCCAGCUCAUUUCUUGAGCCCAAAGUUAAGUUUUGAUCCAAACAGUGUCCCCUUCAAUUGAUAUUUAACCUGGAAUUCCAGGCGCCAAUAUUAAUUGAAUAUCCGCAUGCGUGUAUAUCAAUCUUUUGGAACUUGUGUUUUCUGUGCCCCUUGCUCUUCUCAUGACCUUUGAACUGUCCUGUGGGCCCUAUAAAUUAUGGCUCGGAAUUUCUUCUGUCAAGCCAUCAAAUCCUCUUCGGCCUUCCCUUCCAUCUUCCUCGAGCGUUCUUGUCUUCUUUUAAAAACUGAGAAAUGGGUUCCUCAGGCUUUGAGUGGAGUUUCCUAAAACUCCCUUUUCGUGAGAAAAAGGGUUUUCAUCAAAUGACUGCUAUCUCCAACACCCUUGGUCGAACACCCCGCUAUCUCCAACACCAUUGGUCAGGCGGUUUCCUCUUGAAGGCUUGUCUUCCUCCUUGUUACGGUGAUAAGUCGGGCUUCACCAUCACAUAUGGUGACGGUCCUGUCUAAGGAUCCUCUACUAGGCUCAUGUUGGCCGCACAACCCGAUCACCUGAUUGGGUUCUAUUCAUGAAGAUAUCGGAAAACCAGCUGAAAACACCACCAUAUCCAGAGAUAAUCAAAUGUAAUACGUAGGAAUUGAAUCUAUUGUUAAUUUCACCAAUUUGUCGACAUGAAAUAAAUAUUAUUUCAGCAACUUUUGUCUUUCUGUCUUCUUUGAAUGGUUGAUGAACAAACACUGCACAUGAAACUCCCGAAGCCUACUUUACUUUGCCCCCUCUUCAAUUUAACAAUCUCUAACAUCCCAUAAUGUAGGACAAUAUUUUUUCAAGAAUUUAACAUUAAUGGGAUGUUUCUGCCCAUUUACUUCGAGGUCCGCUAGGUAGUAUCCUCCUUUAUCCAAAACUCGACUAAUAAUGAAAUGACCUUCCCAUGUCGGGCUCCAUUUUCCAAAGCCCCGAAGCUGAGCUCCUAGCGGGAGGACUGUUUUCCAUACUAAAUCUCCCUCUUUGAAAGACUUUAUCUUCACCUUUUUGUUAUAAGCUCGGGCAACAGCUUUCUUUCCUUCCUGAAUCUGGUUCAAGGCUUCAAUUCGGGCUACAUCCAAGUCUUCAAUUCCUUGACACAUGCCUUCGAUGUAUUCUUCACUAUGUAACCCAAAUUGGUUUUGAAUUCUAACAGAACUAACAUUGAUCUCCAUAUGGAGCACUGCAUCUUGCCCGAAAAUCAAAGCAUAAGGAGUUGUCCCUGUUCCUGCCCUCUUGGAAGUUCUGUAUGCCCACAACGUAUUCCCCAGCUUUUCAUGUCACUUUUCUGGACUAUCUAUCACCAUUCUUUUGAUAAUGUUGACCAGGAUCUUGUUGCUGGCCUCUGCCUGAUUGAGGAUAGUACGGACUGGACUGGAUCAUCUUUAUUUUGUACUUGCUUGCAAACUCUUCAACUUUUUUUGAAAUAAAAGAUGGCCCACGGUCCGUUACUAUAGUUUCGGGCACCCCGUAUCUGUGCAGAAUCUUGGUCUCGAUAAAAUUCUUGACUGCGGCUGAAGUUAUGGAUUUUACUGCCGAUGUUUCCACCCACUUGGUGAAGUAAUCCAUUGCUACAAUUAUAAAAGUAUGCCCUUUACUAGAAGUUGGAUAGAUUUGCCCGAUGAAGUCCAUCGCCCACCCUCUGAAAGGCCAAGGCUUGACUACUGGAUUUAAAGGUACUGAAGGCACAUGUUGGAGAGGUCCGUGCCUUUGACAUUCUUCACAACCUCGGGCAUAAGACUUGCAAUCUUUUUCCAUGUCGGGCCAGAAAUAACCGUACCUUCUAAGCAACCAUCUCAUCUUUGUCCCCGCCUGAUGUGCUCCACAUAUUCCUUCAUGUACUUCGGCCAUUACUCUCAUGGAUUCUUCUUGGCCUAAGCAUUUUAAUAGUAGCCCAUCUGGAGUUUUCCUUAGUAGGUUCGUCGCCCAUAAGACAUACUUGGUUGCUUGCUGUCUAUUCUUCUUACUUGUAGGCGAAGAGGGAUCCUUCAAAUGAUGAAUGAUAGGUGACCUCCAAUCUUCUAUCUUGGUUUCUAGAACCAUUAUAUCCAGACUGAAUCCCCUUUCUAAGAUAGAAAAAAGGUUUCUUUUUUGGAUCUCGACAUCUACCCCAUAUUUUCUUUCCUGUAUUGGCACUCCUGAGGCUAGUUGUGCCAUCUCGUUGGCCGCUAAGUUGGAUCCCCUGGGAACAUGAUUGACUGAUAUCUCAGAAUCCCAGAAACUCAAUAAUUGCGUAGCUGCCAUGUGAUACCCCGCUAUAGUGAUAUGUCUGCACUUGAACUCACCAUUUAGCUGGUUUAUUACCAACUCUGAAUCACCAAAGACCUCUACCUCUGCUGCCCCCAAAUCCAUCAGGAUUUCCAGACCAAUUAUUAAGGCCUCAUACUCUACCCGAUUAUUAGUAUUUUCUUGGUAGUCUAGGAGAAAUGAGUAAUAAUGAUAAACCCCUUAAGGGUUUACAAUCACAAUCCCAGCUCCUGAAGCCUUCUGAGUGUGAGAUCCAUCGAAAUACAACUUCCAAGGAGUGAUCCAGAGACCAGUUACUCUUCUUAUUUCUUGCUGGACCUUAUCUUCUUUGCCCAAAAUAUCUUUUCUUGGUGGGAUCCAAAUGCUAGUAACCUCCAGGCUUCCCGGGAUAUUGAUUACCUCACUUUGAGAUUCUUGAUGCUCGGUCAGGAAGUCAGCAAUUGCUUGGCCUUUGACUGCCCUUUGGGGUACAUAUUGAAAACUGAACUCUGAUAAUGCUAGAAUCCACUUCCCAAUCCUUCCUGUUAGCAUUGGCUUUGACAACAUGUACUUUAUCACAUCUGUUUUGGCGAUGAUGUGUACGUGACAGGGCAACAUGUAAUGCCUUAGCUUGCUGGCAGUAAAAUAUAGAGCCAAGCAUAAUCUCUCUACUGGAGAAUAUCUUAUCUCUACCUCGGUCAGAAUUCUGCUGAGGUAGUAUACGGUCUGCUCCUUCCCGCCUUCAUUAUUUUGGGCUAGCAAACUUCCGAUUGACUUUUCUGAAGCAGAAAUAUACAACUUUAAGGGCUUUCCCCUUUGAGGUGGCACCAACACUGGUGGAGAAGUUAAAUAUGCCUUGAUGCUGUCAAAAGCCUGUUGGUGUGGCGGUCCCCACUCGAAGUUUUCUUUAUCUUUCAAUCUUAGUAGAGGAGUUAGCGGCUGGAUCUUGCCUGCUAAAUUGGCAAUGAAUCUCCUCAAGAAGUUAAUUUUGCCUAGUAGCCUUUGGAGUUGUACUUUAUUGGUGGGUGAAGGUGACUCCAUUAUUGCCCGAGAUUUGUUCUUGUCCACUUCCACACCUAUCUGAUGCACUAGGAAUCCCAAGAAGUUGCCCGCUCUCACUCCAAAUGCGCACUUAUUUGGAUUCAUCUUCAAUUUGUGGAUCCUCAUCCUUGUCAAUGUUUGCUUGAGGUCUACUAGAUGAUGCUCUUCUGUCUUAGAUUUUACCACGAUGUCAUCGAUAUAUACUUCCAUGCUCUGGCCAAUCAGAUCGUGAAAGAUGGCAUUCAUUGCCCUUUGGUAGGUUGCACCAGCAUUCUUGAGCCCGAAUGGUAUGACCAGAUAUUCAUAUGCCCCCACAUGACCGGGACACCUAAAAGUUGUUUUAUGUAUAUCUUCUGGAGCCAUCUUUAUCUGAUUAUACUCGGCAUUUCCAUCCAUAAAAGAUAAGACUUUAUGUUUUACUACUGCAUCUAUGGAUAAAUCGGCCAUGGGCAUGGGAUACUCAUCUUUCGGUGUGGCACUAUUAAUAUUUCUGUAGUCAACACAACAUCGUACUGCUUUUGUUACAGCUUUUAAAACGGGUACAAUGUUGGCUAGCCACUCCACAUAUUUGGCUAGUCUGAUAAAGCCAACUUUUACCAGUCUUUCAAUCUCUUCUUUGAUCUUUUCUUCUAUCUUCUUCGACAUCCUUCGUGGUGCUUGCUUAACAGGUUUAUAUCCCUCCUUGAUGGGCAUUCUAUGUUCCACCAAGGUUGGAUCUAACCCUGGCAUCUCAGUAUAAUGCCAAGCAAAACAGUCUUUGAAUUCUUGCAAAAGGCAAAUAAUCCUUGCCCGAUAAUCAACCCUCAAUAAACCACUGAUCUGUAUUGGUCUUGGAUCAUCCUCUGUUCCUAGAUCAAUAAUUUCCAGAGGAUCCUGGACUUCUGGUGGUGGCUUAUCCGGUUCUGCACACAAAAAUUCGACCAGCUCCAGGCUCUCGGGCAAGUCGUCUGGCCCGUCUAGGUCAUAUAUGCACUCGGCCAUUUGAAUGGCCCUAUCCAGUUCUUCUCUGCAAGAUUCCUCCUUGCGUUCAUGCUGGCUGGUUGAAGCUCCCUCCUGCCAUUCUUGCUCUUCCUUAUCCAAGAGCUCCCUUUCUUGCCUUCUUCCCUUCCCAUACACCAACAGUCUUUUAAUCAGGGAUCUGACUGCCAUUACCUGAUUUUUCUUCUUUUGUUCAGUCAUUGAUGGUGUAGGGGAUUUGGGAUGAUACAAGGUCUAUCCCACUCCUCUUUAGUAAGGAGCAUUCCUUGUUCCAAAAGCUUUUGGGCCGUCACCUUGGUAGGGCGGCCGUUCUUAUCAGCUCCUGAACAUUUCAAGAUUCCUACGUUGGGGUUGUAGAAACUUUCUUCCGCAACAUUGGCUGUGGGGAGGAAUGGCCGUGAUUCGGCCUCUACUAUCUCCCAAAAGCCUGGUCCUUCUGUGCCCGCCUCAUGAUAAACAACUACUUGUUGAUGAAGAGUGGAGGGUAUGGCCAAACUUUGGUGGAUCCAAUCUCUUCCGAGUAAGGCCCCAUAAGUGGAGGUGCAGUCCCCCACAAAGAAUGCCAGCAUUAUCUGUUUAGAUCCCAAAUCCACUUCUAAAGGCAAUAUCCCAUGAGUCUUGGUGAUAGCGCCUGAGAAGCUAGAGACCGUGAGGUCUGUGGGAAUAAGAUCCUCCGUGCCUCUUCCCAUUUUCCUCAUCUGCUUGGCUGGUAACACAUUAACAGCUGCUCCUCCAUCAAUUAGAAUUCUUUUGAAGGGCACACCUUUCAAGUAAGCUGUAACAUAUAUGGGCUUCAGAUGGUUGGCCAGCGAGAUGUUCGGGCGGUUAAACACCAUCUCGUCUGUAUAAAUCCUUAGAGGACCACUUUUGGAUGUUUUUGAAGAUUCGGCCUUGCCAGAUUCUUCUUCUUCAACUACCUCCACAUUGACAUGUGCCAUCAUUGGCUCAGUUGUCAAGUAAUCACCCUCCAUAGUAGCGGGUUGAUCAGGUCUGACACCAAACGUGGCGGAUAAUACAUAUGCCAUGUUGACAUGGAAAUUAUUAGGCUCGAGCAAAUCUUCCUUCUUGCUCCCAAUCUGGUCCAUGAAUUCAUCCAACCAGGCCAUCGCAUCGGCUGGAAGUAGUGGUUCUGGUGCCCCCCUGUUGCUGUUGAUUCAUGCCCGCAUACAGUGUUUGUUUUGGAACUUCACCAAAAGGAUCCACCAAUGGCAAAGAAGGUGGUCUCCUAUCAGAUGAAACAGUUCCAACGCAAAUAGGCUCUAGCUUCCACCCAGGGGUUGGCACCAUGAUCAGAUCUUCUUGAGCUCUCCUCAAGAUCCUAUACUUCCCAGGGUGUUGGUUCUGUGGCACGUGAUUCCCCUCGCCUUCUGUCUUACUAUUGGCCUUUUCUACCUCUUUCUUACUUCUCCAGCGGAGCUGACUCCUUCCCCUAGAUGCUGUUUUCUCCAACUUUUGAUUUUUUGAGGCUUCGGAUGUUGCGGGGGUCUUCAGGGAAUUCAUGUAGGCUUUAUGCUGCCUUUGAACCCUCCUGACCAUGGAGGCUCCCAUUGGUUUGGUAGGCUGUCUGUUCUUUCCGACUAUGUACCAUUUUCGCCCUAGGUGGGCAGGAUUUCCUUUUCUGACAGGAUUGGUUAUCCCAUCAAUCCUCUUGAUUUCCCUCCCCAUCUGGCCAUAUUGAGGAUGAUCUGCACCCCUCCGUAUUUUGGCCUCCAUAUCUUCUGCCUCUUUAGAAGCUUCAUGGUUUCGAAAUACUUCUGACAAAGCUUUGGGUUGGGAAUCACCUCCUAGUUGUUGAAAAACGCUUCGGGAAGUGUCCUUUUUUGUUGUCUGCUUGAUCUUUUCGCGGGCUUCUCUCCUUACGUCUUCUUCCUUCCUCCUGAUCAGUUCAUGAUCAAUGAGGAUUCCAGCUGGGGGAAUUUCGAGCUCACACUCGCAUUGGCACUUAUUACACAUAACCAUCCCCUUGAUUAUUGCUACUUUUGGAUAUUCGGGCGAUUUGAUCAUCCCUCAUGUAGGUUUUUUAGCCAGUCUUUCUUCCUCUGCUUCCCUUGUGAUCUUUUCUUUUCCUUUCUCCGCCCAUGCCAUAUUGAUCAUAUUUAUAGGGGCCUCCGAGAAGGGAACUGCAGGUUUGGCCAUCACCAUAUCUUCUGGCUGGCUAGCUUUAAGUCUUUUUCCUUUGGGAGGAACCAAGUCUGUAUCGUUUCUGGAGCCUGUGAAGGUUUUCUCCAAUCUUUGCAACAUUUGCAACAAUGUGGUUUGCAAAUCUUCUGACAUUUUUGUCAUAUAUCUUCUGAUCAAAAAGGGGAAUCCCACCGGGCGUGCCAAAACUAUGUUCGCGUCAGGAAUUUUCGUCGGGGAUGUUUCCUGGCCAACGAGCACACAGUUCCCCGGGAGGUUGGCGCCGGUUGAGGGCUGCUGUCGGGCUUCUGCUUCACUGUCGGGCUUUGUCGGGCAAGCUUCGUCGGGCAAGUCUUAUCGGGCAAGAUUUGUCGGGCAAGGCUCACCGGGCAAGGCUGAAAGAGAAGGACAAAAUUAACUUUGAAAGGUGCCUUUGUGGGGCCUUAGGUGUAGGCCUUGAGGCUCACAAUCAAGAUUAACUUUUAGGUGCUCAGGCAUGCCACUGCCAUCUUCAGCAUGGCAGAUGUAAAAUGGAUGUCGAGUUUUAGUUAUAUAUAUGUAUAUACUCGAGAAACCGUGUUAGUUAUAACAGGUGCCUUUGUGGGGCCUUAGGUAUAGGCCUUGAGGCUUCUUAUCAAACUAAACCAGUGCUCGAACACAUCAUAUUUGUUCUUGUGAGUGCAAGAGUCUUAUAACUAUUAUACUUCUGAUUAACCGAGUCCGAGAGGUAGAAUGAACCCAAAUAGGUGCCUUCGUAGGGCCUUAGGUGUAGGCCUUGAGGCUUCCCAUUAGAAUUCGUUCUUAGUCAAACGUUCUAGAUCGCAGAACGGAAUGAAUCCAAAUAGGUGCCUUCGUGGGGCCUUAGGUGUAGGCCUUGAGGCUUCCCAUCAGAAUCCAUUCCAUGCUUAAGCGUUCUAUGAUAAUCAUAAUAUAAUAGAAAUAAAACUAAGAGGUAUGUCGAUCACUUGCGCCCCAAGUAACUUUGGACUUCUCGUUUAUCAAGGACUGUCGUGGAUGGGUUAAGUCCACAUAAGGUUCUUUUUUUAUGCCUUGAGGCCAAGGACUUUUAACUGAUCAGAUUUGCAUGCCCGAGGGCUUAGGACUUGGAUCUGGUUUGAACACUGAAGAUAUAUUCAAAUCGGAUCCAAGUACUGAGAAAGCCUUUUAAUAGUCAUCUUGAAAUAACUUGCAUAUAAUUGGAAGUAUACAACAUAUUGCUAGGCUAAUGAAUGAAAAGACAAAAACAAAGAAGGUCGGGCAAGGUUUAACCUUAUCAGGUAAGGCUGAUCGUUUUGCAGGUUCCAAUCUUUGUAGUUUUGUCAAGGGUCUGAAAGCUUAGAGAGAGAGAGAGAGAGAUAGAGAGAUUACAAAAGAUGAAUCGAUACUACAGCAAGGUUGAACAGGGUAGCAGAGCUAUUAUAAAGGUUUGAAGGAAGGUUUAUCCCACGAGGGAUGAAGGCUUGUCCCGAGAGGGAUGAAGGCUUGGGCUGACUACAACUUCGUUUUGAAGGCAAAUCUGGCUUUGAGCAUAGUUUGUGCUUGCAUUUGUUUGUUUGAUUGAGUGUCCUUAUUCCUGGUUUCUCUUUCUUCUUAUAUAGACAACUCGGCUUGGCCUCCUGUAGCAGCAGCCUUGCCCGAAUGCGGUUUGAGGGUGAUAACUCAUCAGCUAUUUUACAUGUAAUGCCACCAUAAAGUACUUUAUAGGCUGUGUAGCUGGUCAGUCUAUACCACUUGGCCUUUGGGUAGGUGAGCAAGUGGUCUUCAUGAGCUGCACCAAGUCAAAAAAUGCCUUUUCUGCUUUUCUGGGUUUCGGCCGGGCCUUGGUCAACUAUUCCUUCAGGCCUCCUUUUGGGCUAGCUGCUUUCUUGAGCCCAAAGUCAAGUUUUGAUCCAAACACGUACACUAGUUGGGUUUCCAUUUCCCAAUACUUUACCCCUCCAGAUUUUUUAUUUUUUCUUCAACCCGCAACCAAUUGGAAGUUUUUCUUGAUCUAAUAAGAACUUCUUGUGCCUUGAAAUUCAAGAAAAUGCAAAAAGACUAAUCUAUUUCUCUUAUUGAAUGAACAACAAAACAUUCAACCCUACCAUGUACAGCAAUUCAACUUAACUUAUCUGCAAAAUCUAGUUCUGGGAUGUGACCAAUUUGCUCAAUUACUAUAACAAUGUGUUUCUGAUCUGGUUAUGAGCCAGCAUAGAUGUUCCAUGUCAUGCUGAGUUGUUAGGACUUGGUAUUACCGCUGUGCUGUAUUUAGGCUUGAUUCUUGCAUACUUGAUCAACGUAUAAUUGUACGUAGUCACCAUGAUUCUUGCAUACUUAUUAUACACAUACAACUCUGUAUUGACAAAGUUAUUAGUUGCAAAGUUAAUGAAAGAAUGAUUCACAGUGUGCUUGUAACAAAUACACAUUUACCGUUUGUGUAAUUCCUCAAGUUUUAUUCUUUCUAAAGAACAUUGGACAUUUUCCUUCGGUUUUAAAGUAAGAAAACCAGUUCCUUCUUCCUAUUUAAUUCCCUGACCAAAAGUAAGCAUUUUCUGUGAUAAAUUAGCGUUUUACCUGUUUGGUCUCAUUUCUAUGGUUGCUUUUCCUUUUAGUCACAGUAUAGAUGCGUAAUAGAUAUCUGUUAAUUUGCAACUAAUCUUUGAAACCCUAUUUUCCGAUGAAGCACAGAAUUCUAAAAGCCCUAAAAGCCCAAGAUUUGCAAGGAACACUCCCAGUAGAGCUGGUAAAUCUCACCUAUCUUCAAGAAAUGUAAGCACAUUUUUACCCCUCCAAGUUUACAUUAUUUAAAAGAAAAUAACUAUGUGUCGUGUAAAUGGUUUAUUCUAAUGUCAUAUAUAGCUUACCUUUAUUUUUGUUGUCAAUGAGACAAUAACUGGUUUCUUUCUUUCUCCUUCAGUGACCUCACCCGCAACUACCUGAGCGGUACCAUCCCUCCAGAAUGGAGCUCUCUUCCACUUCUGAACAUGUACUGUCUUCUCUCAACACUACCUGGCAUUUUUGUGUUUGAUGUUCAUGUCAUGUUCUUAUUGCUUUAUUUGGUCACUCCAAUGUUCUUCAGCCAUUUCUUUCUUAAACUAUGAAUCUACUACAUUGGGUUUUGUUCAUGAUGAUGGGCUUCCGUGGUCAUGAGGUGUUUGAAUCAUAAAUAUUGAAUUGAACACAUGGGGGUGUAUUGACGAACAUGUUAAUGUUAUUGAUCCUCUUGCUUGAAAAAAGUGAUCUUAAGACUAUAGUUUUUUAUGCAGAUCCCUUCUUGGAAAUCUUUUGAACGGUUCUAUCCCCAAAGAGCUCGGAAACAUCACCACCCUGAAGAGUUUGUGAGUGUUGAUUGCGCAUUGGUUUCUUGCUUACCCCAUUUGAUUCCAUGGAGAUCCUUAAUGAUGUUUUUUUAAUCAAUGGAAUUGAAUUUGUUUGUAUAGGGACAUCAGUUUCAAUAACUUCUCUGGACCUCUCCCUCAGGAGCUUGGAUCUUGGGUCAACAUAGAAAGAUUGUAAGAGUCCUUUUCAAAUUUUACCGUGUUAAAAAGUAUUUGGAUUUGGAGUUUUCUUUCUUGUAGACAAAUUCUGGAUGUUUUCACUAGUAAAUCAUCUACUUCUUUAUCAUUGAUAUAAUGGUUAUAUCUAUUUCGUAUUUAGGCUGCUUUCCUCAAACAAUUUUACUGGGGAGUUGCCAGAAACAUUUGCAAAUCUUACCAAAAUAAAGGACUUGUAAGUUUCUGUGGUUCUUUCUUCUUAAAGGUUUCCCGAGCACUUAUACAUUUUUUUUACUGCUUUCUGAUACUAAUUCGUAAUAUUUUCCCUUUUGUCCAAUCAUUAUGCAGUCGGGUUAGUGACAGUCACUUUUUCGGGCAGAUACCUGAUUUUAUUGAGAACUGGACAAAUCUUGAAAAACUGUGAGUGUUUUUCUUUUGUGUGUCAUCUUUCUGCUAUAUGAUUCUGAAUAUUAUCUCUAAUUCAUAUGUUAUGACUCGUUGAAACAGAGUGAUUCAAGCUAGCGGUUUGACAGGGCCAAUUCCUUCUGGCAUUUCUCUUUUGACAAACUUGACUGACUUGUUAGUAUAUCUCGUCUCUAUUUAUAAAUACAAAACGAUUAGCGAAAUGUGUAGUUUAUGUUCAUGGCCCAAUUUUAACGUGCAGGAGAAUCACUGACUUGAGUGGACCUGAAUCACCCAUUCCUUCGCUGGAUAAGAUGAAAAACAUGAAGACACUGUGAGUUAAUGGUUCCAUGACACACAAUUUCUGUCUGUACCAGAAAUCUUCUGUAAACUCAAAGCUUUGGUGUCUGUUGCAGGAUAUUGAGGAAUUGCAACCUUAUUGGAAAGCUACCUCCAUAUCUUGCGCAUAUGACCGAAUUGAAAACUUUGUAAGUACAAAUGUAUUCGUCCCUAUUUUUUUCCGUCUUCAAAUAAAAAAUUUCUUCUAGAUGUGAUUAUACUCUAGGAUUAUUGAAGUGACUUAGACGCUGUUGGGCGGACUUUAUGUUUCUGUAUUUAUUAAGAGAACAUCUCUUGCAGAUGUCAUUUCCCUUUCUGCAGAGAGCACAUCUAAACUGCAUUUGCUAUUUGUUUGUGUAGAGACCUCAGCUUUAACAAGCUGACCGGAGUAAUUCCAAGCAGCUUGGCUAGUCUACCAAAAGUGCAAUAUAUGUAAGCAAUUGGAAUGACCAAUCUAGUCUUCCUUACAUGAAAUUCAAGCAGACAUUCUUCAAUGGUUUUGAUACACCCCAGCCUGACAAGCUGGAAGGAUUUCCAAUCAGGAUUACUAUAAUUAUGAGUCACGGGUUAUACUGCAAUAGAAUUUAGUUUAUUCAUGCAAUUAACUGACACAAGGUGAUCACCCUUAGAUGUGUCUUUCUGAUGGAAGUACUGAUCUAAUGCACUCAGAGUUGGCAAACUCAAAUUUUCAAACCUUUAUAAAGAAAUUCCUAAGAAUAAACACUAUAUUCUUUACUGAGUUUUUCUGUAUUCUUUCUUUUUAGAUUCUUAACUGGAAACUUGCUGACUGGACCUGUACCUAAUUGGCCGAAAUACAAAGUGUAAGCUUCUAUUCCAAAUGCUACUCUUUAGUUACUCAGGAAAUUUAUGCUGUUUUUUUUACUAAGAUAGAUAUAAAACUAUUACAUCAAAAACUUCAUUCGAACCAUGUUAAUGCCUACCUCUUUCUCCUCACCCUUGUUCCCUUUUGUACUGACAAACCACAUCUGGAAAAGAAUUUGUUUAUGCUUCUUUGAUUCUGGUUUAUGAAACCUCAAUGAAUAUGAGGACUGCAGAAGAUGAUUAAUACUGAAAAAGGAGGAUGAAGAAAAUCACACAGAGAAUGUAUGUCCUCGCUGCUCUGCAGAAUGCAGCAGUGGAGAAUCCUUCUUCAUUCAAUAUCUCUCUCUCUCUCUCUAACAUACAAGUCGUGCAAAGAGAAUUUUACCGUUAGCAAAGCACAGCUGGAUCCUUAGACAUCACAAAGUGAUCUCAGCCACACAUCUAACUAUUUUUGCAUUAUUUGCCUUACAUCUUUGAACCUCACACUUGGCAAUAUUACAACUCAAGUGAAUACACAAUUAAGCUCAUAACUUAUUUCACUAAUUCUAAUCAGCUAGAGACUUACAAUUCAACAGAAUUUGCAUCAUAUCUCUUUUUGUGCAGUGAUCUUUCAUAUAACAACCUCACCAUAGAGGAUGCAAGUUGUCCAGCCCUAAGCAACACGUAAGAAUGUCUCCAUUAGCUUGAAGUUAAUCUGUUUGUGUUAUGUGGAGCAAAGCUUAGAUUAACUUUUCAUUUGUGUUAAUUUCUGCAGUAACUUGUUUGCAAGCUCGUCAGAAGGCAAUAGUUCGUAAGUUCAAAUUAACCGUCUCAAAGCAUGCACCUAUAAAUUUACUUUGGUUUCCAACGGUGUAUUCUGUACUAUUUUUUUUUCCCUACUUCUUCCAUUUAUGAUUGCUGACAUUUUCUAUACCCUGAAUUACUCUAUCAGGAGAACUGUUUCAUGUUUCAAAACUUCAGAAUGUCCAAAAUGUAAGCCGGGUUUCUACACAAAUAAUUACCUUUAUUUUUUCGGUUCAUUCUUUUUUAGUUUAGCCGACCCCACUUAGUGGGAAAAGGCUUUGUUGUUGUUGUUGUUGUUGUUGUAUUCUUUUUUAGUUUUCCUCCUCAAUGCCUACUAAUCUCCAUUUUCUUUUUUCAUAGAUUUGUACUACUCGCUCCAUAUAAAUUGUGGUGGGACACAAUUUACUGUCCCUGGAAAGAAAGAUACACUAUAUGAAGCUGACACAUUUCUAGAUGGACCUUCAUCAUUGUACCAGAGCACAACAAAUUGGGCAGUAAGCAGCACCGGUUCCUUCAUUGAUGAUGACCGCCCUAAGGACACCUUUAUAUGGCGUAAUGAAACUACACUCUCUAUGGCCAAUCCUCUACUGUACAUGAACGCACGCCUUUCUCCCAUCUCUCUAACUUAUUUUGGGUUUUGUCUGGGAAAUGGAGACUACACUGUAAAGCUCCAUUUUGCAGAGAUAAUGUUUAGAAAUGGCAAAACAUAUAAAAGCUUGGGAAGGCGCAUAUUCAAUAUUUACAUUCAGGUAAGUAUCGCAUCCACUUCCAUGUAUACCAGUGAAUUAUUCUAAUUUUCAGCUAGCAUUGUUUAUAUUUUGGUCGAUUUGAAUGUUAACUUUCACAUUUAUGUUCAUGAAAUGUUAAGCAACUAAAUUAGUAUAUAUACAUAAAUAUAUUGAAGGGAAUCCUAGUGAAGAAGGACUUCAAUAUCAUGGAUGAAGCUCGUGUGUUUGGUGAUGUAGUCAUAAUGAACUUUACUGCUCCUGUAACUAAUAUACAUUGGAGAUUCGUUUAUAUUGGGCCGGGAAAGGGACGACAGGCAUCCCUGUUAGAGGAGUCUAUGGUCCUCUUAUUUCAGCUAUUUCAGUAGACCCAAGUAAGUUUUCAAUGAUCUGACCUUUGUCUUAUUACUAUGCGUCGACCAUAUGCAUUGAUAUAUCUACUAAAUUAAGAGAUCCGACUUCAGCUCUGCAAGGUUCUUCAAUAUUUCCUUUCCCUUGUAUUUUCACAAAAAUGCUUCUGUGCUUUUCUCCUGUUUUACAUAGUUUGAGCCAAGACUUGAAAUACUCUUUUAAAUUUUCUUAUCACAUAAUAUGCUGAAUUUUCUAGGCGACGGUAUGUGCUUUUAAAUACAACAAAAUUCAACUUGAGGAUUGUUUGUUGAGGAAAAACUUAAGAGUACAGAAUUCUAACACAAGUGUUGGAGACACAAAACAAGUGAACAAAUUACUUGUAUUACACUCACAAAAUAUUGCAACACACAAACUCUCAAAGACACUCUUUAGAGGCAAUGACCUCACUCAUUUUCUAAAGACAAACUCUAGAUCACUCAUACUCCUCACAAGACUACUCUGACUUCUCACUCUCACUUGGUUGCCCGCUUCUUCUUGGUUGGUUGGUUUAUUUCACAACAUCACACACCUAUUUAUAGGCAUGUAUGCCGACUUCACUAGCACUUUCUAGUGCAUGUUCAUGCACACACUGCACCGACAUAUGACUUUUCAUAAUAGCCACAUAUUGUAUAAGCUGCUAGAACUUUCUAGCACAUGAUUAUAUACACACACCCACUGACUUAAUAGGAUAAUGCUAGAAUUAUCUAGCAUAUUGAUACGCCUGCAUGAUGCACCGUCUUUAGUGCUAGAAUUUUCUGGAUUUGUGUAGAAUGGGCUGGGGUUGGACUGUUUUAACAUUUUUAACUAUUUACAUGAAAAUAAUCCAGUUCACUUAAGGGAAACAUAUAAUAUUUACAACCAUCCGAAGAAAGUUUGUUCGAUGGAUUACUUCAUAUACUAUCUACUUAUUUAAGGAUGCCCCAAGGACCGGGUUCAAUCUUCUGUUUCUGUGUGCAUUAGAUAGCUGGUUGAAUAAUCCACUCUCAUAUCAAUUACAUUUACAUUUACUCUAAUUUAAGCUAUAUUCUUUCUUCCGACAGACUUUGAUCCCCCGCCAAAACCUGGUGGAAGUGGCGUGCCUACAGGUGGUGUGGUUGGAAUUGUGGUCGGAGGAGUCUUCAUUAUACUACUGAUAUUUGGUAUUCUUUGUAAGAGAGGUCUCCCAGGACAACAAAAGACAUUGGAGGAUGGUAAUAAUUUGCAGUUUAUUCUGUUAUACUGGUUUUUCUUUUUGUUUCUCCAUUACUUUUUCUUAUUGAACUUUUUUCGUAACUAAGAACAAUAUUUAUGCUAUUUUGCAUGGUUCUCAUGCAUAUUGACGUGCAUACACAAAGACAGUAAUUAUUUAGAUAUUGAGCUUUUUGGCCCUUUGAUGUUGCUAUAAUAUAUUUAUCGUCCAAACUCAUGAUGCGGAUUGCAGAGUGUCUGCCUAUAGAUCCAAUUACUAGUUAAAUUCUAGAAGCACAAAAUAUUAAGAACUAAGAAUACUAUCGUUCUGAAAGUUUUCUUCGACACAAUUUCUUAUGAGUUUUACUUGUGAUACAGAUUUGAAGGGUGUGGGCUUGCAAACCGGUAAAUUUACCUUAAAGCAACUCAAAGAUGCCACAAGCAACUUUAACAAAGCCAAUAAGAUUGGUGAAGGUGGUUUUGGUUCAGUUUAUAAGGUAUUCUUCGGAGCUGAUAUUUAUUUAUUUAUUACAUUUUUUUCUAAUUUGAUAUUGUCUGUUCAAAUGAAAGUUAAUUUGCUUUAUAUAGUGAGGCGAAUUUGACUAUCUUUCUCAAAUGCAGGGCGUUCUAGCAGAUAACACCGUAAUAGCUGUUAAGCAGCUUUCUUCCAAAUCAAAGCAAGGGAAUCGUGAAUUUGUUAAUGAGAUUGGCAUGAUUUCUGCUCUGCAACACCCUCAUCUUGUCAAGCUCCACGGAUGUUGUGUUGAAGGAAAUCAACUAUUGCUUGUCUAUGAGUACCUGGAAAAUAAUAGCGUCGCUCAUGCUUUGUUUAGUAAAUAUCAAUCUCGCUUGCCAAAAGUUCAUUUCAUUCAUACAAUGGGCAUAAAAGAUCUUAUGCACUAAAAAUGUCCUUUACAACUAACUUUGUUUAAUUUGGCAAAUUGAAGGGGCAAAAGAAAGUCAUUUGCAGUUGGAUUGGCCAACAAGGCACAAGAUUUGUAUUGGUACAGCAAGAGGUUUGGCUUAUCUUCAUGAAGAAUCAAGAUUGAAGGUCGUUCAUAGAGACAUCAAGGCUACUAAUGUUCUGCUUGAUAAAAAUCUUAAACCGAAAAUAUCUGACUUUGGAUUGGCCAAGCUUAAUGAAGAGGAUAAUACACACAUUAGCACCCGUAUUGCUGGAACUUAGUCAGUCCCUACACUUUUAUUUAUCUUCUUAUUCUCUUGUUUUGAUCUUCUUCAACCCUUAAAAAAGAAGAUAGAGCAACGGAAAGUCUCUAACUUACAUAAUUUCCAACCUAACCAAAUCCUUGUUCAAGAAAUUUCAAGGGCAGAUUUGUUCUUUCAAUAUAGUUGGGUUAAUGAUUUGAUUUCAUGAUAUUGCAGUGGAUACAUGGCGCCCGAAUAUGCAAUGCGGGGUUAUCUGACUGAUAAAGCAGAUGUCUAUAGUUUUGGUAUUCUUGUAUUGGAAAUUGUUAGCGGGAGAAACAACACAACUUACCGGAAAAAGGAAGAAAGCUUUUAUCUUCUUGAUUGGGUAGCAUGAAUCUACUACUUCCUAAUUUCACUUCAAAUUUUCUUAAUAUGCCUUAUACGUAUGAAAGUACAUUUGAAUCGAUGAAGUUUAAUCCAAAGACAGAAUUCAUAUUGCCUUUGAUGCUUCCAUUUUUUGUAGGCACGACUUCUAAAAGAUCAGGGGGAUUUGAUGGACCUAGUUGAUCCAAGGUUGGGAUCAGACUUUAAUAAAGAGGAGAUGAUUGUUGCAAUCAAUGUGGCUCUCCUUUGUUGCAAUGUUACUUCGACAGCUAGGCCUACCAUGUCUUCGGUUGUGAGCAUGCUUGAAGGAAAGGUUGUUGUUCAUGAGUUGGUCUCGGAUCCAAAUGCCAAGAGUAUUGAGAUUGAUGCAAUGAGGAAACAUUUUCAAUCUAGUUUUGGAAGGGGCACGGGAGAGAAACAUAUAGAAAUGGAGUCAACUGAAGGGCCAUGGACUGCUUCGUCUGCGUCUGCUCACGAUCUGUAUCCCGUCCAUCCUGAUUCAGAUUACUGGAAGAACAGAAGCGAUAUAACUUGAGCUGCACAGUUAUCAGUUUGACUCAACCUUGGCACACUCAAACACAUCAAAUAAUAAAUCAUUUGUAUUUCCUCUAUAACUAUUUGUUGACGUGAGUCAACCAUAUAGUUUAGGAAUGUGAUCAUGUGAUUGAUUCCUUGUAUAAUUCGGAUUCUUAUUUCCUAUUUUAUGGGACCUCUUGAACAACUAUUUAUUUACCUCCUAGAGAGAAGGAUACGUACAAUUACACCUUAACUUUUAUGUCGGUAUCAGAGGAUGCUUCGGCCCGUCUCUUUCCAAAAACCCUUAAAAACCCCCUCAAGGCAUGCAACUUGCAUCAAGAAUUAUUGCUGGUGUUUGUCACGAACCGAGAAAUCCAACGUCUGUGGCUUUGGAAUAAACAAAGCUACAAAGUCAAAAAAACAUAUCAAAAUAAACCUACAAAUCAGUCCCUGCAAUGACUGAAGACAGAAAAACAAAAACCGGUGAGAUAAUUCCCAUGCAAACUAUGUCUAUUCAAAGUGAGUCUACCAAAAUCAGCGGCCUUCCAUUCAGAUUUAGAUUGAGCGACUCGAAUUUCAAAGUUUAGUCGAAGAUGAUGGAGGUCCAUGCCUCUGGCCUUGGCAAACUGGGGUAUUUGACAGGAAAAACCCCUGUUGUUGCUGAAGACUCGCCUGGAUAUACAAAGUGGGUCAAUGAUCACUGCUAUAGUACGAGGAUGGUUGUUGAAAACCAUGAAGCCCCACCUAUCGAGUCUCUUUAUUGACUUGCCGACAGCCAAAGAUGUGUGGGAAAGUGUAACCCAGAUGUUUUACGACAAUUCAGACGAGUUCCAAUAUUGUGAACUCAGGUGUAGGGCUACGCGAACUAAACAAGACGGUCGUCCAGUAAAUUUGUACUUCACUGAACUCAAAGGAGUAUCGCAAGAUCUUGAUAAAAGGCGCCCUAUCAAGAUGAUAUGCAAAGCAGACCUGCAAAGCCGUAGGGAGGAGCUUUCAAAGGACAGGGUUUACGACUUUGUUGCGGGGUUAGAUCAUGGUUUUGAUCAAGUCAGGAGUGAAAUCCUAAGGAUGAAACCUAUCCCUGGGAUUGAAGAAUGUUUUUAUUUGGUUAGACGUGAAGGCCAGAGACAAACCCCUAUGCUUGAAACAAAAUCUAAAACCACAAGCUCUUCUAUGGUGAUGAUCACCAAGUCCCCAUCAUCAUCAUCCUUUCGUUUAACAUCCGCGGGAACAUCUAGCCCAAAUCGCACCCAAGAAGAUAUUUGACACGCCCCGAUCCCGAUAUUCCUCGAAUACCAAGAUAGGCACGUGCUGGCCGACACCCAAGGGUGACGAAAGCCAUUAAUUGAAUGCAAAUGCUGAGAAUAAGGAAUAGAUAAGGUUUAUAAAUAUAAAAGAAUAAAGAAUAUGCAUUUAAGGAACGUGUUCAGAGCACACAUCUAAUCGAGAAUAUUAGAAGAAUUAACAUAAACAAUUUGAAUGAACACAGAACGGGGUCCUACACCUAGAGGACUCGAAGAUACCGAUGCGGAAGUGUCUGGAUGCCGGGAUUGUACGCCUCGAUUCUAAGUCCUGAAGGGGGCGCAAAACAAACAUGAGUGGACCAAGUUGAUAUAUAUAUAAUAAAACAGUUAUCAACGUACUAACCCCCAGGUUUAUGAAAACAUAUAUAUAAUGAUAAACAUAGGUUUUCCGAAUUCUAGCAUGAUGUGCAGUAUCUCAAAUCAUAAUUCAUAUAUAAUAAUCACUAGUGAAUUGUCCGAUAACCCCCAGGCCCCAUGCCGGCUCCCCGUCUCUGAGCAGACAGUCAGAGGAAAAUACACUUCAGGCCCUAUGCCGGCUCCCCGUCCCUAUGCUAAAUAGCCAGAGGAAACACACUCCAAGCCCUAUGCCAACACCAAACCGUCGCCCGGGACGGACCGGAAUCUAUCCCUACGUCCCAUAGCAGAAAGGACCACUAGGUAAGUACAAAACCAUUGAACAUAUAUAUAUAUUAAAAAACAACUUCAUAGUAUAAAGUCAUCCAUCAUCUAUACUAUAAAGAGGUGUUCGAAACAUGUUCUACAUAUCAUAUCGUCAUCCAUCGGAUAUUCUAUAAGAACAUGGGUUAUAGGAAAAAUAGUAAUAAUUCAAACUAGCCUUAGUAAGCAUGUUAUCUCAAAACGUUUCAUAAAACGUAAUCAUUAAAUCAUGUCUUUCAUGUAUGCAUUUCUACUAUUAAAACAUGCUUUUGAAGGGGUCCACUCACAGUACUUAGCCGCCGAAGAGUCACGCAAACUAACGAACAAGAAAACGUCACCAAUAAUUGCCCCUAAGCACAUAAAGGGUCCAAUUAAUAAAACUCUAUUUUAACAAUUGAAUUGGGAAAACGGACUUCAAAAACGGGUCCAGGACGUCGAAAUUAGCCUAGGAGAGAUCCUGGACGAAAGCCAGAAUGGGCUUGGGGUUUGGGUUUUAAUUAAGCUAAAGGGACUUGGGAAAAGGGCUGAAAGCCCACUUUACAAUUGGCCCUAAGGCCUUACUUCCUAAAACAGAAAAUAAAUAAAAACCUUAAAAAGGUUUCUUGGGUUUGACUAAUGGGCUACGGGCCCUAAAUUCCUAAUGGCCCGAAGGCCUUUAAGGGUCCUAAAACAAUUACAAUUAAAUAAAAUAAUUAAAAGUAAAAUAGGCUAGGGUUUUGGGCUUGGCUCCCCAAACCACACGGGCCUAAGGCCCGCUUAGCAUGGAACCGGCCUGGGAGGCCUGUCUCGCCGGAGCACCACCACCGGAGCUUCACAGCUCCGGCCGACUUCCACACACAACCCUAGACUUCGAUCUAGGUACCAAAACGAAGAGCAAGACGAGGGGAGUAUUUCUAUACCUUCCUUUCGUCGUGGAAUGGACGGAGAUGGCCGGAAAAACCCCCGAGGUCGCCGGAGUUGGGUGUGCUUACACCCGGCUUCGAUUUCGUCCUAUAACCUCCAAAAAUCACGAAUUAACUCCAAUUAAACCUCAAUCUCGCAAGAAUCAAGGACGAAAAGAGAGAAUUAGGGGCUUACCUAACCGGAGAUUGAAAAAUCUCGCCGGAGCUCCUUUUCCGGUUCUCUGGGGUCGCGGGAACGAGAGGGAGAGAGAGAGAGAGCAGGACGCGGUGAUGAAGGGUGAUGGGCUUCCUCGCGCGGGGAGAUGGGUGCGUGCAUGUGUGCGCGGUGCAGAGAAGAGGGAGAGAAGUGAGAGAUGAGAGAGAGCCGAGAGGGAGAGACAGGAAGAAAGAAAAGAAAAACAGAAAAGAAGAAGGAGAAAUUGUUUGGGGUGCUGCCAAGUGGCAGAUUUAGAAAGAAAGGGAUCCAUUUUCAGAUUGGGUAGAUAAAAUGGGACAAAAUUGAUAUAAUUAAAAUGUUUUGGGGUAAUUACAUACAUAUAUUUUUAUAAUUAGAGGGCGGGUGUUACAAUAUUGACAAAGAUAAGCUUCACUGCAACCACUGCAAUGGAACAAGGCACACCGAAGAAACUUGUUUUGAAAUACACACAUACCCAGAAUGGUACUGGGAAAAAAUGAAGCAAUUGAAGGCCAAAAGGAGGAAGUCGGGCCAGGCUGAACUGGUCGAGAGACAGGACCUGGAUCCAACGGGAUUAAAGGCCGAAAUGAAGCAAUUAAUGAGCAAAUGAAUAUCUAAACUGGCCUUAACAAUUUUCAGCAAUAAAAAACAUGUCCCUUUAUCGAAGUUGCAUAAAUUACAGAACCUUGGGAUUAAGGAGGAAUAAAAAGCCCAAAUUCCAAUCAAGAAAAAAAAAAUUGUAUGUAAAUUUAAGCUUUACCUGUAGAUUGGCAGCAGCAAAAGCAUACUGGAUCCAACGGGAGCGAGAACUGGAUGCCCAGCCCUUGACACGUUAUCGAGUGAGUUUAGGGAUCUGGGUUUUGUGUUUGCCGUUGAAUUUUGGAAUGAUCUGGAGAAAUUUGGGUUUUAGGGUUCUAAGGAUUUGAGUGAACCGAAACUGAUUUGGAUGAGCAACUUUUGGUUUCGAUUCGCGGUGGAGCAAGGAUGAAGAGGUGGAGGAGGUAGGAACGAAAGGGUGAGAAAAUUUGGAUAGGCGGGAUUCGGUUUCGUUUCGAAUCAGGACAAGACCACCGAGAAACCUCAUUAGCACUCCACGUGUGCAAAAGGGUUUUUCGUCUUUUUACUGUACCAACUUGAAAUACACAAAGGCAAAUUGAAGAUGGGUAUUUUCGUCUUUACACCGUCGCUUAUGAACAAUGUUUUUUCCAUGGCGCUUUAGUAUAUAUAACUAGCAAAGAAUGUUCAAGAGCAAUGCUGCGGGAUUGAAAAUCAUACAAAAACUUUGUAUCUAGUACUAUUUAUAUACAAAGGAUAAUACUUUAUGUGUAUUACAUACUAUUUACAUACAAAAGAUUUGAUAGUCCUAUUAAAAAUCACACAAAAUCUACAAUCUGACUGAGUUACAUACUAUUUCCAUACAAAAUCUACAAUCUGAUUGAAAUACAUACACUUAAUAUGUGCGUACCCCUCUUGACCUUGAACUCCCCCUACAUAGUUUACAAAAUUUACAGAUUAAAUUAAAUAUAAAAUCCAACUUAUUAAUUAAUUAUCAAAAUCGGAAAAAAAAAAUUAAAAGGGUCAAAAGAGAGAAUAGGAGAGGAGUCAAAUACUAAAAAAUAAAAAGAAAAAAACGAAAAUAAAAUCAAUAAUAAGAUUACAUAAGCACAUUCAAUUUGAUGAUUUGGAAAUUAAAGCAAAGGCCUUUGACCUUCUACGUAGGCCUGGUGUAGACAUUGAAAUUUCGGUGGCAUAAAUGUUAGCCAUUGCAGUAAGAUUACAUUUGUAAACAUUGAAAUUUUGGUGAAAUAAAUGUUGACCAUUGUAUUAAAAUUACAACCUUCAUUCACUUCACCUACAUCAUACACUAAGUUCACCUACAACAUCCACCAAGUUUCACCUACAAACAUCCACCAAGUUUCACCUACAACAUCCACCAAAAUUCACCUACAACAUCCACCAAAACAAAUGGAUGGUGGUGAUUCGUUCCCAAAGCCUAUAAAUAGGCUCAUCCAUCAAAGAAUCAAUAAACCAAUUCACAAAUACAUUUCUCUACUCCCAAAAUGGAAGAGAAUACUCCCCACACAUCCAAAAUCCUUGAAGCUUUGAAACUCUAAAGCUUUCAAGCAUCCAACCUCCCAAAUUCAAGCAAAUCCCGAAGGAUCAAGAAAGCCCUCUUCGUUCUUCGUCAAAUCCUCCUUCAAGAUCAAGCCCUAACGGCCCUUGAAGAAAUUUCUCCUUCAAGAUCAAGCCCCAACGGCCCUUGAAGAACUUCCACCAAUUCAAGAUCAAGUCUCGACGGCCCUUGAAGAAAGUGUUCAACAAAUCCACACAACUGUUCAUCCUAAGAUCAAGCCCCGACGCCCCUUUUUGGAUCAACAACAUCACCAAAUCCACAUAAAAUGUUCAUCCUAAGAUCAAGCCCCAACGGCCAUUUGGAUCAACAACAUCAACAAAUCCACACAACUGUUCAUCCUAAGAUCAAGCCCCAACGGCCCUUUGGAUCAACAACAUCAAUAAAUCCACACAACUGUUCAUCCCAAGAUCAAGCCCCGACGGCCCUUGGAUCAACAAUCAUCCAUCUUCAAGAUCAAGCCCCGACGGCCCUUGGAUCAACCAUCCACCAAUUCAAAAUCAAGCCCCGACGGCCCUUGAAGAAAGCACCAUCGUUCAUCAUCCGUUCAUCCAAGAUCAAGCCCCGACGGCCCUUGGAUCAACAACAUCAACAAAUCCACACAUCCAACCGUUCUUCAAGAUCAAGCCCAAAAGCCCUUGAAGAUCCGUUCAUCACCGUUAUUCAAGAUCAAACCUUAACGGCCCUUGAAGAAACACUCAUCCUCAAGAUCAAGCCCCAAUGGCUCUUUGAAGAUCCGCUCAAAUCCACCUUCAAAGAUCAAGCCCACGGCCCCUUGAAGAAACUUCCAACAGUUCAUCCAAGAUCAAGCCUCGACGGCCCUUGGAUCAACGAAACAUCCAUAAAUCAACACCUUACGGAGAUCGAAUCAGAAGAUCAAAAUUGAGAGAGAUUGUAACCCAAAUCAAAAUCACAAAAUAUUAUUUUGUGCACGUUGUUCUUGUCUUUUUCGUUUCAGGAAUUUUCCGUGUUCACAAAUUGGCACGCCCGGUGGGAUAAUCUCUACCUCUCAUCUCUUUCUCCGUUCAAGGAAUCCAAAUCCACCUUCAAAGAUCAAGCCCACGGCCCCUUGAAGAAACUUCCAACAGUUCAUCCAAGAUCAAGCCUCGACGGCCCUUGGAUCAACGAAACAUCCAUAAAUCAACACCUUACGGAGAUCGAAUCAGAGGAUCAAAAUUGAGAGAGAUUGUAACCCAAAUCAAAAUCACAAAAUAUUAUUUUGUGCACGUUGUUCUUGUCUUUUUCGUUUCAGGAAUUUUCCGUGUUCACAAAUUGGCACGCCCGGUGGGAUAAUCUCUACCUCUCAUCUCUUUCUCCGUUCAAGGAAUCCAAACACACCUCAAAGUCAAUAGCAUCAAGCAAGGGACAAGCCGUUCUCGCAAUCACUGAGGGAAUGAUCCUAAGCACUUCUGCCGCAAAUGGACAAUCCAUUAGCGCCACAACCGCUCCUCAACAUGCCACUUCAAAGUUGGUGCCGCUAAAAGAGCAAAUGGAGCAUCAAAGGUGUGAGUCUGUCAUCAACCUGACCUCGCUGGGGGCACCGAAGCAUGCUGCUGAGGCACACAAGAUGACAUCCCAAAACAACCAACGACGUUCUUCGUCAGCAUCUUGGAUGUCUAAAGGAAAGUCACGUCUAGUGGUUGCACAAGUCAUGACCAUCAGCGUUACCUCCAUCGAAGAACAACUGGCUCAAAUGAAUGAAGCAAUCGCAAGGCUAACCCGAACUGUGGAAGAAACAGACUUGCAAAUCGCUGCACUCGUCAGUCGACUGGAGCCACAGGACGGCGAGAACCCUAACCCAGAAGAUGAGUCUACGGUAGAGAGAAUCGAUGUGAAGCUGGAGCCAGACCAAGAAGCGGCACUCAUGGGAUCUCUUUCUAUCCAGCAGUUGCAAGAGAUGAUUGCCAGCACCGUCAAGGCACAGUUCGAAGGGAGCUCAAAUACCUCUAGGUUGUACUAAAAGCCUUAUUCAAAGAAGAUUGAUGCCCUAAAGAUGCCGAGGGGAUAUCAACCACCAAAGUUCAUGCAGUUUGAUGGAAAAGGAAACCCAAAGCAGCACGUUGCACAUUUCGUCGAAACUUGCAACAAUGCGGGGACGGAGGGAGACUACCUUGCCAAGCAGUUUGUGCGCUCGCUAAAAUGAAAAGCCUUUGAAUGGUACACGGACCUAGAGCCUGAGUCCAUCAACAGCUGGGAACAGUUGGAAAGGGAAUUCCUCAACCGCUUCUACAGCACCCGCCGCACUGUGAGCAUGCUAGAGCUAACGAGCACAAAGCAGUGGAAGGACGAGCCAGUCUAUUUACUACUCCAGCAUAUCAUUCAUGGAAGAUAUGGCGGACACUCUUCAAGCCUUCCUGUUAUCCUCGUGUUAUAAAGAACAGUAGCUCAUCGGGUACAGCUACUUCAAUCGUGAGGCAUGAUGCAUCUCCAAGGUCAGAUUCUCAAUUAUUAAGUUGUUUAUAUUGAUAAUUGAUUUUUUGUGUAGCCGGUGGCCGAUAUUCGACUUUAAUUACAUAUCGAUUCAAUGGCAUUCAUAGAACCCGAUCUAAUAUGUGCGGACCGAAUACUUGCCUUACCCCGCCACAAAGCUGCCGCUCUAUUCCCGAACGAUUAUGGAAAGUUGUGUGAGCAUCGCCCAUAAUUGGGUAAGAAAAUGUACACCUGCAAGUCGCAACCGUGCAGAACGUACAUGAUACAGUACGAUUAUACGACAAAGAGAGUGCUUCGAGAACACAAAAGGUUGAGUGUGUGCGAAGGAAAGUGUCCUCCGUGGAUAUACCAUACUCUCAACGAUUUAUCAGAGACUACAUGACCAGUCAACACAUUUCUGUACCUCGUUCAAAUGAUGACAAGACUCUGCGUACUACUAGCAUCUGAACUAACUUGUUAUGUUAUUAUAUGAUUUGAAGUUUUCUUAGCCGUGUCUUAGGCAUGGAAAGAUCGCAUGUUCUUGGUUUCCUGCUCUCAAAUGCUGAGAUACUCAUGAGAAGCUUCCAUACUUUCUCAAGGUGUUUGUGAGAGAAGGUGUUGUUAUGCCGUGGACCUACUUAUUUACCUGGUACUCCAAAUUCAGUUUUCGCGCUACCAGAAUCUUCUGCUGAAAAGGAGUCGUGAUAUCCUGUUCUCUGAACAUAUCACGUUUUCCUAGAGCGUUAUGUGACGAAGCAAACGAGCAUACUUGCAAAUCCAAGAAUGGGGAAUUCCAUUUGGUUAUCAGAAACUAAGAUGUUCCGCCUUAUCAAUCAGACAGAAAGUAAUGGUUCAUCCUCCAAGCUUCAGUGGAGAUUCCCCCGCCCAUACUGUUAACUCUCAAGCCCUGCGACAAUGGACUGUCAGCGGCAUGUGCUUUAAGCCUUUUAAGACAAUACUUUCCCGUAUUCAGAAGUCCGGGCUGUUGAGUUGGGAGUUUACAGAUGAUCUAUUUACAUUUUGAAAGAGUCUAUUGCAUGAAUGCGAUAUUGCAGGUGUUGAGUGAGAGCCAAAAAACGAAGCAAAGCGGAAGGAUCGAAAGCUUUUGGGGAUCUCGCUUGAGUAUAAGACUAGUUCUUGCAAGUUAAGCCGAGAGAGUAUUCACUGAUUGGUGUCCGGUGUACGUGAGAUUGCUAGCCGAACUAACGCAAGGGUAUGGUGUAUCCACUUUGAGUUCAUUGGUAGAUAGGUGUGGUUUGUUUGCUGCAUUGCUUCAACUAUUUUUUUCUUAUGGGUACUUCUCCAAGGAGAGGAUUUCGUGAAGCCUAAUGCUUCUGCGCCAAGGCUUCAUGAGCAAGCCUGCGAAGAAGAUUUCAAAUCAUUUGUUGCUGUUCUUUUCCUUUCAUUAUUUAAUGAAGGAAUGUAGCAUCCAUAUGGGGGACUGUCCUACAGUAUCAGAAGCUGCCAAAUGCCUUGUCCUCCUCCUAGUAGGCCCGUUCCGGUUUGUAGCAUAGUCAUUCAAUCAGGUCAUCCACUGGUUGAGGGCACGCCUCUCACUCUGGACUUAGCUGAUUAUCCUCAGCCCUUUAACAAGUGUUGCAGUUCUUUGUCGAGCACGAAGCCGAGAAAAGAAUCCGAGACUAUUCUCGAACGUUUGUUUCUGAUCUUGAUCCAUUAGGCAAGUUUAGCUGCUGUAGAAGAGUUUCUUUGGGCUCUCGGGAUCACCAGCCGCGAGGGGAAUCUGGUUCAGAGCCUGCCUGCCCUCUGCUGGAAUAACUCGGGGAAUCUGGAACUCACACCGCACAGGUGCUCGUGCUUCAUCUCUGGUCUACUUCAAAUCUGCUUCACCACUCGUUCGCCAUUCAACCGAUCCAGAAACAUCUGUGAAUAUAGGAGAUACAGCUAGGAGGGAACCACACAAAGGAGUAGCAAGAGCACAAGACUCAUCAAAGGAAGGGUAAGCUGUUUGAAGCCUUCUCAGGAUGAAGCAAGAGGACCUCAAACAGAAAUGCAGCUACGUAGACGGGCACUCUUUUGAUAAAAGAUGUUCAAACUGAAGCCACAAAUGGGGACACUACUCUGAGGUUGUUACUGAUACCAAAGUGACAUGUAAUUAUUAUUAUUAUUAUUAAUUUGUGAAUAUGCGUGUUUGGGUUAUUUUGUUCAUGCUAACAAAGACACUUCUAGUAGUACUUUUUCACUAAGCAAUCUUCUUUCUUGCAUAUCUGUAUGGGUUUUGAUAUGGCAUUGGGGUUCCCGAUAGGAUUCAGUUUACAUUCCCCAAGCUUAUUGUGUUGAUUAUCAAUUAAAAGAUUAAUUCUAACGCGACAGAGAAUCAUGGUUCAUUGUUUCUGAUGGGCUACUUUAUCGACAAGGGUUUAUUGGGUAUUUGGUGAACCAAACCUUGCUAAGGGCAACUUUAAGCGAGAUGGGUAUGUGGGGUAAGCAAGUGGACAUUAACUUUGGUGUCCCUAUAAUGAGUUAGUCCUCCACGCGUUUGCGCUCUUACAGCACUUUAUCUUUUUAAAUUUCUUUAUAUUGGUAAAGUUGGUUGGCAAUUCACUUCUUAGAUAUCUCAUCUCGGUAUGAGGUUUGUUUAAUACCACUAACAACCUCCUCCUUCUAGUGAGACGUAUUUUCUUUUUUCGAAAUUUUUUUUGGUUGAGUAAUCGCUGCCAUAGUCAUCCAAUCUGCCUUUCCAAUACAAUUUCUGUUGAACAGUCAUUGAUGUUGUCUUCUGUAGGAUGAGGAAUCUGAUAAUAUCGCCUGUGAGAUGGGAUGAAUUGUUUAGAAGAUGAUGAAAUAUCUCAGAUGACGAAGAUGUGACCUAUUAUGUAUGUUAUUGGAGUCUUUAAUUUUUAUGUCCUGAACAGGAGUAUUGGAUACUUUGAGUUUUUAUUGUUGCUAUUAUUGGGUACUUUUGGCAGGUUCUAAGAGAUGAUCUCUGGUCCCGCUUUGCAUGCCGGGAUAAAGUUACAACCUGCAUGUCAUAAAUUGGGAGAACUCAACUAAUGAGGAUGCUACAUUCUAAGCUUUCCAGCCAGCAACGUGAACAAUCUACUAACCCCAGCUUGUCUUCAGUAGCCAUCAGUCACUCCGACAAAAGGCUUGUGCUGUGAAAAUCUCAUCAUAGAAGCGCUCAUAAAGCAAUCCAGACGCAUGCUACAGUCGUAAGAGGCUGCCAGAUCUGCUGAGCGAUAGGCUAAUAGUAUUCUGCUUAAUUAGGUUCAAUAUAGACUUGCAUGUGAAUUUUGCUCUUGCCCCAUGGCUGGGCUUGGAUCUGCAGCAGGGGCAUUAGGGGAGGCAGAGAUAGAUCAAGGACGUCCUAUUUUUGUCAUUCUAGUGAUCCUCCUAAGUUGAUUUUUACUUUCUGGAGGGGACAGCUUAAUAGGCUCUGACAUCAUAUCGGCUAUUCAGAGGACAGCUUGUGCAGAUAGGUAGAUGAUGAAAGUAUGCUGGAGUGAUUUUGUAUCAGUAAGGUUGCAGGCUAUGGAGUGAUAUUUACACUAUCACUACCAGGGCCAGAACAUUCCAAAACUGCAGGCAUUCGUUUGUUGAGAAGGGCAUAACCAAGUAUCCAUACCCCAACACCUGCAUCACAUGAUCUGGACAGCUCAAAUUUCUGCGACUUAACAAAUAUUUCUUGCACCUUCACACUUGCAUUCGCAGAUUCCAUUCGAAUUCAAUUGCAUCGAAUGUCACUUGUCUAUGCGCUCCGUAGUAUAUAUAGAAUGCCAGGAGUCGAGAAGGCUUUUUGACAGCUUGGUGAUGGACUCAAUGUCUUAAGCAUAAACACAUACAAUAAUAUGCUACCACAUAGGCAUCUUACGUUCUCCCCCACAUAAUAGAUGCAAUCGGACUGGAGGCGGCUGAGCGCCAUAAACCUGCGUAGGUCAUCUUAGAGGGCUUGGAACUUUAGCACUACCUUCCAAUCCUCGCCUGAAGCUCAGAAUGCAACAGUUUCCGACAUUUUUGCGGAGGUAAAGUUUUGGAAUUGAUGACUUGAGUACAACUUGGUGCUAGAGUUUUUCCUUGAGGAAUUUAUGUAACGAACGCUAAAUCUACGUCGCAAAAUUGAGAUGAUCGCCGGCCAAAAAUUCAUAGCGACACAAUGCCCUUGUCAGUAGUCGUCCAGCCAGUGGGCGCGCGAAGUCUUCACUUCUUGAUCUUUGUGGUUACCAUGUCUUUACACCAUCACAUGAGAUCCUUAUCUUUCAUAUGUUCACCCUUUUGAGACUCGGAACAACGUAUGUCUCAUGAGUUCUCCCAUGCGCAUAUUAAGAGUAUGUCCCUCAGCCGGAACCGUCCCUGUACCUCUCCCUAUAUAUAUUCCGAGCACCAGCAGUGCUGACUGGUCCAUGCACAUUAACAAAAUUUCACAAAUUCUCCUCCCCGCAAUGAACCAGAAUGAGUCUAAACUGGGUGAGCAUAGGCACAAGAAGAAGUCUCACCUUGGGGCUAGCAAAGUCGACGAGUCUAUUUUACACACGAAACCGGAUUUUGGAUUCUGCCUGCCCAAGACAGUUAACUGAGCCAGAGAUGAUUGCAUUCCCCAUCUCCAGAAAAUCUCUGUCGCUGAAGUAAGCAGAUGAAUCUCUUUAUGAACUGGCGUGGGCCACUGAGCCUGAUGGGUCCAACUGCUCUUUAGGCUUUCAGUCAAUCCAGAGCCUAAACAACCUAUAAUGAACCACAAGCUCACUGGUGCGCAGCCCUACCAAGAGUAAACUAGUUGGCAAUUGCGAUAAGAACUGUGCAUAAUUCUUCAAAUGUACGCACAAAAUCAAUCGAAGUGCAAAUGAGGAAUGUUACUGUUAAAACUCUCAUUCAAGAUGGCUCACUCAAAUAUGCAAAUUACGGUCGACAAUAUGCCCUCAAAUGCUGAUCCCUCUUGUGUGUUGUCCCUUCUCCUGGAAUCCGAAAGCCGUUAGUUCGUAGCUCCUGUUAAUUGCCAGUUUUUCCAUACAGAAACAUUCAAGAAGUUCGAAGGUUCAAAGUCAAUAUACACUAAAUUAAGAAUUAGAGAAAAAAUAUAAAGUUUUAUUAGAAUGGAAAGUGCAAUUUCUAGUGUACAAAAAUUAGUAAUAAAUAAUGCACGUGAAAUAGUCACUAUUCGUAAGUUUACAUAUAGAAAAACAGACUAAAUGAAGAACAACCCUACAAUAACCAACCAGAAUUUGUUUAAAGUUUUGCUGGUCAGGCCCAGAUAGAAUAAGUUAAGAGAGAAAUAUAAAGUAGACGCUUUCUUAUUUUAUUUUUUUCUCAUGAUAAUCAAUUUACACCUAAUAAAUUUUAUUAAUGAUAAGUAGAUAUCUUAUAAGAAUAUAAAAUAAAUUUUCAUAUAUCAAAUAUUAACAAUUUUGAGAGGGAUGCUUAAAAAAGAAUUAAACCCAAUUUUCCAUCUCCUGAUCUAUCUUCCCUCCUUCAGGAAUGCGCUUCGACUUAACCACUCAUAUCCCUUGGCUAUCCGUGUCUCUCACAAAUGCAUAGUUGAAGACUUGAGCAAGAGUGAACAUCGUUAUAUAUGAAGCAUACACACUAACUCAGACAGAACUUCCUUCAGUGCUAGACGUGAGAAAUGAAACCCUCAUAUAAUAGUUAGAAUCCAAAAUUAUUACAUUAGGAGCUUUUCAAUUGACGCAGUACGAGCCUAGACGAUGCGGCCAUAUUGGUGCUGAACAAACCUCUGAAAUCAAUGCCCUUGAUUUUGAAGCCCGAAGCUCAAAACUUGGCGGAGUAGCGCAUCAGAUUCCUGCAAUUUCUGAGUGUUAAUACCUCUCGCGUUCUGUCUAUGAGAUUUGUUUAUCCCAACUUAGAUCACCUUGGCGAGCUUUAAUCUGCAGACUAUUAUUGAGUCUUUCCUGCGUUCGACCUCCUCGAAACCUAACUCGCUGGUGUGAAAUACUGCAAUGAUAUUCUUCAAACUGCGAUGCAGCCGCUGAAAUUGAUUCAAAACUUUUGGUACUUAGUUCUUCGGUGCAUUAAUAAUUUGGCUGUAGGGCUUUCAUUAUUUUAGGACUUUCUAUUCCUGCAUCAACGUACUAUCUUGGAGCUCAAUGGGAUGAAUCUCUCGAUAAUAUGGUCGCCUAUCUCUAGAUCCGGACUAUUGGUGUAAAAUACUGAUUUAAUCUCGGGUAAUUUCUAUAGGUUAGUUAGACACAAAUGGUCAAUUACACGUUGGCCAGGACCACGCGCUAGUACAAGCAUACAUUUCAUAAAUUCUCUAAGCCAUGCGUCGAUAGAGUCACCCCAGCACAGUGCAAGUAUCUUAAGGAUAUGAAUACUAAGUAGGCAAUAUGAAAGUGUGAAGCAAUGUGUGGGCCCAUAUGGUUAAUCUGAGAAUAGACAGACUCACCUCAGGUUCACCGAGUUUUCUAAAUCAAAAAUCGGGGUCGGUCGGUAUGUUGUCUUCUAGUAUACUAUUUUCUAAAGCGUUUGUUGAAAUAAAGACACUGACCGGUGAUAUAGCAGGAGCAAUUCAAGAUCUAAUGAAGUGCAGGAAUGAAAUUUUUAACAGAGGCUGACAACUCAGAGAGUGUGAGUCUUUCUUGUAUACAACGAAUACUGAGCGAUUCGACCUUUCUAUAUAAAUGUAUCAAGCCAUUCACGACGGGUGACUCAAAAAGAUGUCGUAAGACCGUCUGGAGCUCCGAGAAUUCGGAUGAUGAGGACAUAUUUCAAAUAAUACUCAAGAGGGCUAAGUCAGGAGAACACUUGAAAAGAAAGUUAUUCUGCACUUUUCCAUGCUAUAUCUGUGCCAACUGCAAGUUUAAACAUUCCCGCUUACAAUACGCGCCCAAAUCAGCUCUGAUGGAAAAAGUUACUUUGCGGGGCACGAAUGUUUGUAAAGAGCUCGCAUGGAAAUUCGCGCAGUGAGUUUAUCGAAGAAGCGAGCGUGUACUUAUUCAUCGCUACGUUCAGCACCUGGUCCAUCUCUGGGCGAAAACUCAUCUUACGGGUAUUUAAUCGAAAGUGAGGCAAUUUAUCAGAGGCGUUUAUGAAGCCUGUCUGUCACAAGCCCAAGUAAGUAAAUCUCAAGAACACGCACCUGGUCGUGCUCAGUCUUUGCAGGUACUGGCGUUCGCUGAGACACACGUGUCCUAACUACACUUUGCUUCAGCUCUUUUAGAUUACAUAUUUGGAGCUAAAAUUGCGUACUUCACUACGGACAGAGAGUUUGUCGGAGGAUUUUUCUGGAUAUGUAAAUAUAAUGAAGUAUAUAUUGAGUCUAAGCUUCCUACGCUCAUCUAUUGGCUGUUUACCGACAAACCGCGUGUGAAAGUAGAUAUAGUUCAGGUUUACCCAAUACCUGAUGUAUUAAAGUAAUGUUUUAUCUCUUUCUCUGUGUUACGUAAGCCUGUUGUCCAACCUCUCUACCCCUCCGUCCAAUAUGCAAUGUCUGAACAUACUAUUACUGCUUAAUCUUCAUAUCUACUCGAGAAUGACGCGCUUUUCUCUCUCCCUCAAAGACGUAUAAAGAACCUUCGUCGGAGUGAUGAUCAGUUCAGUCUUUGAAUCUUUAGUUGUCACUUUGGGUGUCCUCUGCUGCAAAAUACUAUUAUCGACUCACUCUCCUAGCGCACGAGAGGUAUCAUCAGUUGAGAUCAACCAGAGUAUGGUUUAAAUUGCUCUUUCUGAAUCGAGCCAUAAUUCUUACAAUCAUGUCUUUACUCCCUUUCCCAUUCUCUCUGUUUUCCGCUUUUUACUCUUACCCUGUACAAACUUCUCACAGGAUAGAGAGGUCAAAUACAUAUAUGCCAGGAAUACUCUCCCAGCUCUCCAAUAUACUUCGGACGACCAACAUUAUUUCCUGCGUCCACAUGAGUUGGACUAUCUGGACUGUUAUCGAGGUACAAGUCGGGCAAGAGGUGAAAAUUUGUGGAGUAGCAUGCAGACAGUUAAUGUGGAUACAAUCGUAGCAUGACUAUCACGCUAAAAUAAGUAGAAAUUACCACGAAGAAGAUAAUGCUUAUUAACUAUCUAGCGAACAAGCAUUGCCUCAAGCCAUAAGUGAGUGUUUUGAGCUGAGAUCUGUUGAUAUUCUAAUGACUGAAACUUCGCUCUACAUUCUGCUGAGAGGACGAGAGACGAGACCGAACAAUUUGGCAGUGACCUGUUGCACGAUGAAUCAGUCAUAUCAGUCAAAGAGGAGUUCUGAGGCGAAGAACUCAUGCAGGAAGAUGCUUAUGGCAAUGACCAACCAGCCUCGCCAGAAAUGGAGACUCCAUAGAGCGAGGAAAAUGGAUAACAUUCUUAAAGCUAUGGAGGACAUAGUGACAACAACAUAUCAUCGUUCUGUGCUCGAAAUCCUUCAAUGUGCGCGAGUGCGCUUCUCUGUUCAAAGAAUUUGCAAAAGUUGUUCUAGUUCUAUUGAUCAUCAGUGUAGCACAGUUCUUCUUGUGUUUAUAAAUUUGUAGGUUUGCGUCGAUGAUUAGAUAGCUCGGUUUGUGGAACCUCCAACGACUCUCAUGGGGUCGACUUGACUAGGCGUUGUUAAGGGCUGACAGCUUUCUCACCAACCCUUAAUCAAGCCUUAAGAUUUCAAGUCACCAACUGGCAAGAAGAGAGGCCCACGCAUCAAUUCUUGACAUAGAGCCAUCUUACCUUUGACGCACACAAGUCUGGUCUCAUUGACUUGGUGAAUUAAUGCAGAACCUCUGGUUGUAAUCUCACAGACACACUAAUCGGUUCACCGUUUCUUCGUGCCUUGUCUUGUGGCCCUUUCGAUUUAACCUCUCUCAGAAGAAUCAAUGCAUCAGACCCUGAAGAAGUUUCCGGCCAAAUUCAAGAUCAAGCCUCGACGGCCCUUGAGGAAAUCACAAGUCCGAUUCAAGAUCAAGCGUCCACCAUAUUUGAAUCAAAUCCAGUUCAAGAAUAAGCUGUGGAAAAUCAACAAUUGGAGGAAUCCAAAAAAUCCUCCAACCCAGUUCAAGAUCAAAGCUGUGGAAAGUCAACAAAGCGCAAAAACAAAUACGUGCCGAUUCAUCCACUACCAAAACCAAAGAUCAUCUACCACAUAAAGCUCCUUGUGGUCCAAUUUCAACCUUCAAGAUCAAGCCUCGACGGCCCUUGAAGAAAUUUCGAACAAAGUCCAAGAACAAGCCUCAACGGCCCUUGAAGAAAUCUCCAGCCCAAUUCAAGAUCAAGCCUCGAUGGCCCUUGGAUUGACAACUACAUUAACGGACUUCAAAACGCAUCUCCUACAUGUAACAAGCACAUGUAUACAACGCGCCUUGAAGUGGGGGCAUUUGUAGACAUUGAAAUUUCGGUGGCAUAAAUGUUAGCCAUUGCAUUAAGAUUACAUUUGUAAACAUUGAAAUUUUGGUGAAAUAAAUGUUGACCAUUGUAUUAAAAUUACAACCUUCAUUCACUUCACCUCACCUACAUCAUAGUUUCACUACAAGUUCCACAGUUUCACCUACAAACAUCCACCAAGUUUCACCUACAACAUCCACCAAAAUACAAUCACCUACAACAUCCACCAAAACAAAUGGAUGGUGGUGAUUCGUUCCCAAAGCCUAUAAAUAGGCUCAUCCAUCAAAGAAUCAAUAAACCAAUUCACAAAUACAUUUCUCUACUCCCAAAAUGGAAGAGAAUACUCCCCACACAUCCAAAAUCCUUGAAGCUUUGAAACUCUAAAGCUUUCAAGCAUCCAACCUCCCAAAUUCAAGCAAAUCCCGAAGGAUCAAGAAAGCCCUCUUCGUUCUUCGUCAAAUCCUCCUUCAAGAUCAAGCCCUAACGGCCCUUGAAGAAAUUUCUCCUUCAAGAUCAAGCCCCAACGGCCCUUGAAGAACUUCCACCAAUUCAAGAUCAAGUCUCGACGGCCCUUGAAGAAAGUGUUCAACAAAUCCACACAACUGUUCAUCCUAAGAUCAAGCCCCGACGCCCCUUUUGGAUCAACAACAUCACCAAAUCCACAUAAAUGUUCAUCCUAAGAUCAAGCCCCAACGGCCAUUUGGAUCAACAACAUCAACAAAUCCACACAACUGUUCAUCCUAAGAUCAAGCCCCAACGGCCCUUUGGAUCAACAACAUCAAUAAAUCCACACAACUGUUCAUCCCAAGAUCAAGCCCCGACGGCCCUUGGAUCAACAAUCAUCCAUCUUCAAGAUCAAGCCCCGACGGCCCUUGGAUCAACCAUCCACCAAUUCAAGAUCAAGCCCCGACGGCCCUUGAAGAAAGCACCAUCGUUCAUCAUCCGUUCAUCCAAGAUCAAGCCCCGACGGCCCUUGGAUCAACAACAUCAACAAAUCCACACAUCCAACCGUUCUUCAAGAUCAAGCCCAAAAGCCCUUGAAGAUCCGUUCAUCACCGUUAUUCAAGAUCAAACCUUAACGGCCCUUGAAGAAACACUCAUCCUCAAGAUCAAGCCCCAAUGGCUCUUUGAAGAUCCGCUCAAAUCCACCUUCAAAGAUCAAGCCCACGGCCCCUUGAAGAAACUUCCAACAGUUCAUCCAAGAUCAAGCCUCGACGGCCCUUGGAUCAACGAAACAUCCAUAAAUCAACACCUUACGGAGAUCGAAUCAGAUGAUCAAAAUUGAGAGAGAUUGUAACCCAAAUCAAAAUCACAAAAUAUUAUUUUGUGCACGUUGUUCUUGUCUUUUUCGUUUCAGGAAUUUUCCGUGUUCACACCUGGCAAUUCCUGACACGACCUGAUAAUCCGACACGACACGACACAAAAUUAACAGAUGUUCGGGUCGACACGAUAACGAAUCGGGUGUUAUCGGGUAACCCGAUAAGCAACUGUUAAGAUAACGGGUUAGUUCGAGUAUACAUGUGGAUAACACGAUAAGCACCUGUUAAUAAUUUUAUAACGCUAAAAAAUACUAUAAUAAUUAUAUAUAUUAAUUUAACAAUUUUAUACCCCUAAAAAGUUUAAAACUAUAAUAAUUAUAUAUAUAUAUAUUAAAUUAACUAUAAUAAUUAUAUAUACUAUAAUAAUUAUACCCCCAAAAUAUUAACUAAAAUAAUUAUAAUAAUUAUAUAUACUAUAAUAAUUAUACCCCCAAAAUAUUACUAUAAUAAUUAUAUAUAUAUAUAUAUAUAUUAAGUUUUAAAUUAAAUUUAUACCCCUAAAAACUAUAAUAAUUAUACGUACAAAAUAAAUAGAUUUAAAUCUACAUAAUAUAUAUAUAUAUACACACCAUUGAACUUGAUGGAAUACACGAAACUAAUUUCAACGAUCCAACCAUUAAACUUGUUUGUAUAUGCUUCGAGAUCGCAUCAGCAAAAAAUUGCAAAAAACAAACAUUUAGAGAUCAAGUAACGAGACAAAACUUUUCGACGGUUAUAAAACAAAAAAUUACGAUUUAACAGUUAUUUUAACUCCGAUUUUGAUAUUUUUUACAGCUACACUCGUUGACCAUAUAUGAAUACAAUGAAUGAAUUCGAUUUUCAAUUUAAAAUAUUUACACUAGUGGAUACUACAAAAUUUUAUGUUAUACUUAAUGAAAAUAUAAAUAAACUCUAAGUGUUAGUGAAUCUAUCGUUUUGAUGAGAUACAAACUCUAUGAAACUAAUUUUAACGAUCCAACCGUCAAACUUGUUUGUAUAUGCUUCGAGAUCACAUAUGCCAAAAAUCACAAAAAAAAAACAAUCAGAGAUUAAGUAAUGAGACAAAACGUUUCGACGGUUAUAAAACAAAAAAUCACGAUUUAACGGUUAUUUUAACUCCGAUUUUGAUGAUUUUUUACAACGACACUCCUUGACCCUAUACGAAUUCAAUGAAUGAAUUGGAUAUUCAAUUUAAAAUAUUUACACAAGUGGAUAUCACAAAAUCUUAUGUUAUACUUAAUGAAAGUAUAAAUAAAAUCUAACUGUUAGUGAAUCUAUCGUUUUGAUGAGAUAUGAAUUCUAUGAACCUAAUUUUAACAAUCCAACCGUCAAACUUGUUUAUAUAUGCUUCGAGAUCGCAUACGCCAAAAAUUACAAAAAACAAACAUUCAGAGAUCAAGAAAUGAGACAAAACAUUUCGACGGUUAUAAAACAAAAAAUCAUGAUUUAACGGUUAUUUUAACUCCAAUUUUGAUGAUUUUUUACGACUACACUCAUUGACCCUAUAUGAAUACAAUGAAUGAAUUUGAUCGUCAAUUUAAAAUAUUUACACAAGUGGAUACCACAAAAUCUUAUGAUACACUUAAUGAAAGUAUAAAUAAACUCUAAGUGUUAAUGAAUCUAUCGUUUUGAUGGGAUACGAAUUCUAUGAAACUAAUUUUAAAAAUCCAACCGUCAAACUUGUUUGUAUAUGCUUCAAGAUCGCAUACGCCAAAAAUCACAAAAAACAAACAUUCAGAGAUCAAGUAAUGAGACAAAACUUUUCGACGGUUAUAAAACAAAAAAUCAUGAUUUAACGGUUAUUUUAACUCCGAUUUUGAUGAUUUUUUACAACUACAAUCUUUGACCCUGUACGAAUACAAUGAAUGAAUUUGAUCGUCAAUUUAAAAUAUUUACACAAGUGGAUACCACAAAAUCUUAUGUUAUACUUAAUGAAAGUAUAAAUAAACUUUAAGUGUUAGUGAAUCUAUCGUUUUGAUAUGAUACGAAUUCUAUGAAACUAAUUUUAACGAUCCAACCGUCAAACUUGUUUGUAUAUGCUUCAAGAUCGCAUAUGCCAAAAAUCACAAAAAACAAACAUUUAGAAAUCAAGUAAUGAGACAAAACUUUUUCGACGGUUAUAAAACAAAAAAUCAUGAUUUAACGGUUAUUUUAACUCCGAUUUUGAUGAUUUUUUACAACUACACUCCUUGACCCUAUACGAAUACAAUGAAUGAAUUUGAUCGUCAAUUUAAAAUAUUUACACAAGUGGAUACCACAAAAUCUUAUGUUAUACUUAAUGAAAGUAUAAUUAAACUCUAAGUGUUAAUGAAUCUAUCGUUUUGAUGCGAUACGAAUUCUAUGAAACUAAUUUUAACGAACCAACCGUCAAACUUGUUUGAUAUGCUUCGAGAUCGCAUACGCCAAAAAUCACAAAAAACAAACAUUCAGAGAUCAAGAAUUGAGACAAAACUUUUCGACGAUUAUAAAACAAAAAAUCACGAUUUAACGGUUAUUUUAACUCCGAUUUUGAUGAUUUUUUCAACUACACUCCUUGACCCUAUACGAAUACAAUGAAUGAAUUUGAUCAUCAAUUUAAAAUAUUUACACAAGUGGAUACCACAAAAUCUUACGUUAUACUUAAUGAAAGUAUAAAUAAACCCUAAGUGUUAGUGAAUCUAUCGCUUUGAUGGGAUAUGAAUUCUAUGAAACUAAUUUUAACGAUCCAACCGUCAAACUUGUUUGUAUAUGCUUCGAGAUCGCAUAUGCCAAAAAUCACAAAAAACACACAUUCAAAGAUCAAGUAAUGAGACAAAACUUUUCGACGGUUAUAAAACAAAAAAUCACGAUUUAACGGUUAUUUUAACUCUGAUUUUGAUGAUUAUUUACAACUACACUCCUUGACCCUAUACAAAUACAAUGAAUGAAUUUGAUCUUCAAUUUAAAAUAUUUACACAUGUGGAUACCACAAAUCUUAUGUUAUACUUAAUGAAAGUAUAAAUAAACUCUAAGAGCAAGUCCACCCCUAAGGACUUUGCGCCAGCACCCAGCGUAUUUAUCCACCCAAGUGAACAGUAAUAGACCCCAAUGAACAGUAAUAGGCUAAAGCAGCUCCACCCCUAAAAAUGGACUGGCACCCAGCCCAUCUAAUAUUAUAUUAUUUUAUUCAUAUCAAUUAAUAUUUUAUCAUUUAAUUUAUUUUUUCUUCCUUUCUUUGUCCGGUCCUCACCCUUUUAUUCUCUCUCUCUCUCUCUCUCUCUCUCUCUCUCUCUCUCUCUCUCUCUCUCUCUUUUCCAGCUCACUCCCGUGAGCUCUCUCUCUCUCUCUCUCCUUUUUCUCCAUGUUUUCUUCUUCAAAUGAGCACCCAGCACCUGAAAUGGACCUCUUCCCCCAAAAAUGGGAGGUCGCCGUGGAGGUGCUCCACACCAACGGUUGGGAUCUCGCCGGAGCUCCACACAAACGCUCACAGGCACCUCGUUGUCGUCUCCUCACCGGAGCUCGCCAUGGAGGUGCUCCACACCCACGGAGUCGGAUCUCGCCGUGGAGGUGCUCCACACCAACGCUCCUCGAAAAAUGGACCUCCUCCUCCUCCGCAUUACCCGGCUGGCGUCAGCAUGAGUCAGAUGUACCGGGCAACACCUCAGUCAAUUUUGGACUGGGCUACAGACCAGCUUGCGCUGGGUGCCAGUCAAUUGGGUCGGGUGGAGGGGUUUCACAGGGUGCUGGGCAGUUUUUUCAGCUGGGUGCUGGGCAAAAUGCCCUCCGCUGGAACUGCUCUAAGUGUUAGUGAAUCUAUCGUUUUGAUGAGAUACGAAUUCUAUGAAACUAAUUUUAAUGAUCCAACCGUCAAACUUGUUUUUUAUUAGGCUCUUAUUUUCAUGUGUAGAUGUAGUACUUAAAUGACAAAUAUGUUUUAAUGUUUUGAAGUAAUAUUUAUGUGGUCAAACUUGUUUUUUAUUAGGCUCUUAUUUUCGUGUGUAGAUGUAGUACUUAAAUGACAAAUAUGUUUUAAUGUUUUGAAGUAAUAUUUAUGUGGUAAUGUGUGGUAUAUGCAAAUUUAAGAAAAAAAUAUAUUUUUCUUAACGGGUCAUAAAGGGUCGGGUCACUUUACCCAGGGUCGGGUCACUUUACCCGUUGGGUAAAGUGACCCGACCUGUUAAAGACCCGUUAAGAUAACAUGUGUGACACGACACGACCCGUUACGAUGACAGGUGUUAUACGAAAACGACACGAACACGACAGACACGACCCGUUUGCCAGGCCUACUUCUAUGACAUAUUAAAUACCUCCUUGAGCACAAAAAUAGAAAGAAAGGAGGCAUAACAUAUAAUAACUCUAGUUUGGGCUAAUUCAUUCACAUACUAAGUGUCAAAGAGGUUAAUAUAUAUAUAUAUAUAUAUAUAUAUAUAUAUAUAUAUAUAUAUAUAAUAUAUAUUUUUUUUUUUUUUUUUUUUGGUCGAAGAGGUUAAUAUUUUUAUUGGAACUAAGACUUCUGUUUUAAACAAAAGAAGAAAACACGCGGCAGACAGAAAAACAUAAAGUGGAGUACUUACAUCAGGCCAAGAAUCGAUAAUGAGCUCUGCAAUUCAUUGGCUAUAUCUCAUUCCACAUCAACUUGUUCCUUCUCAGUUGGCCGCUAAAACCAACCAUUCCAAUUUAAUUAUAAGAAAUCAAUAGGAAGGCUAGUAAUUUAUUGUCAAAGUUCACCGUAUAUAGAUUUCCUCAGAUAUAAUUCAUCGUAUAUAGAUUUCCUCAGAAAUACGAUAAAAUACAAUUACAUUAAAUCUAAGGGUUGAAUUGCAAACUCAAGCAUUUCCUUGUAAAUAAAAACUAAUAAUAGCUCAUGACAAAAAAUUUACAGAACACAUAAAGUAGAAACAUUAGUACCUAAUUAGACAUGAAAAUUACAGAAUAAGCCGGAUUAAGCCAUCUAAAAACAGAAUAAGCCACUCAGUACUACGAUGGUCUAGUGAUAUUUCUCUUCACUUUGAAGUGAGAUGUCGUAGGUUCGAAUAUCGUGGAUGGUGAAUUCGAUAUCAAAUUAGGCUGUCUAAUGUGUGACUUAGCCAAACUUCCCCUCCCUUGGUAUAAAAAUACGAUGUACUAAAAAAAAAAAAAAAAAAAAAAAACAGAAAAUUAAUACCACCAUAGCGAAAUACUACAGAAUAAUCUAAUUAUUUAUGCAUUUGGCAAGUUAAAAUAAUUAACUAAAAAACUUGGAGCAAAACAACACUUUAAUUCCAUGGUUGGUUUUAUAUAUGUGUUUGGGCCCAAAAUAAUAGUUUGGGUCGAGUUUAGUGACUCUUGGCGUAGUAACCAUUUAGGGUGUGUUUGUUGCACCAAACUAUCUCGAACUGGACUUAGCUCAUGGACUAACCUAGAUUGACUUAGACUAGAUUAAGCUGGACUAACUUAGUGAAGCGUUUGUUGCAGUGUCAGACUAAAAAGCUGGACUAACAAUAAAUUAUUAUUAUAUUCUAAUUUUUUUUAUUAAGAAUAUCAAAAUUAAUAGAUUAAAGAAAGAGGAUAUCUUCUUCGCCAAUUUCCUGGUGUUCCUCAACACCUUGGAAGUUACAAAAUUUCCAAUAACAAAAGGCUUAAACUUGAUCUUGAAGAUAAACCUCCGCUGCUAAAGACCCAAUUCCCAAAUAUUUUGAUUAUUACAAAUAAAAAGUACCCAUAACCCUAAAAAUACCCAAUCUUCAUCCUUCUCACCCUCAGAUUCCUAUACCCAUGGCCAUGUAUGCGACUGAAGAUAGACAUCGACCACUAAAGGCCGUCGUCGAAGAGUCGAGCUUAAUCAUCCAAAGAAAUCGCCAGAUUAUAUAAUCGAUUCGGUUUGAGAUUUGCAUCGAAUGCGACCGCUAAGAGGAACUCAUCAAUUAAUUUCCCAACGAGCUUGAUCUAGCAGAGAGAGGUAAAGACAAAGAUAGAUGAGGAAAGACGAAGAAGGAGGUAGCAAGUGAGGAAAGCGAAGAAGAAGGCAUAUCGUAGUCCUUGGCAAUCCCAUGGUUUAACACGAGACUAUUUUGGACAAUCUAACGAGGCUCGGAGUCCACACGAGUCCGGGCUAGUCUCAUUUAAGUUAGUCCCCAAGCAUACCAAACAUGAGACAAUAAUCCUAGCUAGUCCAGUCCCACUUAAGAAGGUGAAACAAACACACACUUAGAGUCCUAUCAUGGGCCGUCCAAUCAUCAUCGACCGUCUAGUUAAGGUUGGCCGAAUCCCAUUGCAAAGAGGAUUGGUUUAGAUAAAAAGUAUACUCUAAGAGACGAGCGAUAAUAGUGCUAUACAUACCAGGUUGCUCAAACUACUGGUCAAUAAAGGCCACGAAGAUGGACCCGUCGAUCGUUCCCGACAGCCCUCACUUAAGAAUAAUUUGCCACCAGUGAUACAAGCCGAGACAAUAUAUGGUUGGCUCAAAAUGAUUGACUUAAAGAAAAGGGGUGGAUCAACUAGUAGAUCAGACAUAUUUGACCAAGGAGCGGAAACAACAUCUAUUGAUAUGGUCGAGGUUUAGAGAAUGAUUGAUUCGGCCCUAAAAAAAGGGCCGAAGUUUCCGAAAUUCAUUCACCCAUAUCCAGCAUUCGUAGAAAAGUUUGAAUACCCCAAGAGGUUCAAAAUUCCGGAUUUCAACCUUUUCGCCGGAGAGUCAUCCUUAUAGUCGUUAUAACAUGUAGCUCAAUUCACUGCCCAACGUAGGGACGUUAACAAUGAUUUUCAUAAGCUUCGACUGUUCAAUUUCUCAUUAACCGGCUCAGCAUUCGCGUGGUAUAUAAACCUUUCACCUAAUUCCAUCCAAAGCUGGGAGGAAUUAGUUAAGAAAUUUCAUGAGCAGUUCUAUCGACCAGGGAUGGAUGUGUCAGUAUUUUCUCUGGCCAGGAUGGCUCAAGCUUCUGACGAGUCGCCAAUGGAAUACCUUACGAGGUUUAAGUCGGCCAAAAACUGGUGUCGAGUAUCUAUCCCAGAAGUCGAGUUCGUUAGGCUUGCCUUGAAUGACCUAUAUGUGGAAUACAAAAAGAAAUUUUUGAGGGAAAACUUCGAGAUAUGUACGAACUGGCUUAACAUGUUGAGCAAUAUGAUUAUUUGCUACGAGAAUAAAAUAUUUGAAGCCCCUAUCCUGAGGAACAAUCUACAAGAACCCUACGGUCAGUUAUGCAUCGGUCGAAGGCGAAGAAUCCCAAUAUGCCAGUAUUGACGCGGCCGAGAUAGUGAUUGACAAGCCAUACAUAUGCAAAGCAUUGGCUUAUGCUAAUUCCAAGGAUGCCAAAACCCGCUCGGCCUCUGAAGAAGCUACCAUCAAAACAUCGAAAGUUUAUACUGUUGACAUUACCAAGGCCGACGCCAUCUUCAAGUAGCUGUUGCUCGUGAAAAUUAUCAAGCUUCGGUAAGGGCAUAACAUUUUCAAGGCUGAAGAUUUGAAAGGAAAAACAUAUUGCAAGUACCAUGACUUGAACAAACAUACAACAAACAACUACGUCGUAUUUCGUGAUGUCAUCUAGAUCUGGAUCGACAAUGGUAAGCUCAAGUUCCCCGAGAAACAAAUGGGCGCUGACACCGAUCAUUUUCCUACGGUGACAGUAAACAUGGUAGAUGUUCAUCUACCGAGGGAUAAAGGAAAAUGAAAAGCCGAGUUCGUUCCAAUGCAAUUCAUCCCAAAGCAGAACUCUCAACCACGAUUGAAGAUUGAUUUAUUUUCAAACGAGUACCCCAAGAUUUGAUUGGACCAACUAUUAUCGAGUCAAUGUCGGACUCCAGCACUGAGGAAACCGACGAGCCGAUAAAUCUUAUGUAGUCGGUGUAAAACAAAUGUCAUCUUAACUGAGCCGAAGAAAAAGCUAUUUCGAACUAAAAGGUCACGACAGGCAUCCACAACUGCAACACCAUCCCAAAAGGUACUUGGGGUAGGACAACACUAGAAAGUUUUGAUAGGCUCGGCCCGCAGGUACAAGACAAGAUGCCAUCUUCGGCCAGACGACACCUUGAUUUCAACGUGCAGUUUUACAACGAGGAUUAUUAUACGUGUAACUCUGGUAAUUCAAGUUCACCUGCGAACCAGUGUAUCAUCAGACCUCCUGAGCCACGUGAUCAACACUGGUAUACUUAUAACUCCCCUACCAGUGUAUACAUUGCGUUGUCCAAAUCGUUAAAACGUCGGAGCCAAAGAAUAGAUUGUAUAGCCCGCCGACGAGCAACUUAGGAUACCUCGGUUACCAAGUGGAAGCCGAAGGAAACGACCAAUAAUAAAGAUGACCGAUAACCUCCUGCGAUCAUGAUCGAGUUGCUCCAAGGGAAGAAAGUGAUUGAUCGUGACUUUGAAACCACGAUCGAAGAAUCCAAAAAGUGAAUCAAACUCCUCAUUCAACCUGAGGAAAUAGAAGCUCGCCUCGAGCACUUCCGGAAUGAGAUUAAGAGCAAACUUCCCCUGCUAUCUACACAAGAACCGUUGAUCAGAGUUAGAUAGAAUCUCCACCCACCAUUUCUUAGUGAAACUUUAGAAUACAUGCGAGAGUUUCACAAGAAGCAUUCGGCAAAUGAUUUAUACGGCUUGCCGAAAGCAUGCCAAGAUACUCUUGAUCUUGUUCUAACUUGCCCCGAUGUUGAAUGAAUCAUCCAAAAGACCUCAGAUCCGGGGAUGAAAGCUAGGUUCCAACAUAUACGAGAGCCUUGAGUUUUCGACUUCGAGGUAGAUCCAUAUAUUGAUAUUGACGCUGCCGAACUUCCUCUUUCGAUGACCUUCAAUAUUUACGAUACUAUUUCAAAGUCUUUUCAGAUGUUUCUCUCUUCGACCUUACUGUCGAUGAAAAGGAAUGCGUAGCACAAUUAGAUGCUUACCUUGACACGAGAGAUACUCGCAUCACAUAUCAGGAGCAAACUCAUAUGUCGUCACAAGACCAAAACCCAGUUUUAACACUGAACGAACCUGAGGUCAACAUGCAGAAUGAGAAGACUCUAGUGAACAUACCGCAUGAGCAUACCCCGGCGUCAGCUGAAAAAAGCAAGCAAAUACUGCCCAUACGUAGGACACCUCACCCGAAAGUCCAGAAGAAGAAGAUCAUGACCCGAUAGGUCAUUCGGUCAUCGACAACAGGGAAAUCAGCAUGGUCUAUGUUUUACCUACCGAGUUCCAACCAACCACAUCCCAACCAAAUUUCCUGGACAGCAACGUGGUUGCCGAGGAAGCCACGCAAGUUGAUUUUAUGGUCGCCGAAGAGAUUUAGCAAGCAACAAAAGAAGAUAAACUUAAAACAGUUUUUGCCGAAUUGUUUCCUCACUUUUCAUCAGUUAAUCUCCAUCAUCUUAAGCCGUUAUAUGUUAUGGCUCAUAUUGAAGGAUAUCCGGUCUUCAAAAUUUUCAUCGACUAUGGAGCAACGGUCAACAUCAUGCCUGUUGUUAUCAUGAACACAUUACGUCGUUCCAACGACGAACUUAUUCCAUCAGGGGUCACCAUGAGCAGCUUCGUCGGUGACAAAUCCCAGACCAAAUGAGUGCUUCCGUUGGAGGUAAUUAUCGUAGGUCGUAAUCACAUGACUGUAAUUUUCAUAGUCGAUUCAAAGACAGGGUAUAAUGCAUUUCUUGAUCAUGACUGGAUCUAUCAAAUGAGCUGCAUCCCCUCGUUAUUAUACUAGGUCAUUAUCUUUUGAGACGGCAAAUCGAUCUUAGUUCAUCUAGCCGACAAUUAGCCAUUCGAAGCAAAUAUGAUUCAAGCUCGUUAUUAUGACGAUCACGUCGGCUACAUCACCCUGCAAGCGUUUGAUGAGGAAUGACGGUCGACUUAGAUCUCAGUUCAGAAAGCCAUCGAGGUAAGCGCCGAGAUUGUUCAUUAAGAUUCGGCGAAACUAGGGUUGGCCGACCUAGUUGCCGAUCCUGAUGUCUGGUACCAAACUAGAUAGAUGCUGGGCCAUGGUUUCAUCCAUCAUAGAACGACUACUGGCGCAUUGGUAUGCUAUUUCUAGGUAGCUAAAUUCGGGUGUGAACUUGGUAGAGUUUCUCGCCGAAGGAAACAACAGUCCAGUUUUAUCACUUGACAAGAUUCAAGCUGCCAUGGCCGAGCUCGAAGACAGUCGGGCCCAAGUCAAAGAACCUUUAGAGGAAGUAAAUGUCGAAACGGCCGAAAACCCACGGCCUUUGUUUAUUAGUGCUUUGUUACCCCAACCUAUGAAAACUGCACUUUGUAAUUUACUCAAGGAAUUUAAAGAUUGUUUUGCUUGAGUUACCAUAAGAUGCCUAGUUUAGACCGAACGUUCAUCUAGCACGAAUUACGCAUCAAACCUGGUUGUAAACCGUUCCUCCAACCCCUCCCCCCCCCCCCCGACGAUUCUCGACCGAAGUACAACUUGGCAUAAAAGAUGAACUCGUUCGACUUUUAAAAGCUGGGUUUAUCCGGACAACUCGAUACAUUGAAUGGCUGGCGACCAUCGUCCUAUUUUUACAGAAAAGUGGUGCUCUACAUAUUUGUAUCAAUUUUUGAAAUUUGAAUUUGGCAACCCCUAAAGACGAGUAUACAAUGCCAAUUUUAGAUUUGUUAAUCGAAGUAGUAGUACACCAUGAGAUAUUAUCCUUCAUGAAUGGUCAUGCUGGUUACAACCAGAUUUUCAUUGCUGAGGCCGACGUCUAUAAAAUUACUUUUCGUUGCCCAUGGGCACUCGGGACUUACGAAUGGGUCGUCAUGCCAUUUGACUUGAAAAACACUGGUGCCAUAUGCCAACGUGCUAUGAAUACGAUUUUUCAUGUUUUAAUUGGUACCAUCAUCGAAGUCUAUUUUGAUGAUGUUGUAGUUAAAUCAAAACAUCGCCGAACACAUUUAGAUGAUCUUCGGCAGGUUUUCCUUCAAAUGCGCCAACAUAACCUUAAAAUGAAUCCUGCCAAAUAAGCAUUUGGUGUAUCGGUCGGCAACUUUUUAGGUUUUCUUGUACAUCAUCGUGGCAUUGAAGUGGACACAAAUAAAGCUCGGGUGAUCAUCGAUGCUCCACCUCCGACAACAAAGAAACAAUAACAAUCACUACUCGAUAAAGUCAAUUUCCUCUGCCGUUUCAUUUCUAACUCGGCAGGGAAGAUGAAAGCUUUCUCCACGCUCUUGAAACUUAUAGAUUCGGACAAAUUCGAAUGGCGUGAGGAGCACCAAGAUGCUUUCACGAAGACAGCCAACGGAUUCCUCGGCGGCCAAAAUAUACAACUUGAGUGAUUUACCGCGCCGAGGUGGCACAAUGACAUGUGGGUUAGUGAGGGAGACCCUAAUUUGUUUACUUUUAUUAAUUAAAUUCGUUUUUAAUUUAAGUAGGUUAUAAACUCAAUCAUCUCAAUUUCUACUUUACAAUAAUUAAUUGGAAUUUGGUUUGUUUCGAAUUAUUUAAUAAUUCCUGUGGAGAACGACCUUGCGAGAUCCGUUUAUACUACAAUAACUUUGUCAUUCUUACAAGUAUUAUAGGAGUUUUUAGCCCGUUUACGUGUGUAGUAAAAUCCGUAUCACCUUUCUUCAGACAGACUUUGAUCCCCCGCCAAAACCUGUAAGUGACACAUCAACUGGUAGAAGUGGCGUGCCUAUAGGUACGGUGGUUGGAAUUGUGGUUGGGGGAGUCUUAAUUAUACUACUGAUAUUUGGUGUUCAUUGGAAGAGAGGCCUCUUGGGGCAACAAAAGACAUUGGAGGAUGGUAUUAAUUUGCAGUUUAUUCUGUUAUACUGGUUUUUCCUUUUUGUUUCUCCAUUACUUUUUCUCAUCGACCUUUUUUCGUAACUAAUUAAGUACAACAUUUAUGCUAUUUUGCAUGGUUCUCCUGCAUAUUGACGUGCACUACAAAGACAGUAAUUAUUUAGAUAUUGAGCUUUCCGGCACUUUGAUGUUGCUGUAAUAUAUUUAUCUUCCAAACUCAUGAUGCAAAGUGUCUGCCUUACUUGUUAAAUUCUAGAAUCAGGCACAAAAUAUUAAGAACUAAGAAUGCUGUCGUUCUGAAAGUUUUCUUAAGACACAAUUUCUUAUGAGUUUUACUUGUUAUAUAGAUUUGAAGGGUGUGGACCUGCAAACUGGUAAAUUUACCUUCAAGCAACUCAAAGAUGCCACAAGCAACUUUAAUAGAGGCAAUAACUAGGUCUGGCAAACGGAUCGUGUCAAUCGUGUUCGUGUAACAUCUGUUAUCUUAACGGGUCGUGUCGUGUCACACCUGUUAUUUUAACGGGUCCUCAACAGGUCGGGUCACAAAACGCUUACAUUUUGCAUAUCCUUGCACAUUUAAAGUGACCCGACCCGUUAUGACCCGUUAAGAAAAAUAUUUUUUUUUCUUAAAUUUGCACAUACCACACAUUGUCACAUAAAUAUUACUUCAAAACAUUAAAACACAUUUGUCGCUUAAGUACUACAUCUACACUCGAAAAUAAGAGCCUCAUAAAAAAUACAUCCAUACACUACUAAUUUAUUACAAAUAUUAAAUGUGCAAGGAUAUGCAAAAUGUAAGCGUUUUUGUUUUCAAGGUUGUGAAGCCUUUCUCAAAAGUUUAAACCUUGCCAAUGGAACUCAAAGCUUAAUGAAACUGACCCACUAGUGUGUUUAUUCGUACUUUCAUUAAGUAUAGCAUAAGAUUUUGUGGUAUCCACUAGUGUAAAUAUUUUAAAUUGAAUAUCGAAUUCAAUCAUUGUAUUCAUAUAGGGUCAAGAAGUGUAGUUGUAAAAAAUCAUCAAAAUCGGAGUUAAAAUAACCGUUAAAUUGUGAUUUUUCGUUUAUAACCGUUGAAAAGUUGUGUCCCGUUACUUAAUCUUUAAAUGUUUGUUUUUUACAAUUUUUGGCGUAUGUGAUCUCGAAGUAUAUACAAACAAGUAUGACGGUUAGAUUGUUGAAACUAGUUUCGUAGAAUGCGUAUCCCAUCAAAACAAUAGAUUCACUAACACUUAAAAGUUUAUUCUUACUUUCAUUAAGUAUAACAUAAGAUUUUGUGGUAUCCACUAGUGUAAAUAUUUUAAAUUGAAGAUCGAAUUCAUUCAUUGUAUUCAUACAGGGUCAAGGAGUGUAACUGUAAAAAAUCAUCAAAAUCGAAGUUAAAAUAACUGUUAAAUCGUGAUUUUUCGUUUAUAACCGUCGAAAAGUUUUGUCUCGUUACUUGAUCUCUAAAUGUUUGUUUUUUGCAAUUUUUGGCAUAUGCAAUCUCGAAGUAUAUACAAACAUUUUUUACGGUUGGAUCGUUGAAACUAGUUUCAUAGAAUGCGUAUCCUAUCAAAACAAUAGAUUCACUAACACUUAAGAGUUUAUUCAUACUUUCAUCAAGUAUAACAUAAGAUUUUGUGGUAUCCACUAGUGUAAAUAUUUUAAAUUGAAGAUCAAAUUCAUUAAUUGUAUUUAUAUAGGGUCAAGGAGUAUAUCAUUAAAAAAUCAUCAAAGUCGGAGUUAAAAUAACCGUUAAAUUGUGAUUUUUCGUUUAUAACCGUCGAAAAGUUUUGUCCCGUUACUUGAUCUUUGAAUGUUUCUUUUUUGCAAUUUUUGGCCUAUGCGAUCUCGAAGCAUAUACAAACAAGUUUGACGGUUGGAUCGUUGAAACUAGUUUCGCAAAAUGCGUAUCUCAUCAAAACAAUAGAUUCACUAACACUUGAGAGUUUAUUUAUAUUUUCGCUAAGUAUAACAUAAGAUUUUGUAGUAUCCACUAGUGUAAAUAUUUUAAAUUGAAGAUCGAUUUCAUUCAUUGUAUUCAUAUAGGGUCAAAGAGUGUAGCUGUAAAAAAUCAUCAAAAUCGGAGUUAAAAUAACCGUUAAAUCGUGAUUUUUCUUUUAUAACCGUCAAAAGGUUUUGUCCUGUUACAUGAUCUCUGAAUUUUUAUUUUUUUGCAAUUUUUGGCAUAUGCGAUCUUGAAGUAUAUACAAACAUGUUUGACGGUUGGAUCGUUGAAACUAGUUUCGUCGAAUGCGUAUCCCAUCAAAACAAUAGAUUCACUAACACUUAAGAGUUUAUUCAUACUUUCAUCAAGUAUAACAUAAGAUUUUAUGGUAUCCACUAGUGUAAAUAUUUUAAAUUGAAGAUCGAAUUCAUUCAUUGUAUUCAUAUAGGGUCAACGAGUGUAGAUGUAAAAAAUCAUUAAAAUUGGAGUUAAAAUAACCGUUAAAUCGUGAUUUUUCGUUUAUAACCGUCGAAAAGUUUUGUCCCGUUACUUGAUCUCUGAAUGUUUGUUUUUUUCAAUUUUUGGCGUAUGCGAUCUCGAAGCAUAUACAAACAAGUUUGACGGUUGGAUCGUUGAAACUAGUCUCGCAAAAUGCGUAUCUCAUCAAAACAAUAUAUUCACUAACAAUUAAGAGUUUAUUCAUAUUUUCAUUAAGUAUAAUAUAAGAUUUUGUGGUAUCCACUAGUGUAAAUAUUUUAAAUUGAAGAUUGAAUUCAUUCAUUGUAUUCAUAUAGGGUCAAGGAGUGUAGCUGUAAAAAAUUAUCAAAAUUGGAGUUAAAAUAACCGUUAAAUCAUGAUUUUUCGUUUAUAACCGUCGAAAAGUUUUGUCUCGUUACUUGAUCUCUAAAUGUUUGUUUUUUGCAAUUUUUGGCGUAUGUGAUCUCGAAGUAUAUACAAACAUGUUUGACGGUUGGAUCGUUGAAACUAGUUUUGUAGAAUGCGUAUCCUAUCAAAACAAUAUAUUCACUAACACUUAAGAGUUUAUUCAUACUUUCAUCAAGUAUAACAUAAGAUUUUGUGGUAUCCACUAGUGUAAAUAUUUUAAAUUGAAGAUCAAAUUCAUUCAUUGUAUUCAUAUACGGUCAAUGAGUGUAGCUGUAAAAAAUCAUCAAAAUCAGAGUUAAAAUAACCGUUAAAUCUUGAUUUUUCGUUUAUAACCGUCGGAAAGUUUUGUCUCGUUACUUGAUCUGUGAAUGUUUGUUUUUUUGUAAUUUUUUGCUGAUGCGAUCUCGAAGCAUAUACAAACAAGUUUGACGGUUGGAUCGUUGAAAUUAGUUUCGUAUAAUUCGUAUCCCAUGAAGUUCAGUGGUGUGUGUGUAUAUAUAUAUUUAUUUAUUUAUUAAGUAGAUUUAAAUCUAUUUAUUUUGUAUGUAUAAUUAUUAUAGUUUUUAGGGGUAUAAAAUUUAAUAUAUAUAUAUAUAUAUAUAUAUAUAUAUAUAUAUAUAUAUAUAUAGAACUAUUAUAGUUAAUAUUUUGGGGGUAUAAUUAUUAUAGUAUAUAUAAUUAUUAUAAUUAUUAUAGUUAAUUUAAUAUAUAUAUAUAAUUAUUAUAGUUUUUAGGGGUAUAAAAUUGUUAAAUUAAUAUAUAUAAUUAUUAUAGUAUUUUUUUUAGGGUUAUAAAUUAUUAAAUUAAUAUUCUGCUUAUCGUGUAUCGUGUUACCCACGUGUAUACCCGAACAACCCAUUAUCUUAACAGGUGCUUAUCGGGUUACCCGAUAACGACCCGCUUCGUUAUCGUGUCGACCCGAACACCUGUUAAUUUCGUGUCGUGUCGUGUCAGAUUAUCGGGUCGUGUCAGGAAUUGCCAGGCCUAGCAAUAACAUUGGUGAAUGUGGUUUUGAUUCUGUUUAUAAGGUAUUCUUUGGAGCAAAUAAUUUAUUUAUUGAUUAUAUAUUUUUUUCUAGUUUGACACUGUCCGUUCUAAUGAAAGUUAAUUUGCUCCAUAGUGAUGCGAAUUUGACUAUCUUUCUUAAAUGUAGGGCAUUCUAGCAGAUGGCACCGUAAUAACUAUUAAGCAGCUGUCUUCCAAAUCAAAGCAAGGGAAUCAUGAAUUUGUUAAUGAGAUUGGCAUGAUUUCUGCUCUGCAACACCCUCAUCUUGUCAAGCUCCACAUAUGUUGUAUUGAAAGAAAUCAAUUAUUGCUUGUCUAUAAGUACCUGGAAAAUUAUAGCAUCGCUCAUGCUUAUCUUCAGUAAAUAUUAGUCUUGUUUGCCAAAAGUUCAUUUCAUCAUAUAGUGGCAUAAAAGAUCUUAUGCACUAAAAAUAUGUCCCUUACAACUAACUUUGUUUAAUUUGGCAAAUUGAACGGGUGAAGAAAGUCAUUAGAAGUUGGAUUGGCCAACAAGGCACAAGAUUUGUAUUGUUACAGCAAGAGGUUUGGCUUAUCUUCAUGAGGAAUCAAGAUUGAAGGUCGUUCAUAGAGACAUCAAGGCUACUAAUGUUCUGCUUGAUAAAAAUCUUAACCAGAAAAUAUCUAACUUUGGAUUGGCCAAGCUUGAUAAAGAGGAUAAUACACACAUUAGCACCCGUAUUGCUAGAACUUAGUGAGUCCCUAAACUUUUAUUUAUCUUCUUAUUCUCUUGUUUUGAUCUUCUUCCACCCUUAAAAAAGAAGAUAGAGCAAUGGAAAGUCUAUAACUUACAUAAUUUUCAACCUAACCAAAUCUUUGUUGUUCAAGAAAUUUCAAGGGCAGAUUUGUUCUUUGAAUAUAGUUGUAUUACUAUGUAUCUCUCUAACUAUUGCAUUAAUCUUAAGUAUUCAAUUAGCAAUAUUUUUACUAAUUAUUUUAGCUAAAUCUGGGUUAAUGAUGUGAUUUCAUGAUUUGCAGUGGAUACAUGGCGCCCGAAUAUGCAAUACGGGGUUAUCUGACUGAUAAAGCAUAUGUCUAUAGUUUUGGUACUCUCGUAUUGGAAAUUGUUAGCGGGAGAAACAACACAACUUACUGGAAAAAGGAAGAAAGCUUUUAUCUUCUUGAUUGGGUAACAUGAAUCCACUACUUCCUAAUUUAACUUCAAAUUUUCUUAAUAUACCUUAUAUAUGUGAAAGUACAUUUGAAUCGGUGAAGUUUAAACCAAAGACAGAAUUUAUAUUGCUUUUGUUACAUCCAUUUUUUGUAGGCACGACUUCUAAAAGAGCAAGGGAAUUUGAUGGACCUAGUUGAUCCAAGGUUGGAAUCAGACUUUAACAAAGACGAGAUGACUGUUGCAAUCAAUGUGGCUCUCCUUUGUUGCAAUGUUACUUCGACAGCUAGGCCUACCAUGUCUUUGAUUGUGAGCAUGCUCGAAGGAAAGGCUGUUGUUCAGGAGUUGGUCUCGGAUCCAAAUGCUGAGAGUAUUGAGAUCGAUGCAAUGAGGAAACAUUUUCAAUCUAGUUUUGGAAGGGGCAUGGGCGAGAAACAGAUAGAAACAGAGUCAAUUGAAGGGCCAUGAACUGCUUCGUCUGCGUCUGCUCACGAUCUUUAUCUCGUCAAUCCUGAUUCAAAUUACUGGGGGAACAGAAGCGAGAGAACUUGAGCUGCACGGUUAUCAGUUCGACUUAACCUUAGCACACUCAAAACAUAUCAGCUAAUAAAUCAUCUGUAUUUCCUCUAUAACUAUUUUCUUUUUUUUGUUUGAUAAUAUAGUAGAAAGCAUAAUUGAAGAAGUUUCUACAGCAUGGUAAUUGUAAAAUCAGUUCUUUUCAGUAUUUUGUAGUAUGAUAAAAUGAUUUUCUUUUCGAAUAAUCGAAUAGAGUAAGUUGGUUGAACACUAUACUAUUUUGGCUAUGUGGUGGUUUGUGAAGAGAGGAGAUAAUGUACACCAAAUUCGAAAAGGAUGGGAAUAGAGUAAGUUGAUUAAGAGAAGGAACUUAAAUUUAGUAAAAUCGGAAAUCAUUUGUGGAGGAUUUUUCUAUAUCAAUAUAUUGUUAAUAUACAAGGUAAAGCAAGAUUCAGAGGAUAUGCAUGAAAAGAAAAAUGAUACCUGACGUAAAUCAUUGCCAAAAAGAUAAACAAAUUGCCAAGUUUUCUUAAAUUUAGUUUUGGAAGUUCUGAAAUUUACUUCAAUUGCAUUGAUUUUGAUUGUACUAGAAUACAGGUAUAUAUAAAUACAAGAAUUCCUACUACAUAGGUAAUUGGUACAAACUAAGUAAUCAGCCUGUGAUGCUUUACCUUAUUAAGAACGCCCAACUUGCCUAAUAGAGAUUUAAAAUGUUCAUUCCCCAAAGCUUUAGUGAAAAUGUCGGCAAGCUGUGACAUGUUGACAACUUUUCAUUCCAUGAUUUUAUUUCCGACAAAGUAACAAUCAAUCUCAAUACGUUCAUGAAAUACUGAAUUUGCGGCAAUGUGAAGAGCAGCGUGAUUAUCACAAAACAAAGUUGCAGCCCCCUUGUUGCCAAGUUAUAGACCACGAAAUAGAUUUUGUAACCAAGCCAACUCGCAAUAGGCUGCUGCCAUGGAUCUAUACUCUGCUUCGGCAGAGGACAAAGAAAUUGUCUUUUGACGUUUGUUGUUCCACGAAACAAGAGAGUCUCCAAGAAAAACUCAAGAAUCAGUGGCGGGUCGCAGAGUGGUUGGCCAUCCUAUCCUAUCCAAGUCACAAUAUGCAUUCAACUUCAAAUCAUUUUCUGAAGAAAACAUAAUACCUCGUCCGGGUGUCCGUUUUAAGUAUCUCAAAAUCCAUAAUGCAGCCUCAUAUCAUGGCUUCCGAGGUGCUUACAUGAAUCUACUCAACAAGUGGACCAAGUACAUGAUAUUUGGCUAGGUAAUAGUGAGAUAAAUUGGACGACCAAUCAAUCUCCUAUAUUUAACAUGAUCAUUGAGAAUUUCACCCUCAUUAGGAGAAAUUUUUCAUUGUAACGAGAACACACGUGGUAAACCACGUGUCAUUGUGUAAGUGGUGGAAAAUUUUAUUUUUUAAGCUAUUACCUUUUUAACACACAUAUGAUAUAUCCUACCAUUUAUACAGUAACACGUGGUGUACCACUUCGUAUGCCGGUCACUCUGAAAAAUCUCUCCCUCAUCAGAAAGCAAUUUGAGAUUUUGCUCCAUAGAGAAAGUGCAAGGUUGUGAUCCUAAAAGACCCACAUCAUUGAGAAUAUCCAACAAGCAUUUCCUUUGUGACAUAAAAAUCCCCCUUUUUUAACACGCCAUUUCUAUGCCCAAAAAGUAUUUUAAAUUACUAAGAUCUUUGCUAUAGAACUUGGUAUUUAAAAAAUGUUUUAGACUAUUAAUUGCAGUUGAAUCAUUUUCUAUAAUCAAAAUGUCGUCAACAUAAAUAAGGGGUGAAGUAAAUGACUUGCCUUUGUGUUUAGUGAAAAGCGAAUAAUUUGCUUUUGAUUGAACAUAACCGGCGAACCGAAUGGCUUGCGAAAACUUGAAAAAUCAUUGUCGAGAGACUUGCUUCAAACCAUAAAGUGAUUUAUUGAGGCAACAUAUCAGUUUCUCCCCCUAUCGGCGAAGAUUGAAAGGUGGGACCAUGUAUAUUUCCUCCAUGAGAUCACCAUGAAAGAAGGCAUUAUGAACAUCCUAUUGAUGUAAAGACCAUGAAUAGGCGGUGGCAAGAGCAAUAAGGCAGCGGAAUGUGACCAGUUUGACAGUAGGGGAAAGAUAUCAUGAUAAUCAAUACCCUUUGAGUGUACCUCUUAGCGACCAAAUGAGCUUUGUAACACUUAAUACCAUUGGAUUAGUACUUGACUUUGUAGACCCAUUUGCAACCAAUGAGUGAUACUCCAUAUGUUGUUAGCCUUGAGAGCUUGGAUUUUGUCAUCCAUGACUUGAUUCCAUUUAGGAUAUGUGCAAGCUUCUGCUUAUGUGGUUGGCUCCAUAUGGUAGAAAUACUAGCAAGAAAGGUAGAAUAUAGGGGCAACAAGUGGAUACCUGGUACUGGAACUGGAAGACGAGGGCGUAAUGGGGCAAUGUAAGAGAGGGACAAACAUAGUCACUGAGCUUCGCAGGUGGAGUUAUGAGGCGAUUACAUCCUCGUAAAGGGAUAUCAGAGAGCUAGUCAUCAGGCUGCAUGGUAGGGAGCUGAUCAUCAGGCUGCGUGUCAGGGAACUAAUCAUCAAGCUUCGUGAUAGGGGCAAGGUGCUCAUCAGGUGACUACAUGUUAGAAAGCUGAUCAUCAGGAGCAAUAUCAACAGAUGUCUCGACAUUUUGUAGGGCAUUGGUGGGGUCAUGCAGUUUAUGAGAUAGUGAGCAAGGCUCAAUGCAUGGAUUGAAUAUAGGUGUCUGAUAGCUAUUUGUAAGGGGAUUUAAUUCUUUUUGGCCAUGAUAGGGAAACAAAUCCUCGUAAAAAACAUCUCGACUCGUAAAAAUAUGUUUGGAUUGAAGAUCAUAUAAUUUGUAUAUUUUUGUCCUAAAAGGUACCCAAUGAAAAUUCAGGAGGGUGCCAUCAGAUAAGCCCACGGUAGGCAAUGGUGGUUUAAAUGUUGCUUGGGCCAAUGGAAGACCUGAAACGUGGUAUGUUGCACCACUGUCUAAUACCGACUCGUUAGAAACCCUACCUGCAGCGGUGACUGCGUGGGCUUUGCUUUCCAGGCCUACCUUAUGGCUCAUCAGCGAUAAAAGUUACUGGAACUGCUUUUGAAUAAGGUUGGGCAUCAUGUCAGCACACCCUGUGGAUUAAAUGUUGUUGACCAAUGAAACCCCCCUCUGGAACUGUUACCUUUAGUUUUCUUUUUGUGAUCGCCAUCACAGGUUUCUCUGGAUUUUCCAUGAAGACAAUGACUAGGCAGAUAAUCGUGAAGUAUUUCCAGCAGGUGUCAAAGGUGUGAUGGUCAUGGUCACAGUACAAACAGUGGAAAGGUUUACGUUCUAUCGAUCGUUCCUUGCCAUUAUUGGAUGAAGACUGCACCGCCAUGGCUGCGGGUUCAAUCAAGGCUUGCACAAUGGUUAUGCCUCAUUGCUUCUCUUCCUGAUAAAAGAGAGAAUAGAUCUUGCAAAUGAACAGAAGGGUUGCAUUGUUGAAUAUCUCACUUCUAACUCAUCAUUGCUAGCUCAUCAAAACAGUUGUAAAUGAUUGGAUGAUGUAAUAGUUAGUUGAAAAAGUUAGUUAGAGUUUGUUGCUCAAAGCUUAUGAGCUAGGUCCUAUAGGCUAUAUAGUCAACUAUAUAUAGCUGUCGUAAACAUGAUCUUUUGUCAUGAUCUUAUCAAACAUGAAGCACGUGAUUCUGUCUCAGGUUUCUUUUGGGUAAAUGAUAUGGCAGGGUCUUGAAGCUUGAUUCAAUUGUGGGAGGCAAGUUAUGGAAAAAUAUUGAUGUGCUCAUCUUUAACACUUGGCAUUGGUAGAAUCGUAGAUGACCCUCUCAAUCGUGAACAUAUCUUCAAUUUGGAGAAACAGUAAUGUGUUGGCAACCAGCAACAUCUUCAGUUUGGAUAAACAGCACUGGAGCUGUAGAAUCAGCCGAUCGAGGAUCACCUUCAGUUUGGAUAAAUAACAUUGUUUUGAGACCAACUGGUUAUCUAUCCAAGUUUUGGCCAUCAAAGAUUUCCGAAUCUUUGUUGGAAGAUGUCAUCUCAUUAGCCUUCUAGGUAAAGUGAGGUGUUACAAGGUUACGACAUUCGGCACACUGAAAGUCAAAUACUUAUUGAACUUCGCAGAACUAGUAGCCUUGUCUUCAGACUCCAGAACCCAAAGGUCAAUAUGUGUUCCAUCCUCGACUGCAGUCACAAGAUUCAGAAGUCAUUAGCGCGCCUAACACCACAUUAACAUUCAUUCACUCCCCGGCCAAGCUCGGCCAACGAGUUGGCACGCCUUACAUUCAACUAAAGGAUGUAGUUAGCUUAUUAGCUAUUCGGCCUAUACACCACGUAGGCUAAGUAGUUUUUAAGGUGAACACCAUGGCAUCAAUCAAAUUAAUAGUCUCUUAUUUUCUCUUUUUUUUUUUAAUUUUAAUUUUAGUGGCAGUGAGUGGCAUGAACCAAGGGCAAGAAGAUGUGUAGGGCAGAAUGAGCCUUUGCUUAGGUCGACCUAUCCAGGAGCUUUGCCACCAGCUCUGGGUGCGCUGAGGAAUGUGUUAAGCACAAUAAAAAAGCUCGUGACAUUGCAAGAUAUAACAAGCCUCUCACUCAUGCGUAAAGAUGGACAUCCUUCAAUCUAUGGACUGGGAGGCCAAUAACUGCAAGCAAGGAAUGGAUGACAAUGGUAGCAAUAGCUGCAACAGGCCAACAUAUAAAAAUAGGAUAUUACUAGAGAAACUAAAUUUUUUAAAUUAAAUUUCAAACCAAAUGAUUUGUCAACAAUAAGAAACAAGUACGUUAAUAGACACUUAAUUAAUAAUCCAAUCAUCUACAACCACAUCAUUUAGUUUGCAAAUUUGGUUUUAAAAAAUUUAGUUUUCCUAGCAUUACUCUAUCCAUAAAGAUAACAUCUAGGGAAACCCAAUCGGUGAAGUAUAGCAAACAACUAUUCACUAAGGAAUGAGGAUCCUCUUCGAAUCCAUUUUGUGAGGAUCUCAAGAAUCAUUCAAUCACGUCUGUUCAUCGUACAUCGUGUGGUAACAAUUAUUGUAAAUUUUUUUAUUUAAAAUUAAAUAUAAAUAAUACCUGAUGAAAACUGGUAAUGUACAAUGAACAGACAUGAUUUGAGGAUUGCCGAGAUUCUCACAAAAAUUAUCCGGAAAGGACCCCCAUUCUUCACUAAGGAAUAAACUAGAAAUUAUAAUAUUAAAAUGCAUAAUGGUUACCAAGCAAGCAAAUUUAUUGGGACUUGGAUUGUUUGCCUCCCCAUCCCAUACCCUCCAUAUGCCCUUAUAUUUCUAUGGUCAUGGUUAAACCACGUUAACAUUUUAUAUUUGCAUUGCUUUUUGUUUUAUUAUUUUUAUAAAAAAAAUUAAUAUAAAAUAUUGACGUGAUUUAACCGUGACCACAAAAUAUAGGAGGGCAUGAGAAAUGUAUAGAAUGGGGGAGGACAGACAAUCCAAGUCCAAUUUAUUGGCCUUGAAGUACCCAUGCCUGCAGAAGACAGAACCCAAAGUAACUCGGGAACUCAAACGUGGCCAAUUCAUCCAAGCAAAACAAUUAAAGCAUCCAAGGAGCCGAAACGACAUCCCAUUACAACCAUUAAACAUCAAGGAGAAUGGAAAACAUAUGAACUUUUUUUAUGAUGCUUUAUGAAUGAUGAAUUGAAAUAUAAACGGCUCAUACCUUUGAAAAAAAAGAAUUACAAAAUGAAAACCACAAAAAUUGUGUUAAAAUGUGUGUCAAAUAUAUGAGGAUGUGUAUAUAUAUGCACACCCACAUAUACACACACACACUUAAACGUGUAGCACUGGGUAUAGGUAGCAAAAGGCCACUUGUGAUGAGUGCUUGAUUCUAAAAUGUAGUAUUUCUCUCAAACAUUUGACUAUUACUUUAGUCAUGGAAUGCUGAUCAAAAUGCAAUUAAAUAGUAUCACUUAGAAUCAUAACUCUUGGCUUAUAGUAUGAAAAAAUAACAGAACAUUUGUAUAUUGCUUGCAAGUAAUUAGCUUCAGUUAGUCAACUCCAGCAACUUGAUUAAGAAAGCAUGUACAUAGAGCUGCGCAAUUACCAUGUCCACAUUUCCUGAUCAGGAAAUUUCCCAUGCUUGGCUUAGUUGAAAAUAGCAGAUAAGUCAAGAGUGUAUUUUAAAUUACUGUUACUUAAUUAUUCUAAAGUUCAUAAUCAAUAUUAAUUACUAGCAGCUUAUUAUAUACUGUUGUCAAAAUCGUGAGUUGGACUGUUGGUAAGGGUUUUUAAUUAGGGAACUUUAACGAAAAGCACCCGGUACUGUUCAUUUUAACGAAAAACCACAUUUUUACACUAAAAAGUCAAUUUUGGUACUAUUCACUUUACCUUUUAUUUUGUCCUUAUCAUUAAAACUCAAAGUUUUCAAGCUCUUUUCAUUAGUUUUCCUUUUUAAUUAAGCUGACUUUGGGCCCCAAAUAAUAAAGUGUCGACAUAAUACCUGUUACUUCAACAACAACGAAUAUGAAAAAAAAAAAACCCUUGAUUGUCAGUUGCUUGUUGUAAAUAUAAUUUUUUAUGUAAUCUUUCGUUUUCUUCCUGCUUACGUCCAUUGUCAGCUAAACAUCAGCUCUUUGUUUUUGUUGUUAAAAAACGGCUUUCUAAUAUUAUAGAAUUCCCACUUGAUCUAACAAUUGGGAUAAUUAUUCGAAAGAAAAAAAUACAAUUGAGAUAAUUAUAACAAAUCAUCUCAACUAUUUGCAGUUUUACUUUAAAAAAAAAAAAAUCUCACAUACGUCUCAAUCAUCCAUAAUGAUCAGAUGACUAAAAUUUCACAUCCGUCUCGAACAACCAUUUAUGUUAAAAUUGACUAAAAUGCAAAAUUCUCAUAUAUUAGAGUCUUUAAAUUGGAUCCUCACUACAGAAUGUCACUUGGUUGUGUAUGCGUAUCUUUAGCUGAAUCUGGCCGGCCACAGGUAUCGGUCAAAAAAACAGGUUUUCAAAAUCUGUUUUUUAUGAUAUUGUUCUACUAGAAUUUGUCUUUGAUUAGUAUUGUCCAUAGACUAUGUUCGAGAGAGCUCCCAAACUUGACCUCGGGAGGCGUUCAGUGUUUCGUGAUACAAUAAUAUAGUCCAUACAAAUUUUCUUGCUGAUUAUAUUCCACAGUAUGAUCCAAUACUUUUUGGUAAUUUAGGUCAUGAUUAUCAAUUCAAUAACUCCCACCUUAUACCUUUAAAGCCAAAAGUAACAUAAGGGGCAGAUCCGUGUUAUCACAUUUUUACACAACUUUUUAUUCUUAUUUUUCGUGAGAAUCAUUCUGUAAUGUAUUUCAAUAAUCCGAACGUCUAUCUUUUAGGUUUUUCUUCAAAUAUCAUGUAUACCAAGAAUCACCUAAAUAUGAAAUCAUAUGACUGUUGAAUGUCUUCACAGUUUUAUAUUUGUCUAAUUUUUUACAAGAAUCAUCCAUGAAUGAUUUUCUAAAAAAAUAGACGUUCAAAUCGUUAAAAGUACAUUACAAAUUUGACCCCACAAAACCUGUGUAAAAAAUUAUGUAAAAAAAAUAGUGCCACGGAUUCGCUAUAUAUAUAUAUAUAUAUAUAUCCAUACAUUUUUUUUACUUCUCACAUACCUCUUAUUAAUUUCUGUCCUUUGAUAUAUAUAUAAAAAAAAUCUUCUUCAAUUCAUCCAAUCCGAUGGCCGAAAAUUAAAAGUGUGUGAGAAGUAAAAAGAAGUGUGUAAAUAGCACACAUCAUCUAAAAAACCAUUAACGAACGGGCCUGUAAUUCCAAAUUUACAAGUUUUUACUCCCAAAAGAGACAGAGCUUAUUAAUUUUGAAUUUUUUUAAUUUUCUGAUUGACUUGGGGUUGGGGUAAGUACGGAAUAUAGCGCUUGAUCUGUUGAAAUGUCCCACAUCGACCGUAUCAAUGAAAAAAGAAGAGUUUAAAUACCCUAAUCUCACUUUAACUAAUACCGAGGUCUUCUGUAAUAAAACCACAUAUCUGACGGAUUGUGCAUAUGGUAAUUACCAAGUUGGGGACAAUAUCGGUGUUGUUGGAAGUGGGCCGUGUGGUUCGUCUCUUUGAUAAUUCUACAUGGUAUCAAAGCCAAGAAGCUGGCAUGUACCGUACUGCCACGUGAUUGGUGGGUCCCCUUGGCCCCGCGCGAUGAUGGUGGGUCCCUUGGUCCCGCGUGUAGAGUGAGUCCUCUUGACUCCACGUGGUUGUCGAUGUGUGGAUCUCCCACGUGUGACCUGGUAAUUGGGUCCCACAUGAGGGGGGUGUUGAAAUGUCCCACAUCGACCGUAUCAAUGACAAAAGAAGAGUUUAAAUAUCAUAAUCUCACUUCAACUAAUACCGAAGCCUUUUGUGAUAAAACCCCACAUCUGACGGAUUGUGCAGGUAGUAAUUACUAAAUUGAGGACAAUAUCGGUGUUGUUGGAAGUGGGUCGUGUGGCCCAUCUCUCUAAUAAUUCUACAUGAUCACGGCUGAAUAGUCAAUUGGGUCCCACGUGAGGGGAGUGUUGAAAUGUCCCACAUCGACCGUAUCAAUGACAAAAGAAAAGUUUAAAUAUCAUAAUCUCACUCCAACUAAUACCGAAGCUUUUUGUGAUAAAACUUCAUACCUGACAGAUUAUGCAGGUAGUAAUUACUAAAUUGAGAACAUUAUCGAUGUUGUUGAAAGUGAGCCGUAUGGUCCAUCUCUCUAAUAAUUCUACAUGAUCACGGCUGAAUAGUCAAUUGAUCGUAUCAUAUACCAACGAACCUUUGCUUUUGAUUGAGUAGUUGUGAAGAAGUCAAGGUCGUGUAAGAUUAAUUUUCAAACUACAAUUAUUUAGCCUUCUAUCAUUCUGUGCCAUUCAUUUGUUUUAGCUAAAUGUAGACAUGCACUUAAUUUCAUGCCCGACUUUUAAAAAUGAAUAUGACUUUUCUCUUUAAUUUGUCGUGUCACCGGUUUAAAAGCUCCGAUCUUCACAGUGUAGCUUAGAUUAUUAAUAAUAACAUCGAUUGUAAUAAAAAUAUAUAUAUAUUCUCAAAACACAAAAAGGGUUAUUAAUAAAAAUAUAUAUAUUCUCAAAACACAAAAAGGGUUAUUUUUUUCAUUUUCAGAUUAUGUUGGACACGGAAUAGGAUCCUCUGGAUUUGUGGGGAUCUGAAAGAUCAAUUAAAUCGGUGUAUUGAGCAAAUAAUACUAGUUACUUCAACAAAAAAAAAAAAACAGUUACAACUAAUUAUUUUUGAUCGUCAGUUGCUAGUUACAAAUAUAGCUAAUGUCCUGUGACCUCGUAAUAUUUUUAUGAAAAUUUUCAUUUUCUUUGUCAACUAAAAAAAUACUCUUUAUUUUUGUUGUUAAAAAACAACUUUCCAAUAUUAUAGAAUUCCCACUUGAUCUAACAAACGCAUCAAAAUGAUACCUGAAAUUGAAAAUUGAUCAAUGUCGUCUAUGAAUAUGGAGAUUGUUGUCGGUGGCUAAGUUCAAAGAAGAAGGAGAAGAUGAGGAUUAUUAGUUUGUUGUUUUUCUUCUUUUUACCUUUUAAAUUUUUUGAAACACUUUAUUUAAUCCAUAUGUUAUCAUAUUAUUGGAGUGCAGAGUCUUAUGUGUGUCACAUAAACACAUAAUAGAUUUUUUUAACAGAAAUAAGACAGAAGACGACAUUGAUUUGCAACACCCAUAUUCAGGGACGAUAUUAUUCAAUUUUCAGCUUCAGAUAUCAUCUUGAUGUGAUGGGUCAAUUUCAGAAACCACUUAUAACAAAAAUGUAAUAUAAUAUAAUAACGUAAGUUUAACAAGUCACUACCUGUGAAACCAGUCUUUUUAACAUGUUACUAAGGAGCCUAUCUAUUGUCAAACGAUAAGAUAAUUAUAUUAAAUUUAACUAAAUUACGGCAAGUGGAAUUCAAACUUGGUGCAUAAUAAAACACAGUGAUGUAACUAGCUUGGCUAAACUAAAAUCUUCUAUUUUAAAUUAAUUCUUUUACAAGUAAUUUAUGUAAAUGUAUCUUUAAUUAUAUAAAUAAUUAAAUAAAAAUAAAUAGAGUAAGUGGUUGGGAACAAGGUCUAAAAUAUCGAUAUUAUCCCGAUAUUUCCAUCGAAAUUUUCAUGUUUUUGGACUAUCGAUAUUUUCGAUAUCAUCAAUAUUUUAGACCUUGAUAGGAACUCUAUGUGGUACUAAGUCACUCAUGUAUCUUACCAUGCAAUGUAUAAAGUGUAAAAUAUUGUACUAAUUCAUUAUAUAUAAAUGAUUAUGGUGUGUUUAAACUUCUUUCAUUAAUUACUACAUAUUUUUACACUCACAAUGUUUGCCAGCUCGCUAUAUAAUUAACUUAAAUCAGUUAAAUCCAUCAUGCAAUGCAUUUCUUUCCAAUUUUUUGUGAUAAACUAAUAGAUAAUUGACUAAAUAAACAUCCUGCAAAGUUUUAAUAAAAAUUUCCAAGUUUUUCUUAUAAUUUCCGUGGUUUUUAUUCAAUUUUUAUCGAUAUCGAUAAUAUCCCGAUAUUUCCAUCGAAAUUUCCGUGUUUUUGGACUACCGAUAUUUCCGAUUUCAUCGAUAUUUUAGACCCUUCUUGGGAAUAAUAUAUAUUUUUUCCUUUCUUGUUUGGUCUUUGGUUUUAAGGAAAAUUAAUGAAAAUGACUUGAAAACUUUGAGUUUUAACAAUAAUGACAAACUAAAGGGUAAAGUGAAUAGUAUCAUGAUUGACUUUUUAGUAUAAAAAUAUGAUUUUUCGUUAAAAUGAACAGUACCACAAGCUUUUCGUUAAAAUUCCCUUAGUUUUAAGGGCAAGGUAACACAAGUCAUUGACUUCCGUUUGUGUCCUUCGAGGUCCACUCCUUCCCUCCCCUCAAGGGAAUAAAAACCUGUAAUUCAGACUCAUUCUCCUCACAAAUCCUUCUUUCUUCGCUACUCUAAAAAAAUUUCAUACAUACAAUCCAACAAAUUCCAAAACCUCUCAACAUAUUCCAUCCAGCUAGCUGCACAAACUGAUCCUUUUGUCUCUGGUUUUGUCUUCAAAUGUGAAAGACUUUGCCUAGAAAAAUGAUGAAUAUGUUCUUCCCUCGACUUCUUCCUCAUUCUCUUUUCUUUGUAGCUUGCUUUGUAACUUUUGCCUUUGGAGCUGCUCGAUUGCCAAAUGAUGAAGGUACGAGUAAUUCACCUCAAUAUCUCUAUGUCAAAUAUCUUCCUUAGUUUCCUCUGUUUCAUUCUAUAAAUGAUAGUUUUAAGUUCGUUUGAUAAUUUUUUUAAUUUUCAAUUCUUUUUGAGUUCUCAAAUUUUGGUUUGGUUUUUCCGAGAAGUGAAAACAGUUACCAAUGAACUAAAAAUUAAAAUGGUUAUCAAAUGAACCUUAGGUAAACAGAUAUUUGUGUGAACUUAGUAGAAAUUUUCAAUCAUAUAAGGUGCACUCUGUAGUUCUUGUCUAUGCAUCAAUUUUUUUUUUUUACUAUUUUGUUGAGCACGAUGUUAAUUUGUUGCCUUUUAUUUUGCGUAUAUGCAGUGCAAAUUUUGAAAGACAUAGCAAAGACACUGGGGAAGACGGACUGGGAUUUCAGUGGAGAUGCAGAUCCAUGCAGCGGCCAACUUCCAUGGGCUGAUCCAAGCGCACCCAAAGGAUUAGAGAAUGCCAUCAGCUGUAAUUGCUCCUACGAAAACUCCACCGUCUGCUAUAUUACCAGCAUGUAAACCUCUCUCACUCUCUCUCUCUCUCUCUCUCUCUCUCUCUCUCUCUCAAAAAUAAACAUGGCCGGCUCAGAACUCAGUGAGAUUUUUCAAUGUGAUGGUAUAUCACGUGACACGAUAUAAAUGGUGAGUAACUUGUAUUAAAAAAUUAACACAAUUUGAAACAUAAAACUUUUUUCACUUAUAUAACAACACGUAGUGUAUCUUCCGAAUAUAAUGAAAAAUUUGUUUUCAUCUCACAAGCUAAUACCAAAUAAUCUUAUCGGAAUUUUGUGAUUUAAAUUGAUGGGCAUUUAUUGGUCCACCCCCCGGGGCCCAAUCUAGGGAUAUUUUGAUAUUGCCGCCUCAUUUUUUAUUUCUUUUAAGAAUUUGAUUAAACAUUUUUUUAUACAAUUUUAUUAGAGGCACGUUUGGUUUUAUUAGUACAUUUGAUUUUAUGGACAUUUUGUUUUCUGGUACAUUUGGAAUUUAAACGUAACAAAAGUUGGUAUGUUUGUUUUUAAGUGUACCAUAACUUUUAAAUACAUUUUCUAUAUAACUAGUUAUACGUAAAAUUUUAAUAAGAUUAAAGAAGUUUUUUUAUGAAAAUAUUAAUGAAUUUUUUUAAUGAAAGAAGAGACUAAUUAAAUAUAAUAAAAAAAAUAAAAAGUUAUUUUUUUUAUAAUGAUAAUGAGGAAUUACUGAAAUUAAUAUUUUAAUGAAGCCAUGAAUUUAAAAUUCCUAGAUUGUAGGAAAUAGUUGUUAGAUAGUUUAAGUGAAUAUAUAUAUAUAUAUAUAUAUUAAAUAAAUAAAUAAAUAAAUGUUGAGUUGGAAAUUAAUCAAAACAUCUUAAUCAAAUUUUGUAAAAGAACAUAUGUUUAGUCUAAACAAGUUGAAAAAAAUGGAGGGAAUUCUUAAUUCUUUGUCUUCAAUUUAUUUGACACAUAAUAUGCACAUGAGAUUAUUGCGUUAGUAAACACCAAUUUAAGUACUUAAUGUGAUAAAGAGACAUAAGUUGGAAAAUAAACGUUUGGUUAUAUAGAAUUGUGAAUGAUUAACUUAUUUCUUAAGCGAUAAAAAAUUGCUCAUUAUAUUUUUCUUUUCUGGAUAAACAGUUUGUUCGUUGUGUUUUGAACGAGUUCCAUCUCAUGCAAUAUAUAGAAAUAUUACGAGAAAAAUAAAGAAAAAUUUGAGAAAAGAAUUAGCCAAUUAGGUGCUUCAUUAGUCGAAUAACUUGACUAAGCAAAAACAAUGUACAGAUUAGGCGCCUUUUGUUGUGAAAGGUUGAGAAUGAUAAGAUCAAAGUUUUUCAGUCUUUGUUAUAUCAAUCAUAUUAGAGAAGAAAAAAAAAAUAUAAGAAAGGUCUACGUCCACGUACCAUCCAGUCGACAUUAUAUAAUAUCUACAUGAAGACUUUGCAUUUUAGGUCAAUGAAUCUGAAUGAGCAGAAAUUUCUGUAAGUACUCGGUAUUCAAGCGAGUAAUUUAAGUGUUAUAAAUGAGCGAAGAAAUACAAAAAAAAAAAUAUUAUUAUUUGUAUUAAGAUAUGUGGUGUACUCUUUGAAAAAAUCUAUUCUCAAUGAGCACUUUCUAAUACUUUGUUAGGUUAGAUGUUAAAUUAGCUAGUGGCAUGAUUUGAACUCAUGUCGUCAUACAAAGCCUCAACACUUUUUCACCACUAUGGUAAAGAGUUACGAGUCACUUGCAUCCUACAGGGAAAAUUAACUAGCAUGUAGACUACUAUGCGAAAAAUAAGGGUUAAUCUCAGUUUACUACCUUGAAGUUUCGUGAUUUUCAACAUUUGAUACAUGAAGUUUUUUUCAUCACAGAGUCAUAUCUCAAGUAUUAAUUUUGGAACAGUAUCAUACAUUCAUUAAGUUGGCUGUUAAGUCACAGAGUCAUAUCUCAAGUAUUAAUUUUGAAACAAUAUCAUACAUUCGUUAAGUUGGUUGUUAAGUCAGCCGUUAACUGAUGACGUGACAUCCAUAUAGAUAAUAACUAAGCUCCACGUGUAAAUAUAGGCCAUAUAAAUAUUUAAAAAAUUAAAAAACUAAACAAAUAAAAAUAUGGCCUAUGGAUGCGGGCCUUCCCUUUCCUCCACCCGCACCAACUCUUUAUCUUCUUCUCUUCGACAGCCACCAGAGCUGAUCUGAAAAUCAGCACAACCUCGAAAUUUAAGCCCUAAUUCAACCUAAAUUUCAGAUAGAAGGGCUGGAUUAGUCCAUUAAUCUAAGCGUACGAUCCAAAAUCCAGUUCCCAAUUGUGUUCCUUUCCUCAAUAAACAGCCAGAGGGCUCAACGAAAUGAAGAAAUUACAAAGAGAUGUAUAGAAAACGCACCGUUUUGGAGGUAGGGGCCGUACUCGGUGGCAGAGAGGUGCAUCUUGAUAUAGUCGAGGGUCUCGCACUGGCAAAAGUUGUUGUAAUCAGCGGCGAGCGGUGACCCUGCACUAUGGCCUCCAAGUACCCGCCGUGAAUGUUGAAGAUCAUCGCUUCGAAUCCGUACACUUUCGCUGAAAUUUUGAAAAUUUACGCGAUCUGCCACUGCAUGAUCCGAAAAAUUGAACGUCUCGCGGGAGAGAGAGAGGAAGGGGACGAUCGGGGAACCAGAAACCCCCUUCUGCAGCGAAAUCAAUGGAAACCCUAGCGAUUUGCAGACGGAAGCUGAAAUCUGGAAAUUAACCGCGUGGGCGCCAAUGGAAACCCUAUGGGCUAUGGCUUUCUACUCUGGUUUGAAAUCUCCGCGAUGAAUGCCUCGUUGUUGUUGUCGACGGAGAAGAAAGAGAGAGAACCCAGGCCGUGGUGGUGCAGAUUUUCAGAUCAGCUUUGGUGGCUGUCGAAGAGAAGAAUAAACAAAACUUCAUAAUAAUAAACUGAGAUCGUUCCGAAAAAUAAAGAAAAAGUUGAGAAAAUAGCUUGACUAAGCAAAAGCAACGUACAGCUUAGGCGCCUUUUGUUGUGAAAGGUUGGGAAGGACAGGAUCAAAGUUUUUCAGUCUUUGUUAUACGAAUCACCUUGUAUAAUAUCUACGUGAAGACUUUUUUAGGUACUCGGUAUUCAAGUGAAUAAUUGAAGUGUUAUAAAUGAGUGAAGAAAUAUAAAAAAAAAUGUUAAUUUUCCAUUAUAUUAUGAUAUGUGAUGUGUUGCUUGAAAAAAAAAAGAGUAAUGUUAUUCAUACUAUAUUUUUGUACCAUAUUUUCAUACCAUCUUAGGUGGUAUUUGAUGUGGACAACCAUAUCAUUUGAAUUAAUCUGAUUUUUAAAUUUAGUUCAUUAUUUAAUAAACUAAUAAUUAAGAAAAACUAAUUAAUUAAAUAAUAAUUGUGGUAUACGAGGAGUUUUUCUCCUUCAUUUUCUUGGGUUUUGCAAAUUUUUCAAAUGAUGUGGCUGUCCACAUCAAAUGCCACAUAAGGUGAUAUAGAAAUGUGGUAUAAAAAUAUGGUAUGAAUAACAUUACUUGAAAAAAAAAUCUCUUCUUAAUAAGCGCUUUCUCCUAUAGAGAAUAGAUUUUGUUAGGUUAGGUGUUAAAUUAGCCAGCGAUCGGGUUUGAACCCACGUCGUUAUGUAAGAACUUAACUUUUCACCAUUGUAGUAAAUAACCACUUGCCUCCUACAGAGAAAAUUAACUAGGCAUGUAGACUAAGUGAGAAUAAUAACUAGGGCUGGUUCGGUAUGGGAUACCGAACCGAAAAUGACAUACCAAAUCCCGAACCGAAAAUUUUCGGGACUGGAAUAAGAGGACCGAUACCAACCGAAACUUCGGGAUUCCCAAAUUUCGGUAUUCCCAAAAAAAUUUCGGUAUUUCGGGAUUUCCCGAAACCGAACUUGCAUUGAAAUCCAAAUCAACUAAUUGAAAUCGAAAACAUUCGAACCUGCAUGAAAACCCCAAAAUGAAAUCAGAGAAGUGACAGUGAAUCAGUGAAGAUUGAUGGGAGAUAGAGAGACAGAGUGAAGAGAUAGUUCGUCCUCCUCCUGACCCGAGCCCCUAAUUCGAAACCCUAAUCCCCAAUUCGAAACCCUAAGCCCCAAUUCGAAACCCUAAUUUGAAACCCCACAUAGAGAAUCAAUGGAGAGAAUCGGAGGUGGGGAUGAAGCCGUGAUGUGUAGUGGUGGCCGGAGGGGAGAGAGUUCAUCGGAGUGAGACUGUGAGAGGGUGGUGGCUGCUAGGCUUCGAAUUCGAGAAGGAGAGACAGAGAGAAUCUGAGACUAAGUGAAGGGCCAAAGAUGAGAAAUGAGAGAGAGUAAGUAUGGAUGUGUCGGCUUGGGUUUGAAUUGAGUUGAAGGAAUGUUUUGGUGGCUUCGCCUUUCUGGGUUGCAAAGCAGAUGGAGAUAAUGAGAGAGAGAGAGAGAGCGAGAGCAGCAGACAGCACCCAUGUGCUUUGAUAAAACUUCAAACGCCAGGCACACAAUCAUAUCCUUAUCCCCACACUUAAGUUAUUUUAAUAAUAUAAAUAGGCCAUAUACAUAUAUUCCAACAUAUAUAUAACAAUAGGGUUUAAAGUUCGGUUCGGGAUGGGAAUACCGAACAAUUUUAAGUGUGAGACCGAAUCCCAUACCGAAAAAUUCGGGAUCGGUUUGGUUUUGGUACCAAAAUUUUCGGGAUUUUCGGUAUGGUUUCGGUAUGAUUUGGGAUUUUCGGUAUUUUUUUCCACCCCUAAUAAUAACUUACAUUGAACGAGUUAAAUAUCAUAAAAUUUUACACUUAAAAUUUAGUUCAUUAUUUAAUAAACUAAUAAUUAAGAAAAACUAGUUAAUUAAAUGAUAAUUGUAGUAUACGAGGAAUUUUUCUUCUUCCUUUUCUUGGGUUUUGCAAAAUUUUCAAAUGAUGUGGCUGUCCACAUCAAAUGCCACCUAAGGUGGUAUAGAAAUAUGGUAUAAAAACAUGGUAUGAAUAACAUUACUAGAAAAAAAAUCUCUUCUUAAUGAGCGCUUUCUCAUACAGAGAAUAGAUUUUGUUAGGUUAGGUGUUAAAUUACCCAGCGAUCGGGUUUGAACCCACGUCGUUAUGUAAGAGCUUAACUUUUCACCACUGUAGUAAAUAACCACUUGCCUCCUACAGAGAAAAUUAACUAAGUGAGAAUAAUAACUUACAUUGAACGAGUUAAAUAUCAUAAAAUUUUACGUUUAAUCAUAUUUUAAUACGUGUAAAUUUUUGUUAGCAUGAUAUAUAAUAUUAUAACAAAAAUAUUAAAAAUAAUAAAUUUGUUCGAUGUAAACUGAUCACAAGUGUGUGAGGAGAGAUGUUUUUCUUUCAAAAAAAAAGAUUAGCUGAUAGUUUCGUCAUGACAGGAGUCGAAAAAACUAGUAGAGAUAGCGAGGAGAGAUGUUGAUUAGAUGGUUGGAAUUCGGUUUUGUGGACCCCAUGUCUAUUCGAUAUAUGUAUCAAUCAAUUUUUCUUUUUCUUUUUUUUUUCUGUUAAAAAGUAUCAAUCAAUUUUUCAUUACAUAUCCCCUAACCUAACCCCAUGCCCAUGAAACCUCCAAAAUAAAGUAGGAAUUAUAAGGCUUAGUGUGGGCCUCAUCGAGUUGCCUAUUGGCAACUUGGCACGUCGUAUUCACUCAUUCAACCUUAUGUCGAGCAAGGUAGCUAGGCCGAUUGAUUUCAAUUGGAUUUGAGAGUUGUUAGUUUAAUAGCAAAGUCGAGCUCGUUUGUUUCUUUGUGAUUUUCUCACGCCCCGACCGUAGUUUUGGAGAGAUUUUUUAGUGUGCUAGGAGUACGAUCCGGUAUAUCAAGUAUUAUAAUACAAGUAGUUAUAUACUUGAAAUUUUUUUCCAACUGCUUAUAUUAUGACACUUAGUGAACCAGAUUUGUUUCCCCCGCACACAAAAUUUCUCCUACCUUUGGGGCGUAAAAAUUUUAAAGCUCUUAUUGUGUAUGUAAAACAAGUAAAUGUUGCUACCGUUUAGAGCUAUGAAAAGUGACUACCACUCGUCUUUUUCUCUUCAUGCACACUAUUGAUUUCUGGCCUUUGACGAAUCAAGGGGCAUGAAUAAAACCAAAUUAUGCAAUAAUCAUUUUCAUAAAGCUAUAAGUUAUUCUUGGCAUGCAAGUUGGAUUGAAAAUUUCGAUUUUAACCAAUUCUGUUCUUGUCGGUUUACGAACAAAAAAUAUGAAGCAAAUUGGAACGCAUCUUAAAAUUAGGCCGCCUUUGCCAUUGUUACACAGUUACUAAUUUGUGAUCCAUCAUUGGGUAUAAAGUCAAUAUAAUUCUGAUAUAUCUAGACACUAGUGGGGUUUCCAUUUUCCCAAAUCCUUUACCCUCUAGAUUUUUAAUUUUUCUUCAACCGGCAACCAAUUGGAAGUUUUUCUUGGUCUAAUAAGACCUUGUUGUGCCUUGACAUUCAAGAAAUGCAGAAAGACUAAUCCAUUUCUUUUAUUGAAUGACCAAUGAAACAUCAAUUACAACCUACCAUGGACCGCAAUUCAAGUUAAGCUUAUCUGCAAAAUCGAGUUCAUGGGAUGUGACAAAUUUGCUCAAUUAUGAUAGCAAUGUGUUUUUGAGCUGGCCAUGAGCCAGCAUAGAUGUUCUGUGGCAUGCUGAGUUGUUAGGACUUGGUAUUACAGCUGUGCUGUAUUUAGGCUUGAUUCUUGCAUACUUGAUCAACGUAUAAAAUUUCGCAGUCACCAUGAUUGUUGCGUACUUCUUAUACACGAACAACUUUGUAUCGGCCUAGUUAUUAGUUACAAAGUCGAUGAAAGAAUGAUUCACAAUAUGCUUGUAACAAAUACACACUUACCGUUUGUGUAAUUCUUCAAGUUCUAUUCUUUGUAAAGAACAUUGGACAUUUUCCUUCGGUUUUAAAGAAAACCAGUUCCUUCUUCCUAUUUAAUUCCCUGAUCAAAAGUAAGUAUUUUCUGUGAUAAAUUAGUGUUUUACCUGUUUGGUCCUAUUUGUGUGGCAGCUUUUCCUUUUAGUCACAGUAUAGAUGUGUAAUAGAUAUCUGUUAAUUUACAACUAAUCUUUGAAACCCUGUUUUCCGAUGAAACACAGAAUUCUAAAAUCCCAAGAUUUGCAAGGAACACUCCCACCAGAGCUGGUACAUCUCACCUAUCUUCAAGAAAUGUAAGCACAUUUUUACCCCUCCAAGUUUACAAUAUUUAAAGUAAAAAGAAAAUAACUAUGUGUCGUGUAAAUGGUUUAUUCUAAUUUCAUAUAUAGCUUACCUUUAUUUCUGUUGUCAAUGAGACAAUAACUGGUUUCCUUCUUUCUCCUUUAGCGACCUCACCCGCAACUACCUGAGUGGUACCAUCCCUCCAGAAUGGAGCUCUCUUCCACUAGUGAACAUGUACUAUCUUCUCUCACACUGCAUACAUUUUUGUGUUUGAUGCUCAUGUCAUGUUCUUGUUACUUUAUUUGGUCACUCCAAUGUUCUUCAGCCAUUUCUUUCUUAAACUAUGAAUCUAAUACAUUGGGUUUUGUUCAUGAUAAUGAGCUUCCGUGGUCAUGAGGUGUUUGAAUCAUAAAUAUUGAAUCGAACACAUGGGGUUCAUUGCCUUCGUAUUGAUGAACAUGUUAAUGUUAUUGAGUCUCUUGCUUGAUAAAAGUGAUCUUAAGAUUAUAGUUUUGAUGCAGAUCCCUUCUUGGAAAUCGUUUGACGGGUUCUAUCCCCAAAGAGCUUGGAGACAUCACCACCCUGAAGAGUUUGUGAGUGUUGAUUGAGCAUUUGUUUCUUGCUUACCUCAUUUGAUUAUGUGGAGAUCCUUAAUGAUGUUUUUUAAUCAAUGGAAUUGAAUUUGUUUGUAUAGGGACAUCAGUUUCAAUAAUUUUUCUGGACCUCUCCCUCAGGAGCUUGGAUCUUGGGCCAACAUAGAAAGAAUGUAAGAGUCCUAUUCAAAUUUUACCGUGUUAAAAAGUACUUGGUUUAUUUGGAAUUUUCUUUCUUAUAGACAAAUUCUGGAUGUUUUCACCAAUAAAUCAUCUACUUCUUUAUCAUUGAUAUAUUGUUAUAUCUGUUUCAUACUUAGGCUGCUUUCCUCAAACAACUUUAGUGGGGAGUUGCCAGAAACAUUUGCAAUGCUUACCAAAAUAAAGGACUUGUAAGCUUCUGUGGUUCUUUCUUCUUAAAGGUUUCCUGAGCACUUAUACAUUUUUUACUGCUUUCUGAUACUAAUUCGUAGUAUUUUCCCUUUUCCAAUCAUUAUGCAGUCGGGUUAGUGACAGUCACUUUUCCGAGCGGAUACCUGAUUUUAUUGAGAACUGGAUAAAUCUUGAAAAACUGUGAGUGUUUUUCUUUUGUGUGUCAUAUUUCUGCUAUAUGAUUCUGAAUAUUAUCUCUAAUUCAUAUGCUAUGACUCGUUGAAACAGAGUGAUUCAAGCUAGCGGUUUGACAGGGCCAAUUCCUUCUGGCAUUUCUCUUUUGACAAGCUUAACUGACUUGUUAGUAUAUCCCGUCUAUAUUUUUAAAUACAAAACGAUUAGCAAAAUGUGUAGUUUAUGUUCAUGGCUCAAUUUUAACAUGCAGGAGAAUCACUGACUUGAGUGGACCUGAAUCACCAAUUCCUUCACUUAAUAAGAUGAAAAACAUGAGGACACUGUGAGUUAAUGGUUCCAUGACACACAAUUUUUGUCUGUACCAGAAGUCUUCUGUAAACUCAAAGCUUUGGUGUCUGUUGCAGGAUGUUGAGGAGUUGCAACCUUAUUGGAAAGCUACCUCCAUAUCUUGCACAAAUGAACAAAUUGAAAACUUUGUAAGUUCAAAUGUCUUAGUCCCUAUUUUUUCCGUCUUCAAAUAAAAAAAAUUCUUCUAGAUGUGAUUCUACUAAUUCAAGAUUUAUUGAAGUGACUUAGACGAUGUUGGGUGGACUUUAUGUUUCUGUAUUUAUUAAGAGAACUUCUCUUUCAGAUGUCAUUUCCCUUUCUGCAGAGAGCACAUCUAAACUGCAUUUGCUAUUUGUUUGUGCAGAGACCUCAGCUUUAACAAGCUGACCGGAGAAAUUCCAAGCAGCUUCGGUAGUCUAGCAGAUGUGGUUUAUAUGUAAGCAAUUGGAAUGACCAAUCUAGUCUUUCUUACAUGGAAUUCAAGCAGACAUUCUUCAAUGGUUUUGUUACACCCCAGCCUGGCAAGCUGGAAGUAUUUCCAAUCACAGUUACUAUAAUUAUGAGUCACGGGUUAUACUGCAAUGAAAAUGAAAACGGCUCUUCUGCUCAGAAAUGAAAUGUUUAGUUUAUUCAUUAGAGUCAUUACUACUCGUGCAAUUAUCUGACAUAAGGUGAUCACCCUUAGAUGUGUCUUUCACAUGGAAGUACUGAUCUAAUGCACUCAGAGUUGGCAAACUCAAAUUUUCAAACCUUUACAAAGAACAAACACUAUUCUCUACUGAGUUUUUUCUGUAUUCAUUAUUUUUAGAUUCUUAACUGGAAACUUGCUGACUGGACCUGUACCUGCUUGGCCAAGAGUCAACGUGUAAGCUUCUCUUCCAAAUGCUACUCUUUAGCUACUAAGGAAAUUUAUGCUGUUUUUUUUACUAAGAUAGAUAUAAAACUAUUAUAUCAAUAUUGAGUUUUGGUUUCAAUAUUUGUUGUAUAUUUCAUUAUGAAGAUUACAAGAGAGUGAAGGCAACUCUUAUAGAGAGCCAAAAGAAAGCUACAAUAGAUUGUAGGAUAACUACACAAACACAAUCCCUAAAAUCUGCCCUAACAAAUGGAAAAGCAAAAACCAAAUUACAAGUAAAAAAGCUUUUACAAACAACUAAGAAAGGUUGAUGUAAGGUGAAUGACAAGGAAAGUGACUGGUGAAUGACAAGCUAUGGAAAGUGACUUUAGCCUAUGACUUAGCUAAAGUGAGGAUGACAACUCAUACAUACAACCCAUCCAUACAAUCCAUACAAACCGGUUUCAAUACACCCCCUCAAGCUGGAUCAAGGGGAUUGAUUGAUCCAAGCUUGCACAACAAACGCUGAAACUGAGUAGAGUCUAGUGCUUUUAUGAAUAAAUCAGCAAGUUGAUCGUGGCUGCAUGUGAACACGGUGUCUAUCACCUUGGAUUGAACUUGAGCACGAAUAUAAUGGCAGUCAACUUCAAUAUGUUUGGUCCUUUCAUGGAAUACUGGAUUGGAGGUAAUGUGCAUGGCAACUUGGUUAUCACAAUACAAGGAUAUAUGUGCCAUGCUUGUGAAUCCGAGCUCGGAAAGAAGACCUUUCAACCAUAUGAGUUCACAGGCUGUUGCUGUCAUAGCCCUAUACUCAGCUUCGGCGCUAGAUCGAGCAUUAAUAGUUUGUUUCUUGCUCUUCCAAGUGACAAGGUUCCCUCCAACAAAUAUGCAAAAACCUGUUGUGGAUUUUCGAUCAAGGGCAUUUUCAGCCCAGUCAGCAUCUGUGUGGGCCAAGAUGUGAUUUGAUCCAUUGUUCUUCAUAAUUAUCCCCCUUCCUACUGAGCCCUUGAGAUAUUGAAGUAUUCUCUUGACGAUUUCCCAGUGAACUAGAGUAGGAGAGUGCAUGAACUGACUGGCUAGGCUAACUGAAUAUGAGAUAUCAAGCCUAGUAAUGGUGAGAUAAAUAAGUUUCCCAACCAUUCACUGAUAAACACUAGGGUCCGAGAGAGGUUCACUUUUUUCAUGCCACUGAAGUUUUCUAGCUAGGGGUGUCCAAGCUGGUUUACAUUCCAUCAUGUUAGCUUCAUCUAGAAGAUCAAGAACAUACUUUCUUUGAUUUAAGAACAAUCCCUUUGAAGAGGUAGCCACCUCAAUUCCAAGAAAGUAUUUCAAGGGCCCCAAGUCUUUAAUGGCAAAUUUUUGGUGAAGUGAUUGCUUAAGCGUCUUUAUUUCACUUAUAUUGUCACCUGUAAUAAUUAGGUCAUCAACAUAUAUAAGCACAACCAAUUUUCCAGCAAUACCACUUCGAACAAACAAAGAAGAGUCAGCAUGACUCCUUUUGAACCCUGCAGCUUCAAGGACUGAACUAAGCAUCGAAUACCAAGCUCGAGGGGACUGUUUGAGACCAUAUAUGGCUUUGUGAAGUCUGCAGACCUUGUUGGGUUCAUUUUCUCUUGGAUGACCAGGAGGCAACUUCAUGUACACUUCUUCUUCAAGAUCCCCAUGAAAAAAAUGCAUUCUUCACAUCCAUUUGGAAUAAGGGCCAUGCAUUAUUGACUGUCACAGACAACAAUACCCUCACUAUGUUCAUUUUGGCAACAGGAGCAAAGGUCUCCUUAUAGUCAAUGCCAUAGUUUUGAGUAAAGCCUUGAGCUACUAACUGUGCCUUGUGUCUUUCAAUGCUUCCAUUGGAGUUGAAUUUGGUCUUAUAUAUCCACCUACUUUCCACGACCUUCUUGCCAUUUGGAAGAUCCACCACACUCCAUGUCUGCUUGUCAUUCAGAGCUUGAAGCUCUUUAGUCAUAGCAUCUUGCCACUCAGGCAUGCAUGUGGCUUCAUGAAAAUUCCUUGGUUUGAAAGUGUGGGACAAUUUGUUAAGGAAAGAAGUAUGAGAAGAUGAGAAUCUAUGAUAAGAAAUGGCUGCAGAGAUAGGAUGCCUUGCAGUGUAAGUAACAUACUCUUGUAACCUCAUUGGUGGAUGUCUAUCUCGUGUAGGAUUUCUUCUUGGUGUACUUAUAGCUUGCUGAUUUGGUUGAGCUUCUGAUGGUUCAGAUGAGCUUGGCACUGCAUCAAUUACACUCUCAGUGAGUUAAGAAUUAUCAGUGCUGAUAUGAGUAGGAGUGACUUCAUGAAUUUCUGCUGGAAUAGGUAGUGGAAAUAGGUCCAUAAGAUCUUCCAUAUUAGCAUUAGUCUUCAACCCUUUGUGGAAAUAAGGUGAAUAUUCAUCAAAUCACACAUCUCUAGAGACUGCCAGCUUUCCCGUGUUAGGGUUGUACACUUUGUAACCCUUUUGAGAAAUGGCGUAUCCCAUAAACACACAUUUGACAACUCGAGGGUCGAGUUUGUCAUGAUGGAGAUCUUGAAUGUGCACAUAACAAGUACAACCAAAAGUCCUGAGGUAAGACAAGUUUAUAGGCCUUCCUUUCAUGACUUCAAAAGGAGAUUUAGUAUUCAACACCCGAGUUGGCAGUCUAUUAAUGAUGUACGUGGCAGUGAGUAAGGCUUGAGACCAAAAUUUCUUAGUAAUAUUCAUUUGGAUCAUAAGUGAUCGAGUCUUCUAAUAAGUCUCAAUUCUUUCUCUCUGCCACACCAUUUUGUUGUGGUGUACCAACACAGCUAGUUUGAUGCAAAAUGCCAUGAUUGCUCAAGUAAUUAUUCGUGUUAUUGGAAAUGUACUCGGUACCAUUAUCUGAUCUUAACAUAUAUAACUUAGAUGAAAAUUGAUUGGUGAUUAGGUUGUGAAAGUCGUUAAAAGCAUCAAACAAAUCACUUUUAAGUUUUAAAAGAUACAACCAGGUUACUCUAUAAUAGUCAUCAAUAAAUGUAACAUAAUAUCUAUACCCAUCAAAGGAUUCUACACGAGAAGGACCCCAAAUAUCAGAGUGAACAAGCUCAAAAAGUUUACUAGUUCUAGAAUUAGAGGAAACAAAAGGAAGUCUAGUGGCUUUUGACAUUUGACAAGUUUCAUACUCUAGUGUGUUUUUACAAAAAAAGGGAAACAACUUGGUCAUCACAUGUUCUGAGGGAUGGGCAAGGCGUUGAUGCCAGAGUUGGUGUUCCUGAACUUGACUUAAGUUGACACCGAGCUUUUUGACAAAAUUGGACUCAUUUGAAAGAUAGUAGAGUCCAUUCAAGAAGAACCCUUCACCAAUCUUCUUCUAAGUAACUCGGUCCUGAAACACAACAUUGUGAGGGGAAAAUAUGGCAAGACAGUCUAAGGUUUUUGUAAUUUUUUCCUAUUGACAAGAGCUGAAAAGGAAAAGAAGGUACAUAGAGAACAGUGGAAUCAGUAUGCUCACUUAGCAAUCUAAUCUUUCCUUUCCCUAGAAUAGGUUCCCAUUUCCCAUUUGCAACAGAUACAUGCAUUGGAUCAAUAGUUCUUUGAAAAUCGUGGAGACUAGAGGGUUUAUUAGUUAUAUGAUCAGUGGCACCAGAGUCAAUAAUCCAAAAAUCAUGUGUAACAUUUGCAUUAAGAGCAGUGGAAAUGGCACUGAUAAUACCUGAAAUAUUUCCUUUCGAUGUGUUCUCCGAGUCAGCCAAGAAUCCAGCAAAUUUCCCUAGCAUUGCAGUAGGGUUUUCAAGUGUCAUUUCAUCAGGUUCAGUGCUUCCUUGCUUCUUUUGAAGAAAAGCAGCAAACUCGUUGAUCAAGGACACAUGAUUGUUGAGAAAUUGGCCAUCCCAUCAGUUAUGGAACAAGCUGAAUGAAAUGCUUUUGUAGUGACUCCACCCUUCCCAUCUUUGAUCAUCCUGCCUUCCCUAUCAAACUUAGGCUUUAACUCCGGAUGAAGAAUCCAACAUUUUUCUCUCAAAUGUCCCUUCAUGUUGCAAUAAUAACAUUUCCAGUCUGCUUUCUUGCCAAGUACCCUAUCACCAGUUGCUUUGUGAUUUGUCGUGAAAACCCUAGCUUCAGAAUUGGAUUUGGGCUCAACGUUCAUCACUCUUCGUCAAGUUUCCUCUCUCUGGACUGCAUGACACACACUGGUAAAUGAGGGCAGCUCUUGAGUCAUUAACAAGUGACUACGCAGGUCUUCAUACUUCGUUCCCAAGCUUGCUAAGAGUUGAAACACCUUGUCUUCAUCAGCCAUCUUCAGUAGCACAGCGGAAUCAGUCGUGUGUGGACGAUACAUAUUGAGUUCAUUCCACAUGGAUUUCAUACUUCCAAGGUGUUGAACAAAUGAGUGAUCACCUUGCUUUAAACUAGCCACACUCUUCUUCAGUUAAAAGAUGCAAACUGAGUUGUUUUGGCUGCCAUACAUGUCUUUGACAGACUCCCAUAGGAGAAGGGAAGACUCUGAGUAAUUGAAAAGCUCAGACAGUUUUGGCUCCAUAAAGUUAAGUAACCAGGACAUGACCAGUUAAUCAGUAGCAUGCCAUGCAUCGUAAGUUGGUGAAGUGGAUUAUGCGGGCUCAGAGCUUCCAUUGAUAAACCCUAGCUUCGAUCUUCCCCCUAGAGCAAGUGACACAGCUCUUGACCAAGGAAGGUAGUUGAACUCGUUCAGUAGCACCGAGCAGAGUCGUUGAUUUGGAUUGUUUUCAACCCCUUGGGUUAAGUUUAGGGAGGAGGAUGAGGCACUAUCGGCACUAGACACAUUUUCUUCUGCCAUCUCUUUCGAUGAUGAGCAAAUGAAGAAGUAAAAAAAAAAUGACCCUAUGGUUCCUGCUCUGAUACCAUGUUGAGUUUUGGUUUCAAUAUUUGUUAUAUAUUUCAUUAUGAAGAUUAGAAGAGAGUGAAGGCAACUCUUGUAGAGAGCCAAAAGAAAGCUACAAUAGAUUGUAGGAUAACUACACAAACACAAUCCCUAAAAUCUGCCCUAACAAGUGGAAAAGCAAAAACCAAAUUACAAGUAAAGAAGCUUUUACAAGCAACUAAGAAAUGUUGAUGUAAGGUGAAUGACAAGCUAUGGAAAGUGACUGGUGAAUGACAAGCUAUAGAAAGUGACUUUAGCCUAUGACUUAGCUAAAGUGAGGAUAACAACUCAUACAUACAACCCAUCCAUACAAUCCAUACAAAGUGUUGUUUCCUUUUGUACUGACAUACUACACCUGGAAAAGAAUUUUUUAGUGCUUCUUUGAUUCUGGUUUAUGAAACCUCAAUGAAUAUGAGGACUGGGGGGAAGAUGAUUAAUAAUGAAAAUGAAAGGAUGAAGAAAAUCACACAGAGAAUAUAGGUCCCCACUCAAGUCGUGCAAAGAGAAUAUUACCGUUAGCAAAGCACAGCUGGAUCCUUAGACAUCACAAAGUGAUCUUAGCCACACAUCUAACUAAUUUCUAGGAUCCUUAGACUUCACACAAGGCAUUAUUUGCCGUACAUCUUUGAACCUCACACUUGGCCAUAUUACAACUCUAAGUGAAUAUAGAAUUAAGCUCAUAACUUAUGUCACUAAUUCUAAUCAGCUCGAGACCUACAAUUCAACAGAAUUUGCAUCAUAGCUCUUUUUGUGCAGUGAUCUUUCGUAUAACAACCUCGCCAUAGAGGAUGCAAGUUGUCAACCACGAGGUGGCACGUAAGAAUGUCUUCAUUAGCUUGAAGUUAAUCUGUUUGUGUUAUGUGGAGAAAAGCUUAACUUUUCAUUUGUGUUAAUUUCUGCAGUAACUUGUUUGCAAGCUCGUCAAAAGGAAAUAGUUCGUAAGUUCAAAUUAAUCGUCUCAAAGCAUGCACCUAUAAAUUUACUUCGGUAUCCAAUGGUGUAUUCUUUACUAUUUUUUUUUCCAACUUCGUCUCAUUUAUGAUUGCUGACAUUUUUUGUACCCUGAAUUACUAUAUCCGGAGAAUCGUUUCAUGUUUCAAAACUUCAGAGUGUCCAAAAUGUAAGCCGAGUUUCUACACAAAUAAUUACCUUUAUUUUUUCGCUUCAUUCUUUUUUAGUUUUCCUCCUCAAUGCCUACUAAUCUCCAAUUUAUUUUUUCAUAGAUUUGUACUACUCUCUCCAUAUAAAUUGUGGUGGGAAACAAUUUACGGUCCCUGGAGGAAAAGAUACAGUAUAUGAUGAUGACACAUUUUCAGCUGGACCUUCAUCAUUUACCUGAGCAGAACAAAUUGGGCAUUAAGCAGCACCGGUUACUUCCCUGAUGAUGACCGCCCUUAUGACACCUUUAUAUGGACUAAUGAAACUAGACUCUCUAUGGCCAAUCCUCAACUGUACAUGAACGCACGCCUUUCUCCCAUCUCUCUAACUUAUUUUGGGUUUUGUCUGGGAAAUGGAAACUACACCGUAAACCUCCAUUUUGCAGAGAUAAUGUUUAGAAAUGGCAAAACAUAUAAAAGCUUGGGAAGGCGCAUAUUCGAUAUUUACAUUCAGGUAAGUAUCGCAUCCACUUCCAUGUAUACCAGUGAAUUAUUCUAAUUUUCAACAAGCAUUGUUUAUAUUUUGGUCGAUUUGAAUGUUAACUUUCACAUUUAUGAUCAUGAAAUGUUAAGCAACUAAAUUAGUGUGUGUGUGUGUGUGUGUGUGUGUAUUGCAGGGAAAACUAGUGAAGAAGGACUUCAAUAUCAUGGAUGAAGCUGGCGUGUUUGGUGAUGUAGUCAUAAAGAACUUUACUGCUCCUGUAACUAAUAAUACAUUGGAGAUUCGUUUCUAUUGGGCCGGAAGAGGGACGACAGGCAUCCCUUUUAGAGGAGUCUAUGGUCCUCUUAUUUCAGCUAUUUCAGUAGACCCAAGUAAGUUUUCACUGAUCUGAGCUUCGUCUAAUUACUAUGCGUCGACCAUAUGCAUUUAUAUAUCUACUAAAUUAAGAGAUCCGACUUCAGUUCUGCAAGGUUCUUCUUCUUCUUCAAUAUUUCCCUUCGCUUGUAUUUUCAGAAAAAUGCUUCUGUGUUUUUCUCCUGUUUUACAUAGUUUGAGCCAAGACUUGAAGAAAUACUCUCUUAAAUUUUCUUAUCACAUAAUAUGCUGUUUUUUUCUAGGUGACGGGUAUGCUCUUUCAAAUACAACAAAAUUCAACUUCGAGGAUUUUUAACUAUUUACAUGAAAUGUACCGUUUGGUACGUGGGACGGGACGGGAUGGAACGGGACGAGCCGUUCCGUCCCACGUUUGGUGCGCCUAAAAACUGUGGAACGGGUUGUCCCAUGGGACGAAAUUUGGCUGAUUUUUCGUUCCACCUCUUCCCCCUGGAACGACCCGUUCCACAUCCGUGUAACACAAAUUUAUAACAUUUUAUGACACAAUUUCUCCUUAUCUUUUUUAAUAUUUACAUCAUCUGUUCCGUCCUGUUCUGUCCCGUCCCGUCCUGUUCCAUCCCGUCCCGUCCCGUUCCAUCCCGUCUACGUACCAAACGGUACCUUAAGGAAACAUAUAAUAUUUACAACCAUCAAAAGAAAGUUUGUUCGAGGGAUUACUUCAUAUACUAUCUACUUAGUUAAGGAUGCCGCAAAGACAGGGUUUCAAUCUUCUGUUUGUGUGCAUUGGAUAGCUAGUUGAAUAAUCCACUCUCAUAUCAAUUACAUACAUUUACUCUAAUUUAAGCUAUAUUCUUUCUUCGGACAGACUUUGAUUCGCCGCCAAAACCUGUAAGUGACACAUCAACUGGUGGAAGUGGCGUGCCUGUAGGUGUCGUGGUUGGAAUUGUGGUUGGAGGAGUCUUCAUUAUACUACUGAUAUUUGGUAUUCUUUGGAAGAGAGACAACAAAAGACAUUGGAGGAUGGUAUUAAUUUGCAGUUUAUUAUGUUAUACUGGUUUUUCCUUUUUGUUCCUCCAUUACUUUCUCUCAUCGAGCUUUUUUCGUAACUAAGUACGAUAUUUAUGCUAUUUGCAUGGUUCUCAUGCAUAUUGACAUGCACCACAAAGACAGUAAUUAUUUAGAUAUGGAGCUUUCCGGCACUUUGAUGUUUCUGUAAUAUAUUUAUCGUCCAAACACCAUGAUGCAAAGUGUCUGCCUAUAGAUCUAGUUACUUGUUAAAUUCUAUAAUUAGGCACAAAAUAUUAAGAACUAAGAAUGUUAUCGUUCUGAAAGUUUUCUUAAGACACAAUUUCUUAUGAGUUUUAGUUGUUAUACAGAUUUGAAGGGUGUGGACCUGCAAACUGGUAAAUUUACCUUCAAGCAACUCAAAGAUGCCACUAUUGGCAUGUAACCCUUCAGCCGAAGACUUGGAGGCAAAGAAAGAAUUCAAACCUUAUUUUAAUGUUUGUUUCAUGUUUAAAUUUGAGCCAUUGAAUCAUAGUCCAUGUGGCUAGCCUUACUUGUAUCUAGCUUAAGUGAUAGAUUAUAACAAGUGGCAUCAUCUCAUAGGAUGAUAGCAAUUAAGGAAUGAGAUUAAGUGUGUUAUUGAUGAGUGUAUAAAGCCAAAAACCUUAUAUGUUUGUUGUGAGGGAAUAUUUUUCAAUCAAUCAGUGUAAUCAUCCUCCUAAAAAUUCUCUCUGCCAUUUUCGGCAUUACACAGACCUCUGCAAGAUUUCAUAGAAGCUUACCAAACAUUCCCAUACACUAACAGCCACAAGCAACUUUAACAAAGCUAUCAAGUCGUUGCAUCCGACUAUCCUUGCAUUCUCUGCUUUGAACAUUUUCACAUAAUCGCGAAACAACUCCUUUGGGUUCUUCUUGACGUUGAACAAAUGGUCGGACUUCUUUUUUAUCAAGCGAUAGGAUGAAUAUUCUUUGGUGAAAACCAAAAAAGUUCGUCAAAACUCCGGAUGGAUUGUGGUGGCAGGGUGUAGAACCAAUUUUGCGUCUCGCCUUGUAGAGUGAUGAUGAAUAUCUUGCACAUGAGAUCGUCGUUGUUUCGAUAGAGGAUCAUUGCGCUUCGGUAGUGCUUUAAGUGUCUCUCCGGGUCUUCAUCCCCUUUGAAAGAUGUGAAAUGUGGCAUGCUGAACUCGUGUGGAGGCUCUGCCUGCUCGAUCUCAUCCGUGAAGGGUGAUCUGCUUAUGUUGGUCAUGUUCCGUCGUAGUACCUCGUAGGUGACCUUGUUGCGUUGGAAAUUGCACAAUCACUUAGUCAAGAGUCUCUCUACUUCUUCCUGAAUUUGCCUUUGUUAGGGUAGUCGAACUCUCGGCUGCCCCUAGCUGUGACUUGCUGGUCUAAGCUGCUCUUCUAUGUGUUUGGCUCGUCUAUUCCGCGGAUGAGGUGUGUGUGGUGUGUUCCUAGCAAGCGAGCGAGUUCUUCUCAGGCUGUCGGUUGAACUUGAGCCGGAUUGAGUGACAAAGUCAAUGAAAGAAUGAUUCACAGUGUGCUUGCAUACUUCUUAUACACGAACAACUUUGUAUCGGCCUAGUUAUUAGUUACAAAGUCAAUGAAAGAAUGAUUCACAGUGUGCUUGUAACAAAUACACAUUUACCGUUUGUGUAAUUCCUCAUGUUUUAUUCUUUCUAAAGAACAUUGGACAUUUUCCUUCGGUUUUAGAGUAAGAAAACCAGUUCCUUCUUCCUAUUUAAUUCCCUGACCAAAAGUAAGUAUUUUCUGUGAUAAAUUAAUGUUUUACCUGUUUGGUCUCAUUUCUGUUGCAGCUUUUCCUUUUAGUCACAGUAUAGAUGCGUAAUGGAUAUCUGUUAAUUUCCAUAUAUGUUAUUAUUUAUUUUUACUUGUAAUGAAUAUCUAUUGUCACAACCCGUCCCGAAAUAUUUAUUUUCGACGGUGUGAAAUGACAGUUUUACCCUUGGACGUUGAGAUGUGUGGUGUGUGUCAUGCUUUUGGAUGUGGACCAAUAUGUUGAGUUCCUAAGUUUUUGGACUCAAUUAGAAGUUAGACUUUUGUUAGUUUGGUUAGGGACCAAGUGAGGACCACACACACACACAAAACACCCCGUGCAUUCUCUCUCGUCUCGGCCUUCCUAUCAUUUCCGUACAAAACGUACAGACGAACACCAAACUCACACUUCACGCACGGAUCGACGUUAACCAGGUAAUAUUCGAAUUCCUUGUAAGAUUUUGAGUUCACCCAUACCCUUUUUAGAUCGAGAAACCUUCGUUUUCUCGAGAAACCAGAACUGCCGAAUUCAUGCACUGUUCAUGCACUCAUAAAUGUGAGGUUUUUAGGAAUUUUUUAGGACAUAGUGAGCUUUGGAUCAUCCUCACGAAGCUUGGAGAAGAAAAACCAAGUGAAUUGGACGUCGGGAAGUGGAGAUCGACGAGUUCAAAGUUUGGCCGGAUUAUCGAAGGAUCUCCGGCGAAUUCUCGAGGGAUUUCAGGUCCCAAAAUUGGUAAGGUUUUAUUCCUUAUGUUGUAAGCUUCAUUUUGGUGAAGAUUUCGUGGAAUUUGGUGCAAAAAUGGGAGAGAUAUGAGGUUUUAUAUAUUUUCCAGUUUUCGGCAACGGCGACGGUCGCCGGAGGUCAAACGUAGGGGACGACGAGAUAUUCCAUCAAAAUUGAUGGAAUAUUCCUAACGGCCGUUAGGCCUCAGUUAGGGUUUGGCCGAGCGUGGGGGCGCGUAGGGCCGUGCCUCCGCCGGCGUGUGACGACGCGUGGGACGUCAGAAAAUUUUUCUAAAAAUAUGGGGAUGUUCAUGAGAUUGUGUAGUUCACGUUGGUAUAUUCAAACAUCCCAUUUGAGCAAUGUAUGAGAAGUUAUUAGCUAGUAUUGGUUAUGUGCUUUAAAUAACGUUUAUUUAGUUAUUUCACAUAUAGGUGAGACCUAUCUAGAGGACGAGCGCAGUCAAGGGCGACUCGGGGGCUACGACCCUUCGACAUACCAGUUAGUGGGCUUUUGGUUUUCAAUAUAUAUUUAUAUACUUGAUAUUUUCCCAGAAAAUGUGUUUAAAUGAAAGUAUGCUUUGAAAUGCCAUGCAUAUAGAUUUAUAUUCGGCAUAUGAAUUAGUAUAUGAUGCAUAAUAUGAAUUGGUACUGUGGAUGCUCAGGUAAGUACCAGGUGAGUUAUGUUUUGUUAUAUGAGAUAUUGAUAAUGUGAGACGUGAUUGAGAACUCAUAAACCUGCACCCCGGGUGAUUGUGAUUUAGCCAGAGAUAUGGCACAUGCCUGUAUAUAAUGUCACAUCCCGCACCAUAUGCUCACAUUGGAUCCAAUUUAGGUGCACAGUCUUGUCGUACAGACCAUUAGGUGAGUAGUGAUUUAUCGCACAGCUAUCAUGAGAGCGUAACAUUGAGCAUAAUUAUAUUACACUCAGUCUUGUCGUACAAACCAUUACAGUGGUUCCGACUCGUGUGCAGUGUAGUGCCGUAUAGGUCACUGACGAUGACUUCGGCUAGAUUGAUAAAUAAUAAAUUUAGUCGUACAGACCUCUGCAGGGGGUUCCGACUAAUAUGUUAUUUUCCAUGAAUUUAUUUUCACCUGAGUUACUUAUUCUGUUUUAUAUUUUGGCAUGGCAUACUUAUGAAUAGAUAUGUGAAGCAUGAUUUGAAUAUAUAUAUAUAUACACACACACACACAUAUAUAUAUUUAUAUUCUAUUUCUGGGAAAAUUAUACAUGUUUUACGGCGAUGGGUUAUAGUAUUUGAUAAAUGAAAUGGUUUUGAAGAACUUUGUUUUUGCCCACUCACGUUUUCUGUUUUGCGCCCCUCCAGGUUUUAGGUAAGCUUGCUCGUUGGUGGCUCACGAGGAUUAGUGGAGGUUCUGACAGACCAUAUCAAAUGUAGGACAUCUUUGGGUGUCGUUUAAUUAGUACUUGCUUUCUGGACUGAACUUAGGCUACUCUCACUCUGAUUGUGUAUUUACACAUAUACUAGCACUAGUCUUAACUAGUACUCUUACAAGUUGGUUUUCAAUUAUUCGUAUUCUCUAUUAUCAUUAUUGCUUCUGCACUGUGCACAUGACUACGUCACCCUCACGUGAUGGCCAGCAUACCCUGAUUCGGGUCGGGGUGUGUCAUCUACCCUUUUAAUUACAUUUUAUUUUCAAUAGUAUCUAAUGAGUAGAUUUUAUAUUAUAUAUUUUACCUUGAUCUUAGUUUAUUUUGGUUAUUAUUUUGGAAGAAUUUUGAUACUUUGAAUUGCAUUUGCAAUAUAGGAGUUUCAACUUCUUCUGGAGCAAAACGUGAUCAAAUGAAUGAAUUUUGGAGUGAUUCCAGCUGGAGGAUGUUCGUGAUUUUCUUAGCUUGAUCAUGUCAAAAUAUAAGAUUCUUCCACCAAUCGGUUAUUUUCUAGCGAUAGAAUAAAGGAGCACUGCGCGAUGCUGGAAAAAUGACGUUUUGGGCUUAAUUGCAAGUUUUGGAGUCUAAGAUAACUUAAUUUGGGUUCGGCCCCUUCUGGAGAUAUGUUCAGAACGUUCCGAUCUUUAAAACAAGCUGUCAUGGGCCGGAUUUGGAGGAGAUUUGAGGCUAAAACGUGGCUGGACAAUUCCCAGAUUCUCCUAGCUUAAUUAGGACUUUAUUUUCUAGUAUAUUUAUUAUUAUUUGGUUUCCUAGUUGGAUCCAAAGACUUUUAUUAGGGAUUAUUGCAGGUUUUAGGAGAGGAUAUAAGGUUUGACCGGCCUUAGUCCUUUACUUCUUCUUUCAUGCGACUUCGGAGAUAGGAAAUUGGCUAGGGUUCUUGAAGAUUUUUAGAGUUUAUUUAAGGUUUUUUCAAUCAUUUUCUUCAUAAUAAUAUUUUGUUUGAUUUUAAUUAUAAAUAUGCGUAACUAAUUUGUUUUGCUGGGGCGAAGUCUUGAAUCUUAGCAUGAAUAUGUAAUUUUUAUUUAAUUGAUAAUGAUUGAUCGUAUGUAUGCUUUGAAUUAUUGAUCACCAUUUUAAACUAUCUAAUUGUCUUGAUGACUAGCCACCAUUAUGAUGUUUAGACAAGUAAUUGGAUGCAAUUCGGUUAGAAUAUCACCAGAGGAUUGGGUAUUGCUUCUUGUGGUUAAUAAUUGUAAUUUCACCUAAGGCGAAUAUCACGCUCUUAGGGGUUGCAUGUUUUUCGGAGAGUUUCACAGAACUUAAUGAGUUUUGCAAGUUUAUAUUUGAUCUGAAUAUCACAGACGGAUUGCAUGUUAGAUAUACGUUCUUGCUUGAAAAUCACGAGGAGAAUAUGUAUCAGGAAAACCUAACCUUCAAAGUUGCAUAUGUAGAUCAUAAGUAAUUUGUCAAAAUACAUAGGAUUGUUAUGAUGAUGGCGGAACCCUAGUGUUUUUAUAAAUUGGUAUUUAAAAACUCUUUUCUAUUAUUUUUACAAUUUUGGUUUAUAGUUAAAAUUCAUUUAAUAUAAGUCAGGAUAUUUUAUAGGGAACUUUAACGAAAAGUUCCCAGUACUGUUCACUUUAACGAAAAACGUGCCUUGAUAAUCACAUGAUGUAUUUAAUGUAAUUAUAUAAUUGAUCAUUACAGUUGUGGAUAAUUACAAAAAAGUAUAAUAAAUAUACGCUGAGAUACACAUAGUCCUAAAUUAGUACUUAGUUCUGAAAACGCCAAUAAGAUAUAGAUCCAGAAAAUUGGACUUCUCGUCCUCGUCAUAUCACAUCAGCCUAUCAAGCCACCGUUACCAACACCUCCACAAUUUGCAGAGAAAUUCGCAAUGAAUGCUUAAACAAACAGAUCCAUCAAGGAUCUUACCAUGUAAGGUCGACCAACCGCAAAUAUGCAGAAAGAAGACAAAUCAAUUACAAAAUCCAGCGUUUCAGAAGGUAGAUCUGGAAAAUUUCUGACCAAACUUGCCUGAUCCAAAGCCCUAUAACCUAGGGAGAAAACAAAACCUCGCAAGAGGCAAUGAAGAACAAGCCUAGCACAAGAAGGCUAGGGAGCAAAAGCUCUCCACAUAAAUACGGGAGACAGGCCCUAUAGUCGUAGGACUCCUUGUCAAGAUUAGGCUUGGGUGAGUGGUUUUCAUAAGGGAUUGAAGCACAGUUGGUCAUGAACUUAUCAUAAACUGUUAUACGGAAGAUAUUAGAAAAUUGCUACAUGAGCAUCACAAAAGCAUGUGAGAGGCGAGAGUGAUUUUUAAACCCUUACUUGGUUUAAGUCAUUUUCAAAUCUUUUUCACAUGUCUUUACAAUGCUUAUAUGGUGUUUUUGUAAUCUCUCAUAUCUAGCAUUUUAUAAUUCAUUUUUUACUAAUUUGGUCUCAAGUUCACAGGGCUAGAAUUCUUCCCCCCAAACAUAGCUCAAAGGACUCACACCCUCCAAAUAAAGUAGACAACAAUACUACAAUUGACAUAAGUUUUUGUGUGGUAGUGAAUUAUUGUCACAUGCGCUCAUGCAGAUACUAAUAUGAAGAUAAAUUAUGGGAAGUGAAUUAUAUAUACUUCUUUUCGUUGCGCUCUCUUUUCAAUUUUUUUUUAUAUUUGAAUUGAAUUUAGAACAAUUCAGAAAACAAAGUAGCCCAAAAUGAUCUAUGUGAAAAUUAUUUCUAUAAACUCUACACACACACACACACACACACAAAACAAUUAAUGAUUGUUCCAUACCAACUUAUACAGUCAACCAACUGAUAAACUGGAAAAUAUGAUUAUAAUGAUAGCAUCCAAUUCCUAUCAAUGACUUUAGGGUAAAUUACAUAGUAGCUCUUCAGGUUUGAUGUCUACUACAACCUCAUACAAUAUCUUUGAAACAUUUCACUUUCAUAUCUCACGUACUAUUUUAUUUCAAAAUAAUACAUCCGUUACAUUUUCCAUCCAUUGAUCCGUUAAGUGCUGACGUGGCUGCCAAAUGUGUGCCACGUGGCAAAAAAAAUAAUUUUUUUUUAAAAAAAACCUUAAUCUUCUAAAUAAAAAAAAUCAAAAAGAGAAAAUUCAGAUCCCAUCAUCCCACCCCCUCCCCCAUACCUGAACCUUGAACAAAAAAAAAAAAAAAAAAAAAACCCAGAAAACCCAGUUCCCACUAACACACCUUCCCCCCAAAUCCCAUCAACACCCCCAUGUGAAACCUCGAUCCCAUAUCCCCCCCCCCCCCAAAAAAAAAAAUCAUCUUCCAUCAGUCAUCCGCACCCAUCCUCCACCUCCUCCCCUGCACCCAUCUCCACCUCAUCCGCACACCCAUAUUCCCAUCUUCUCCUGCCCCGCCCCCCCAACCCGAGCCCAACCUGCAACCCAGAAAGAAGAGGAAAAAAAAACCCAGCGCACCCACCCUCGCACUCAUCCUCUUCCCUCCUCUACACACCCUACUCCUUAAAUCCACACUCAUUGGGGAAGACGGGAUCUGGGUUGCAGGGAAAUGGCAAUAGGUUUUUUUUUUCGUUUCUUUUCUGGGUUGGAGGUAGUGGGUGCAGAGGAAGAGGUGGAGGAUGGGGUGCACGGUGGGUUUGGGGAAGACAAGAGGGGAAAGAAAGGGGUGGGUUGCAAGGAAAGGGGGUCGGGGAAGAUGAAGAUGGUUUUUUUUUUUCCACUCCUUUUCUUAAUCUUCUGGGUUGCAGGUUGGGUGGGUGGGGGUUGAAGGUUCAUCUUUUGUUUUUUGUUUUUUUUUUUUAUUUAGAAGAUUCAGGUAAAAAAAAAAAAAAAAAAAUUUGCCACGUGGCACAAAUGUGGUAGACACGUCAGCACUUAAUGGAUCAAUGGAUAGAAAAUGUAAUGGAUGUAUUAUUUUGAAAUAAAAUAGUAUGUGAGGUAUAAAAGUGAAAUGUUUUAAAGAUGUUGUAUGAGGUUGUAAUAGACCUCAAACCUAAGGGGUUACUAUGUAAUUUACCCAUAACUUUAUACUUGGAGAACUAAAUAUUAAUUUUAUAUACAAAUAAUUUUAGUAUUGUUUUUUUGUAGGACCAUAUAUAUUUUUAAUUAUAAAUGAAUUUUUUGCGAUAAUGAUUUAUGAAUGAUGAAUUGAAAUAUAGGUGGUUCAGAUCUUUGAAAAAAAAUUAUGAAACGAAAACUACAAAAAAUUGUGUCAAAAUAUGUACACACAAAUUUAAGGAUGUGUAGCACUAGGUAUACGUGGCAUUAGGUAUAUUUUUUAUUUUCAUAUUAAUAAAUUUCCUUCAUACCUCGAAAUUUUCUAUAAAAAAAAAAACAAAAAGAAAAAAAACGGCAGAAGGCCACUUGUGAUGAGUACUUUAGUCAUGGAAUGCUGAUCGAAGUGCUAUUAAAUUGUCACUUAGAAUCAUAACUCUUGGCUUAUAGUAUGAAAAAAAAAAUACAGAACAUUUGUAUAUUGCUUGCAAGCAAUUAGGUUCUGUUAGUCAACUCCAGCAACUUGAUUAGAAAGCAUGUAUAUAAAGCUGCGCAAUUACCAUGUCCACAUAUCCUGAUCAGGAAAUUUCCCCUGCUUGGCUUAGUUGAAAAUAGCAGAUAAGUCAAGAGCGUAUUUUAAAUUACUGUUGGUUAAUUAUUUUAAAUUUCACUAGCAUAUGGGUAUACACAAAGUGUGUGAGAAAAUUUUUUAUUUUUGUUUUUGAAAUAGAAGAGGGAGUGAUAGAGAACGUGGGAGUGAGAAUUUUUUUUAUUAUUUUUUUAUUUUUUAUAAUUAGAUAUAUGUUAGGAUUACAUGUAGGUGAGACUUUGAAAAAAAAAACAGCAAAAUUUGGUUGUAUGAAAUUACAUUUCUGCCCCAUAUUUCUUAUUCAUGUUCUAUUUUAAUUAGAGGGUUAAACUGGUAAUUUUAUAGGAUUUUGAUUGAAAAUGAAUGUUUUAUUAAUUAAUAGAGAUAAUCAAUAUUAAUUACCAGUGGGUGUACUUUAAAUUAUGCUUGAUUAAUUAUUGUAAAUUUCAUAAUCAUAGAAAACUAAUAGCUUAUUAUAUAUUGUUGUCAAAAUCGUGAGUUCGGCUGUUGGAAAGGAUUUUUAAUGGGUAAAUUACAUUUUACCUCCUCAGAUUUGGAUGCAAUUGCAACCUCAUACAACAUUUUAAAAACAUUUUAAUUUCAUACAUUUAGUUAUCAUUUCAUUUCAAUGUCAUACAACCGUUAAAAAUUCUGUUAAGUUAGCUGUUAAGUGAUGAUGUGGUAACAGUGGGUCUCCCAUGUUUGCUUAUGUGGUUAACAACUUCUGCCACAUGGACAAACAAUUAAUAUUUUAUUUAAAAAAUUACAAAAAAAACCCUUAAAAAAUGGCUAAAAAAAAGGGAUAACUUGAUAUAGAUCCAAUUUUGUGAGCCAUUAGUAGGAUUAGUCCACUUCAUUGAAAUAGGUUCAAUAAUUGAGAUUCUACGUAUGCUUAUUUGUGGUUUGUACCAUAUUUACCCCUUAGGCUUACAAAUUGUAGUAAAUACACAAAAUUUCUUAAUUAUGGGAUUAUUUGUGGUUUAACUAAUCCCUUAAUUGUAGGAUUAGUUAUAGCCAUGUAAUCACCUCAACCCCCAGUCCGUUUCAUCCCUCCUUUUUUACUUCUUCCAAACAAUUCCCUCUAUCAAUCUUCCUCUUUGUUGUCUCUUCUUUUCAUGGGUGAUAUUUUUGUGUUCUUCCCUCCAAAUUCGUUCCUUUAAUGGAGGUAUAUUACAUCAUAUUUAUAUUUCUAUGUUCCUCCAUGUAGGUUCCCAACAUUUUUCUUCCAAUACAAUAGGUAGUUUAUUUUUGUUUUGCAGGUAGAUUAUAUCUGCUUUAUAGGUAUAAAGCAUUUUUCUUCCUAUACAAUAGGUAGGUAGUUACUAGAUUAUAUCGGUUUUGUUUUCUUCAUAAAUAGUAGGUAGUUACUAUAUAAUAUUUUAGUUUGAGUAUUUAAAUAUUCAAAAUUUAAAAACUGAAUAAAUGAUAUAAAAAAAAUUAAAGAAUUUAAAUAUUUUUAUCUGAAGGGGCAAAAUAUAUAUCAAAAUAUGUAAUUGGAUAACUAGACUCAGUCCCAAAAACUACCUAUGUUUUUGGACCUAGAUCCAAAAGCCCAAAAAAAAAAAAAAACAACCUUCCACAGCCCCUCUCCACCCCACGCUGAAAAUGCAAAGCCCCAACCCUAGAUCUUCCAUCCCCUCCAAUACGUCGUCAACAUCUUCGUCCACCACUGCAAGCCCGCCGGCAACACCAACAUUGCCUCCAACCCCACCCACGUCGACUGACGCUGCAAAUCGGACGACAACAUCAUAUUCUUCCUCGCGCGACAAUAUGUUGGGGGUCGCGGUGGUUGAGGCAGAGAGCACAAAGUGGUGAACUCCCAAACUCCGGCUGACGAAUUUGGUGGCGGUAGUUCAGGCAGAGAGCGCAAGUGGACUGACAAUUUGAGACAUGGAUCAAAUUUAGGGGUUGGGUUGGAUUCGACAAAAUUUGGGGGUUGGAUUUGUCCAAAUCCUAAAUUUUCCCAAACCCAGGUCCAAGUUGCAGGGGUCGAAGCCGACGUCAAUGGCAACGACGGAUGAGGAAAUGGGGUUUGCAGGGGGAGAGGGAGAAUGUGAUUGGGGAUGGGGAUGGGGAUGGGGAAGGGGAAGACAUGGGUUUUAGGGUUUUUUUUUUAUUAAAUAAUUAUUUUAGUAUUUAAUAUUCUGAUUAAAUUAUUAUUUUUUAAAUGCAUAGAAAUUUUUUUGCCACGUGGCAUAAAUUUGGUAACCACGUCAGCACAAAUAUAGAUCCUAUAUUUGCCAUGUUAUCACUUAACAUAUUUUCUAACGAAUGUAUGAAAUUGAAAAAAAAUGAUAAGUAAAUGUAUGAAAUUGAAAUGUUUUAAAGAUGUUGUAUGAGGUUGCAAUCGACCCCAAACCUGACGAGGUAAAAUGUAAUUACCCUUUUUUUAAUUAAGUUGACAUGAGCUGCAAAUAAUAUGCGUUGACACUAUUUUGCCAAAAAUCGGUGUAUUGAGAAAAUAAUACCAAUUACUUCAAAAAAAUAAAAAAACAGUUACGACUAAUUAUUUUUUAUCGUCAGUUGCUAGUUACAAAUAUAACUAGAUCUUGUGCCCUUGUAAUAUUUUUAAGAAAAUUUUCAUUUAUUAUUUGACAAAAAAAAAUAAUUGUGAUAAUUAUAAUCCAUCCAUCUCAACUAUUUGCGGUUUUACUUUAAAAAUAUUAUUUCACAUACGUCUCGGUCAUCCAUUUAUGAUUACAUGACUAAAAUUUCACAUAUGUCUCAAUCAACUAUUUAUGUCACAGCCCGUCCCAGAAGAUUAUUCUCGAUGACUUGAAAUGACAAUUUUACCCUUGGACGUUAAAGUAUGUUGUGUGGUUUAAGUUGGAUUUUGGACCCAUUCAUUAAUUUCCUAAGUCUUUGGACCUAAUUGGAAGUAAGGAAAUUGUUUGUUUUGAUGGGUGACCCAAAAAUCUGGACCACACAUCCUUUCUCUCUCUCACUCUCCCGUGCUCUCUUCUCUCUCUCGGACUCACUCUCUCUUCCCUUUCCUCCGUACGGACAACCUUGAACCAAGCCAAAUCUUCAUAGAUCAAGGAAGAAAAUGGUACCAUUGUGUUCGUGAGGACCAUACGAGUUCAAAGGUACCCAUUUCAGGUAAGAACUCGUUCGAUAUCACGUUAAAAACUCAAACUCCGAGUUGAUCACUAUUCAUGAACUUUUGCAUGGUUAUGUUUUAGGACAAUCCAAGCUCAUAGCGAGCUCUAGGAGGUUCUCACGAAGCUCGGAGUGCUUCGUUGGCUCGGUUUUGACGUCGGGAUCACAAGGUUCGAAGGUGGCCGGUUUUGGUAGAAUUUUCCCGACGAGUUUUCGAGGGAUUUGAAGCUCCCAAGAGGUAUAACCUUCUUCCUUUCGUGAUUUAUGGCAUUCUGGUGAAAAUUGUGUGAAAAAUGGUGCAAAAAUGAGCGAGAAAAAGGCAGUUGCAGGUCUGCCCAGAAUCCGGCGCCGGUGACACUGUUCCAGCGUCUGGAAGUUGAAGAUGAUGCGCGUGGGGCCGUGCCCUCCCCGGCGCGUGAGGGCUCAUGAGCCACAGAAAAUUUAUUUUAAAAAUAUCACGAUGUUCGUGAGGUUGUGUAGGUCGCGUUGGUAUAUUCAAAUACCAAAAUUGAGCUUUGUAUGAGAAAUUAUUAGCUAGUUUUGUGUAUGUGCUUUAAAAUAACGUUUUUAUAGUUAAUUCGCAUAUAGGUGAGACUUAUCCCGAGGACGAGCGUAUCCACGGGCGACUCGAGGGUUACGACCCGUUGACAUACCAGUGAGUGGGCUUUUGGUUUUCAGUAUAUAUUUAUAUACUUGAUAUUUUCCCAGAAAAAUAUGUUUAAAUGAUAAUAUGCCAUAAAUGCCAUGCAUAUACAAUUAUGUUUCGUGUAUGAAUUGGUGUGUGAUACCUUAUAUAUAUAAAUGUGGUGCUAUGGAGGCACAGGUAAGUUCAGGUAAGUUAUGUUUGGUUAUGUGAAUCAUCGAUGAUGUGAUAUGUGAUUGAAUAAUGUUGAGCUCAUUAAACUACACCUAGGGUGAUUGUGAUUUAGCCAGUGAUAUGAAGUACAUGCCUGUUUAUUUACGUCACCUCCCGCAUUAUAUGCUCAUAUUGGAUCCAACUUAAGUGCAUAGUCUUGUCGUACAGACCUUAUUUAUGGUUCCGACUGUAGGUGACUAGCGAAUUAUUGCCCGGCUAUUAUAAGAGAGUAAAAUUGAGCAUAAUCAUAUUACACCCAAUCUUGUUGUACAGACCCCUUUUUAGUGGUUCCGACUUAUGUGCAGUAUAUUGCCGUAUAGGUCAUUGUAGUGACUCCGGCUAGAUUGACUUUUGAGUUAUGAAUUCAGCCGUACAGACUACCACAGGGGUUCCGACUAACAUAUCAUAUUUCUAUGAAAUCAUUCUUACCUGGAUUGUUUACUUUGUUAUAUUUUGGAAUGGCAUACAUAUGCUUAUGAUUAUGUGAAGUAUGAUUUGAAUUGAUAUAUUUUUCAUAUUCAUUUAUGUAUAUGCUUAUAUUCUGAUUCUGGGAAAAAUUAUACAUGUUUUACAGCGAGGGGUUAGACAUGUUGAUAAAUGAAAUGGUUUUGUAAAACAUUUGUUUUUGCCCACUCAUGUUUUCUGUUUUGCGCCCCUCCAGGUUUUAAGUAAGCUUGCUGUUGGUGGCUUGAGGACGUCGGCAGUUCUGACCUAUCUAAAUAAUAGUAGGACAUUCCUGGUACUGUAUAACUAGUACUUGUCCUACUGGACUGCACCUAGACUUUAUGCUCUGAUUAGGAGUGUUUACUUCUGUAACUAACUCCUAUCACUCCCUGUUUAGUAGUGCAUUCUAGUAAUGUGAUUCUUAAUUAUUAGUAUAUUUUCUUAUCAUUAUUGCUUCCGCACUGUGCACAUGGCUACGUCACUCUCACGUAAUGGCCAGCAUGCCUUGAUCUCGGUCGGGGUGUGUCAGUUUGGUAUCAGAGCAUAGGUUUAGCAGUCAUGUAUAAUUCUUGAAUGUUCUAAUCCUUGUGAUGUCUUAUGUCAGAAUUAUGUCGCCUCGUAGAGAGCCCCGUCAAUCAGCUGAACCUAGUUUCCCCAAUAUUGCUCAAUUAGGGGAAGCUAUAGUUUCUGCCAUUCAGACUGCAUUCCGUACUCCCAGAGGAUACCUCUCAAGACAGUUUAUAAUCUGAAGUUGACUCACUUCAUUGGAAAUGAAGGACAUGAGGGGGCGGAAAAAUGGUUGAAUCAUAUGGAGAAUACCUUUCAGGUGAUGCAGAGUCAAGGGAAUCUUCCUCCUGAUAGGUGGGUCGAGACGACUACCUGGUUUUUGGGGGAACAACCUGCAACCUAGUGGAGACAGGAGUCUUACCAGUUGACCCCAGCAGAGAUUGUGGACUAGGGAGUGUUUAAGGAGCUGUUUCGGAAAAGGUUCAUUCCUUAUGCGUAUAUCGAUCGUAAGAAACAUGAGUUUACUCAUCAGAAGCAAGGAAAGACGUCCGCUGAUGAGUAUUAUAGGAUGUUUGCUGAUCUGUCGAGAUAUGAUCCGGAGGUUGCUGCUAAUUCGGUAGAGAUGCUUCGCCGUUUCAGUUUGGGUACUAAGAAGAAAUGGCAUUCCAUAGCGACAUCGACUCACUGUGCUACAUACCAGGAGUUUUAUGAGAUUUUACUGAGAAUUGAGGACUCGGAAAGCAUGCCUAGUGAAAGUGAGGAUGAGGAAGGAAAGAAUGGGGGCCAGAAACGAGAUGAUAAGGGGAAAAGGCAAGCAUUUCAGGGACCCCGCAAGACCCAGAACUUUAAGAGGAGUGGUGGCAGUUCCAGCUCUUCUAGCGGAGGAUUGCGUACUAAUAUGCAAAGAAUAGAUGGUAGAUUUACUGGAGGCCCUAGGUUCUAGAGACAGAGAGAUUUUGGUGGUUCAGGUGGAUCUGGUGCUCUUUUAUGCCGCAAGUGUAAUAGUCAACGUUUUGGGGAGUGUAGGAGAGGCAGCAGUGGAUGUUUUACUUGUGGAUAGAUGGGUCAUAGGGCUGCCCAAUGCCCUCAGAGUCAGCAGAGACCCUAGUAGCCUUCUUUCCCACCACCUGCACCGUCCCAGCAAGCUUCAAGAUCUGGUGGUUAUGCUCAAACUAGACGAGGAGGUGCCUACCACUAUUAAGGUGACGCCGCUCCUUACACCUCAGGACAACAUCAGUAUUCUCAGGACCCUCAGUAUCAGAGUGGGUACCCUCAGUAUCAGGGAGGAUUUAUGUCUUAUUAGCCUCAUUCAAUCGGAGGAUAUCAGUGGUAGCAAGGGGGACAGCCCCAGCAGGGAGAGAUUGCUGCUAGUAGUGCAGGAUCUUCGAGGCAGUCGGGUCAGCAGAGGCAAUGAUGUGGUAUUCAUGCCAACAGAGGUAGUGGUGGACGACAGCAGAAUCAGGGGCGUAUCCACAACAUGUCACUGCAAGAUGCCCAGAAUAAUCUAGAUUUAAUCAUGGGUACGUUAAAUAUUCUUGGUCAUUUUGCUAGAGUAUUGAUUGAUUGUGGUGCUACACAUUCUGUUAUUUCUCAUACAUUUGCUCAAGUGACGCAACCUCAUCCUACACCUUUAGGAUAUAAUUUAGAAUUUUCUAUGCCUAGAGGGGAUAGAUGUUUUGUGGAUUGGGUAUAUCCGGGAUGUCCAGUGAUAGUAGAGGAUGUUGUUAUGCCGGCUAAUCUUAUGUCGUUGGAUAUUAUGGAUUUUGAUGUGAUUUUGGGCAUUGAUUGGUUGCACUAUAAUCGUGCCAAGAUAGAUUGUUAUGGGAAGACAGUCACAUUUCAUCGUAUCGGAUUACCUGAAGUUACAUUUGUAAGAGAGCCUAGUAGGGUGAGACAUGGUAUUAUUUCAACUAUGAAAGCAAAGAGAAUGUUGUCGAAAGGUUGUCAGGGAUAUUUGGCUCAUGUGGUGUUGAAUGAUGAUGCUCCUAGUAGUGUGGAAGAUGUUCGUGUGGUCAGAUAUUUUUCGUAUGUAUUCCCUAAGGAUUUGCCUGGAUUGCCGCCAGAUAGAGAGGUGGAGUUUGUUAUUGAUCUACUUCCAGGUACGAAUCCUAUAUCCUUAACUCUUUAUAAAAUGGCUCAUGCUGAAUUGAGGGAAUUGAAAGUACAGUUGCAAGAGUUAGUGGAUAAAGUUUUUAUUCACCCGAGUACUUCACAUUGGGGAGCUCCAGUUUUAUUCGUGAGGAAGAAAGAUGGAACUUUGAGGCUGUGCAUUGAUUACAGGCAAUUGAAUCGGGUAACCAUUAAAAACCGUUAUCCAUUGCCUCGUAUAGAUGAUUUAUUUGAUCAACUCAGAGGUGCCUGUGUAUUUUCUAAGAUUGACUUGAGGUCGGGAUACUAUCAGUUGAAGAUUAAAAAUGAAGAUGUCCCUAAAACCGCAUUCAGGACUCGAUAUGGUCAUUAUGAGUUUCUUGUGAUGUCAUUCGGGUUAACUAAUGCACCAGCAGCUUUUAUGGAUUUGAUGAAUCGAGUAUUCCAGCCAUAUUUGAACAGGUUUAUUAUUGUCUUCAUUGACGAUAUUCUGGUAUAUUCUAAGUCUAAGGCUGAGCAUGCUAGACAUCUAAAGUUGGUGUUGAGCAGUUUGAGGGAACACCAACUAUAUGCUAAGUUUAGCAAAUGUGAAUUUUGGUUGAAUCAAGUAUCAUUUUUGGGACAUGUCGUUUCUUCUCAAGACAUUCAAGUGGAUUCUCAGAAAGUGGCAGCUGUGGAGAAUUGGGAACAACCUCGAACCGUCACCGAGAUACGGAGUAUUCUUGGCCUAGCAGGCUAUUAUAAACGGUUCGUUAAGGAUUUUUCAGUGAUUGCUUUGCCAUUGACGGGGUUAACUCGAAAGGAUGUUAAGUUUGAGUGGGAUAAUAAGUGUGAGCAAAGUUUUCAGCAGUUGAAAUAUUAUCUCACUCAUGCACCUGUUCUAACACUUCCAGAUGAUAACGGUAAUUAUGAGGUCUAUAGUUAUGCUUCUCUUAAUGGUUUGGGUUGUGUAUUGAUGCAACAUGAUAGGGUAAUUGCUUAUGUUUCGAGACAGUUGAAACCUCAUGAGAAGAAUUACCCUACACAUGAUUUGGAGUUAGCAGCUAUCAUCUUUGCCUUGAAGAUUUGGAGACAUUAUCUUUAUGGUGAGAAAUGCAAGAUCUUCACAAAUCAUAAGAGUCUUCAGUAUUUGUUUACUCAGAGAGAUCUUAAUCUUCGACAGCGGAGGUGGAUUGAGUUACUUAGUGACUAUGAUUGCACGAUUGAGUAUCAUCCUGGUCAUGUAAAUGCUGUGGUGAAUGCACUUAGUUGGAAAACUCCAGUCAGACUUAAUGCCAUUUAUGAUUGCCACGUUCCUCUUCUAGCAGAUUUGAGAUCCACUGGAGUGGAGUUAGGAGUGGAAGAUCGAGAAGAAGCCUUGCUUACUAAUUUUCAGGUUAGGCCAAUUUUAAUUGACCGUGUGCUUGAAGCUCAGAUGUAUGAUGAGGAGACCCAGGAAAUAAUUCAAGCAAGAAAUCAAAGAAAAAAUAAAGAUUUCGGGAUUCGAGAAUAUGAUGGUAUGCUUAUGCAGGAAAGCAGAAUGUAUGUGCCAAAUAAUGCAGAGUUAAAGAAAGAAAUUUUGGAUGAAGCACACAUUUCAGCAUAUGCGAUGCAUCCAGAAGGCACUAAGAUGUAUCAUGCCAUUAGACCAUUUUAUUAUUGGCCAGGUAUGAAAAGAGAAAUUGCCGAAUAUGUGAGUAGGUAUGCCAUUUGCCAAUAGGUUAAAGUUGAAAGGAAGAAGCCGUUUAGGUUGAUGCAACCACUUCCCGUUCCACAGUGGAAAUGAGAAAAUAUUACUAUGAAUUUUGUGUACAAGCUUCCUCGUACACAGAAUGGAUAUGACGGCAUUUGGGUGGUAGUUGAUCGGCUUACGAAGUCAGCACAUUUUAUUCCAGUGAGGGAGAAGUAUUCGUUAAGCCGAUUAGCUAAGUUAUUUACAUCGCAGAUUGUGAAGUAUCAUGGUGUGCCAGUUAAUAUUAUCUCAAAUCGGGAUCUCAGAUUUACUUCCAAGUUCUGGAUAGCAUUCCAGGAAGCUCUUGGUACGAGAUUGCUUUAUAGUACAGCAUAUCACUUUUAGACAGAUGGACAAUCUGAUAGAACUAUUCAGACAUUAGAGGAUAUGUUGAGAUCUUCAAUGCUGCAGUUUUGAGAUAGUUGGCAUGAUUGUUUGGAUUUGAUGGAGUUCGCCUACAACAACAGUUAUCAUUCGAGUAUUAGUAUGGCACCAUUUGAGGCACUUUAUGGGAAAUCUUGUCGUACGCCUCUAUGUUGGUCAGAGGUUGGCGAAAUAGUUUUAGUGGGCCAGAGAUUGUGGAUGUGACUACUCAAAAUGUUCAGGUAAUUAAGUCUAACCUGAAAGCGGCCCAAGAUCGACAAAAGAGAGUAGCAGACAAGCACGCCACUGAUCGGAAGUAUAAUGAAGGUCAUUGGGUACUUCUAAAGCUAUCAUCUUGGAAGGGUGUUGUACGAUUUGGAAAGAAAGGAAACUUGAGUCCUAGGUACAUUGGACCAUAUAUGAUCACCGAACGAGUUGGUGAGGUUGCUUACAGGCUUGAGUUGCCUCCAGAGUUAUCCAAAGUGCACGAUGUGUUUCAUGUUUCGAUGCUCCGACAUUAUGUUUCAGAUCCUUCACAUGUGAUUCCUCCUCAACCUUUGGAAAUUAAUCCGGAUUUGACUUAUGAUAAGGAACCAAUGACUCUAUUGGAUUGGAAGGAUAAGGAACUAAGGAAUAAGACUGUGCGCUUGGUGAAAGUAUUAUGGAGAAAUCAUUCAGUGGAAGAAGCUACUUGGGAGACCGAGGAUCAAAUGAGAGAGAUGUAUCCAUGCUUGUUCUAUGAUUAUUAGUGGAUGUAUUGGUUGUAUGUAAUUUCGAGGACGAAAUUUUAUAAGGUGGGGAGAUUGUCACAGCCUGUCCCGGAAGAUUAUUCUCGAUGACGUGAAGUGACAAUUUUACCCUUGGACGUUAAAGUAUGUUGUGUGAUUUAAAUUGGAUUUUGGACCCAUUCAUUAAUUUCCUAAGUCUUUGGACCCAAUUGGAAGUAAGGAAAUUGUUUGUUUUGAUUGGUGACCCAAAAAUCUGGACCACACAUCUUUUCUCUCUCUCACUCUCCCGUACUUUCUCUUUUCUCUCUCGGACUCACACUCUUUUCCCUCUCCUCCGUACAGACAACCUUGAACCAAGCCAAAUCUUCACAGAUCGAGGAAGAAAAUGGUACCAUUGUGUUCGUGAGGACCAUACGAGUUCAAAGGUACCCAUUUCAGGUAAGUACUCGUUCGAUAUCACGUUAAAAACUCAAGCUUCGAGUUGAGCACUAUUCAUGAACUUUUGAAUGGUUAUGUUUUAGGACAAUCCAAGCUCACAGCGAGCUCUAGGAGGUUCUCACGAAGCUCAGAGUGCUUCGUUGGCUCGGUUUUGACGUCGGGAUCACGAGGUUCGAAGGUGGCCAGUUUUGGUAGAAUUUUCCCGACUAGUUUUCGAGGGAUUUGAAGCUCCCAAGAGGUAUAACCUUCUUCCUCUCGUGAUUUAUGGCAUUCUGGUGAAAAUUGUGUGAAAAAUGGUGCAAAAACGAGCGAGAAAAAGGCAGUUGCAGGGUAUGCCCAAAAUCCGGCGUCGGCGACACUGUUCUGGCGUUUGGAGGUUGAAGAUGAUGCGCGUGGGGCCGUGCCCUCCCCGGCGCGUGAGGGCUCGUGAGCCACAGAAAAUUUAUUUUAAAAAUAUCACGAUGUUCGUGAGGUUGUGUAGGUCGCGUUGGUAUAUUCAAAUACCAAAAUUGAGCUUUGUAUGAGAAGUUAUUAGCUAGUUUUGUGUAUGUGCUUUAAAAUAACGUUUUUAUCGUUAAUUCACAUAUAGGUGAGACUUAUCCUGAGGACGAGCGUAUCCACGGUCGACUCAGGGGUUACGACCCGUCGACAUACCAGUGAGUGGGCUUUUAGUUUUCAGUAUAUAAUUAUAUACUUGAUAUUUUCCCAGAAAAAUAUGUUUAAAUGAUAAUAUGCCAUAAAUGCCAUGCAUAUACAAUUAUGUUUCGUGUAUGAAUUGGUGUGUGAUACCUUAUAUAUAUAAAUGUGGUGUUGUGGAGGCACAGGUAAGUUCAGAUAAGUUAUGUUUGGUUAUGUGAAUCAUCGAUGAUGUGAUAUGUGAUUGAAUAAUGUUGAGCUCAUUAAACUGCACCUAGGGUGAUUGUGAUUUAGCCAGUGAUAUGAAGUACUUACCUAUUUAUUUACGUCACCUCCCGCACUAUAUGCUCAUAUUGGAUCCAACUUAAGUGCACAGUCUUGUCGUACAAACCUUAUUUAUGGUUCCGACUCGUAGGUGACUAGCGAUUUAUCUCCCGGCUAUUAUGAGAGUAAAAUUGAGCAUAAUUAUAUUACAUCCAAUCUUGUCGUACAAACCCCUUUUUAGUGGUUCCGACUUAUGUGCAAUAUAUUGUCGUAUAGGUCAUUGUACUGACUCUGACUAGAUUGACUUUUGAGCUAUGAAGUCAGCCGUACAGACUACCACAUGGGUUCCGGCUAACAUAUCAUAUUUCUAUGAAAUCAUUCUUACCUGGAUUGUUUACUUUGUUAUAUUUUGGAAUGGCAUACAUAUGCUUAUGAUUAUGUGAAGUAUGAUUUGAAUUGAUAUAUUUUCAUAUUCAUUUAUGUAUAUGCUUAUAUUCUGAUUCUGGAAAAAAUUAUACAUGUUUUACAACGAGGGGUUAUAUAUGUUAAUAAAUGAAAUGGUUUUGUAAAACAUUUGUUUUUGCCCACUCACGUUUUCUGUUUUGCGCCCCUCCAGGUUUUAAGUAAGCUUGAUGUUGGUGGCUUGAUGACGUCGGCAAUUCUGACCUAUCUAAAUAAUAGUAGGACAUUCCUGGUACUGUAUAACUAGUAUUUGUCCUACUGGACUACACCUAAACUUUAUGCUCUGAUUAGGAGUGUUUACUGUUGUAACUAACUCCUAUCACUCCCUGUUUAAUAGUGCACUCUAGUAAUGUGAUUCUUAAUUAUUCGUAUAUUUUCUUAUCAUUAUUGUUUCCGCACUGUGCACAUGGCUACGUCACUCUCACGUGACGGCCAGCAUGCUUUUAUCUCGGUCGGGGUGUGUCAAUUUAUUUUUAAAUUGACUAAAAUGCAAAAUUCUCAUAUAUUAAAAAAAAUUGCGGUAAUUAUAAAGGAAUUUUAAUGAAAAACCCGCAGUACUAUUUAUUUUAACGAAAAAUUACAUUUUUACAUUAAAAAGUCAAUCCUUAUACUAUUCACUUUACUUUUUAUUUUGUCCUUAUCGUUAAAACUCAAAAAUUUUAAACUAUUUUUAUUAGUUUUCCUUAAUUAUAAAGGAUCCAUCCAUCUGAACUAUUUGCAGUUUUACUUAAAAAAAUUUAGUUCACAUACGUCUCCGUCAUCCAUUUAUGAUUACAUGACUAAAAUUUCACAUUCGUCUCAAUCAACCAUGUAUGUUAAAAUUGACUAAAUGCAAAAUUCUCAUAUAUUAAAAAAAAUUAAUUGCAAUAAUUAUAAAAAAGUUUUAAUGAAAAGUUUGCGGUACUGUUUACUUUAAAGAAAAAUCACAUUUUUACACUAAAAAAUCAAUAUUGAUUCUAUUCGUUUUAACCUUUAUUUUGUCUUUAUGAUUAAAACUCAAAGUUUUCAAACCAUUAUCAUUAGUUUUCUUUAAUUACAAGGUAUCUAUCCAUCUAAACUAUUUGCAGUUUUACUUAAAAAAAAUAUUUCACAUACGUCUUAGUCAUCCAUUUAUGAUUACAUGACUAAAAUUCACAUACGUCUCAUCAACCAUUUAGGUUAAAAUUGACUAAAAUGCAAAAUUCUCAUAUAUUAAAGUCUUUAAAUUGGAUCCUUAUGAAAGAAUUUCACUUGGGUGUGUAUGCAUAUCUUUAGCUGAAUCUGACCGGCCUUCGGUAUCGGUAAAAAAAAAGGUUUUCAAAAUCAUUUUUAUGAUAUUUUUCUACUAGAAUUUGUCUUUGAUUAGUAUUUUGCAUGGACUAUGUUCGAGAGAGAGCGACCAAACUUGAUAUCGGCAGGCGUUCACUGUUUAGUAAUACAUAGUCCAUACAAAUUUUGGUGCUGAUUAUCUAAAUUACAUAUUAAUAAAAUUUUCAUUGUCAACCAAAAGUUUAUGAAAUUACCAUUCUAACCCUUUAAUUAAAACUAAACAUAUAUAAGGAAUGUAGGCAGUAAUAUAAUUUUACACAACCAAAUUUUUUUUUUUUUCAAAGCCGCACUUAUAUGUGAUUCUAAUAUAUCUCUAAUUUAAAAAUUAAAAAGUAAAGCUCUCUCCUCUCUCUCCCUAUCCCACGCUCUCUCUCCCUCUUUUCCUCUCUCCUUCCAUUUUAAAUACAAAAAAUACAAAAUUUUCACACACAUUUUGUAUGUGGUCAUAUGCUAGUAUUCCACAUUAUGAUCCAAUACUUUUUGGUAAUUUAGGUCAACUACAUAUUAAUAAAAUCCUCAUUGUCAACCAAAAGUUUAUGAAAUUACUAUUCUAACCCUUUAAUUAAAACUGAACAUAUAUAAGAACUGUGGGCAGUAAUAUAAUUUCACACAAUCAAAAUUUUGUUUUUUUUUUCAUAGCCUCACCUAUAUGUGAUUCUAACAUAACUCUAAUUAAAAAAUAUAAAAAGUAAAGCUCUCUCCUCUCUCUCCCCAUCCCACGCUUUCUCUCUCUUUUCCUCUCUCCUUCCAUUUUAAAUACAAAAAAUACAAAAUUUUCACACACAUUUUGUGUGUGGGCAUAUACUAGUAUUCCGCAGUAUGAUCCAAUACUUUUUGGUAAUUUAGGUUAUGAUAAUCAAUUCAAUAACUCCCAACUUAUACCUAUAUAGCCAAAAGUAAUAUAAGGGGCAGAUUUAUGUCACCAUAUUUUUACACAACUUUUGAUACUUGUUUUUGUGAGGCUCAUUCCGUAAUGUAUUUCAAGGAUCCAAACGUCUAUAUUUUAGGUUUCCCUCAAAUAUUAUGUUUACCAAAAAUCACUUAAAUAUGAAAUCAUAUGACCGUUGAAUGUCUUAACGGUUUUAUAUUUGGUUCAUUUUUUGCAAGAAUGAUAUAUGAAAAAAUUUCUCAAAAAUAGAUGGUUCAUUUUUUGGUUUUAAGGGCAAGUAAGGUAACACAAGUCAUUGACUUCCGUUCGUGUCCUUCGAGGUCCACUCAUUCCCUCCCCUCAAGCGAAUAAAAAGCUGUAUUUCAGACUCAUUCUCCUUACAAGUCUGUCGUCUUUCUUCGCCACUCUCACAAAUUUUCAUACAUACAAUCCAACAAAUUCCAAAACCUCUCAACAUAUUCCAUCCAGCUAGCUGCACAAACUGAUUCUUUUGUCUCUGGUUUUCUCUUCAAAUGUGAAAGACUUUGCCUAGAAAAAUGAUGAUUAUGUUCUUCCCUCGACUUCUUCCUCAUUCUCUUUUCUUUGUAGCUUGCUUUGUAAC